AAAUCUAAAACACUAAACAUAGAAAGCAAACACUUAAAAAAUUUAAAACCACUUGAUUUAUCGUUUUGUAAAUGUUGAGGGCUAAAAUGAUUAAAUUUUUUAGAAUUUGAAAUAAAAUGACAAAUUUUGUAAACACUGAGAGCUAAUUUUUUUUAUUUUUUAUAUUUAAGAUCAAAUUAAUAGAAUAUAUAAACAUUAGAGGACUAAAUUUGUUAUUAGACCAAAAAAAAUCCAUGUCAUCACUUCUGUCCAGUUUCAAAUGCUAUUGAUGUUUAGUAAAAAAAAUUAAUUUCAAAUAGUUUAGUGACGAAAUCAGAAAAAUUAAAAAAUUAAUGACAAAAAACAUGUGAUUAUGUGAUAAAUAAUAUGUGAAAGUUUUCAAAGCAUAGACAGAAGUCUGAUAUUUUCUGGUUUAGAGUUGCAUGGGCGAAUGAAAAUGCAGUUAAAAGAAGAAUCCAUAAUAAUAGAAGGCAGAGCUAGGAAACUAUUCCAAUCUUUGGUUCAAUCACGAGAGAUAUGAGCCUUGUCGAGAGGGGGAAUAAUCCAUAAUAAUAUUUUUUUUCCAUUUUUUAUAUUUUAUAUAUUCUUUUUUAAAUUUUAAUAAUUUAUAUAUUUUUUAAUUUUAAAUACCUUUUAUUUUAUUUUUGAAUUUUUAAAUAAUUUUUAAAUAUAUUUUAUUUUUUAAAAUAAUUGAUGACAUGUCAUACAUGUGAACCGUCACGUUAACAAAAUUAAUAAAUGUUAAUUUUUCAUUUAUUUUAAGAUGGUUUGACAAACGAUAUUAAUUCAAGAACUAAAUGAUAUAGAAAAUAAAAAAUAUAUUUGUUUUUCAAAUCACUUAGUGUAUUUGUACAACUAGCAAACGACUAUCAAUUAUUGUGGUUGGGCCAAUAAAUUGUAACUAUUCCCUACUCAAAGAAUUUAUGCUGUGCCUAAAACCAUUGAAUCUAAGUACCAACAUUAUAGGAACACAACAAAACAGAUCCAGACUAACAAUAGACCAAAACGGCAUGCCUAAGAAAAUGAGUGGAAGAUAGAGAUAGAAAAAGUGAGGGCUGAAGAUUCCUUGCUGCAAAGACCUUGACUUUACACAGUUCAACCCCUUGUCGCCUCACAGAAGUUGUUGAAUACUAACAAGUCUAUGCAUUAAGAAAACUCUUUUUAUUAAUGAAUAGUGAGCUGCCAUCUUUUAUUUGCAAGAGUGACCCUACGAAAAUUUUUGCCUUUCUAAUUAAAAUUAAUAGACCAUAAAUAAUUACAAAUUUAUUUAAUUGAUAUAAAAUAACAUUACUAUAACAAACUUACAUCAACCUGAAGGAGUUUACCAUGCGAGAAAGUCAUAAUAAUUUUUUUUUAGCUCAAUCAAUUGAUUAUAAGUAAAAUAGAAUAAUAAAAAUUUCCAACUCAUGUCUAAUCGACAGAGCUACAAAAAAUAGUACUACAACCUACAAAGAAAUAUAACAGCAAGUAGAGUGCACUAAUACAAAUCACUAAGAAACAACAGAUUACCAAUAAGUUUUAAAAAAGUGAUUCCUGAACAAUCCAACGUUUGCCAAUGAAUUAGCCACACCAUUCUUUUGACUAUUUGUGACCACAAACUUUAUCUCCACCAGAUGCCGUAAUCCUCCUUCAAUAUCUGCAAAUAAUUUUCUUAUUGACCAUGGUCGUAAAUGUCUAUACUUCAGCCAAUCAGAAACACUACACAAUUCAAACUCUACAAUUAGAGGAACAUUUACCUUCCAUAUCAAAUCAAUAAAAAUCUCCGUUGCAAUUUUAAUAGCCAUUACUAUCACUUACUCCACUCCACACACAUCAUAUUUAUCAGUAAAAAGAGUCGAGACAACUCCCUUUUCGUCGCUCAACACCCCUCCACAUCCCACAGCCUCCUCUACAACUACUCCAACCACGUUAAAAGACAUACUACUUUCAUAAUAAAAUAUAAAACUUUGCUAGAUAGAGAUUUUUUUUUCCGUUUUUCUGAAAAGACAAUUUUAUAAUAUUACAAAUAGAUAGAUGUCUUGCUAUUGAGGUAUGGAGCACAAAAGCAAAGAAACCUAAUUGGAGCACAGAAAAGGCUGUGUUGAGAAGCAGGGUUUCCGAUAGAAUUAAAAGUAAAUAUGCUUUGCGAAUAAUUCAAAUUCCAUUUCAAUCUUGCUUUGGUAAUUAAAAAAAAAUUACUUGAAAAAUACGGUUUCUUUCUCAACCUGAAAACUAUAAAUUGUGAUCCUUUUACAAGAAUUCACAGUUAAUAAGAUCAUUUUAAUAAUUUCUUGAACAUUUAUUUCUACAAUAUAUAUAUAUAUAUAUAUAUAUACACAAUAUAGAUUCAAUCAUGAAUAAUUUACAAACAAUGAGAUUUUAGGCAUUUUUCAAAAAAAAUUAAGAAAUUUUUAGAAUUUUAUGAAAAUUUUUUAAUUUUAACAAUUUUAGUUAUGAUAUUAUGAACUUCUUACAUAUGAAUUUUUAUAUGAGAUUUUAAGCUUGAAAUAUAUUUUUUUGCUAAAUUAAUAAUGCAAAGUGUAGUUUAGAUUGUAAACUGAUGUUUACAAACGUUCUCAAGCAGGAAUAAUUUGUGGAGUAAAUUGGAGCAAUUCAUAGAAAAAUAUCAAUUUCUUUUCUUUUCUUUUUUUUUGAAUUUUUGGCGGCUUUUUAAAAUUUCUUUUUAAAGAAUUUUAAGACUAUUUUAUUUUUCAAGAAUUUUUGUAUAAACAAUCUUUUUUAAAAUACUUCUAUAUUUUUAGAAAAGAAAUAUGACUUCUUCACAAAUGUAAAGAAUUUUUUGAUAUUUUUAAACUUGUGGAUUUAUUCUGGAUUUACAAUUAAAAAAAACUGAAAGUAUAAAAUUAACAUUUUAAUUAUAGUUCAAGGAACAAAUUAACUAUUAAAGCAUAUAAGAUAAUGUGUAAUGUCAUUAAUCCAUUACGAAAUUAAAUUAAAAUGACAACUUGUUAAUAAUGGAUUGAUAAACAAUAUAUUUGAGAAUAAUGACUUAAGAAGCGACAUUGACGUGGUUAACAAGUUGAUGCAGAGGUGACUUUAGACUAAAAUAUAUUUGCUUUGUGAGAAACUAUGAACUUUAAUCUGUAAAAACAAUGAAGUUUUUAAGACUGCAUAACUAUCUUGCAAAUUAAAUGUAUGGAGUAUUGAACCAUUCAAAGAUCACUAUUGGGGCCUCAAUUAUUAGUGCUACUGUUCAACUUUAGACUAAAUCUUGAGGCUUUCCUUUUGUGCCGUAUAUUGGGGUUGGAGCCCAAUAAUUAAAUAUAUACAUACACUAUAAUUCUUAUUGUAUAAAUAUAUAAUUCUUAGAACAAGAAUCAUUAAAAGAAAUUUUGUGAUAUCUCAAAUUAAAAAACCAGAUAUCUCAAAUCAGGAUCACUACCAUAUUUGGCUGUCCCAAUCAGAUUAAAAAACCAGCCAUGAAAAAGAAAUUUCAAAUUAAUUGUGAAAAAAUAAUAUAAAGAGGAGGAAUUCACUUAUAUUGGAGAAAAUUUUAAAAUUAAAGAAUUUUUAUAUUUUUUUUGUAUUUUUUAUACGAUUAAUAUUUUAACAAUUAAACUGAUGAAUUUAUUGAUAUAAAGAUACUUACCAUAUAUUGAAUUUUUAAAUCAAUCCAAGAUCUCUAUCCUAUCAAUCUAAAAGAUAUAUUUCUGUAACAUUUUUUAAGCAUAAGACGAAUUAAAGUUUCCUACUUUUUGCCAAAAAUGUCAUGAAAGCUAUAAAUCACUUUUCAUGAUCAUUUUGGGUGUAGUGUAAACUUGAAAUUCAAGAAUAACGUGCAAACCAAAUUUAGUUUGAAAGUAAAAAAGGUAUAAAUAAAUUGGUAUAAUUAUUAGUUAUGCUACAUAGUUUAAUCCAUCGUAUGAAAGAAAAUGAGAGAGGAAGACAAAGAUUGAAAGAUGGGGCUAAAGAUUCCUUGUCGAAAUUAAUCAAUGCAUUAAUACGAAUUAUAGAACACCUUCACUUAUACAAUUCAUCAUUAGAAAACAUUGUCCUUUUCACACUAUAAAAGUGUUUUUUAUAAAAGAAUAGUCCAUGUUUUGUCAGUAAAUGCGACCCCUACGUAAAUUUUCACUUCUCUAAAUUAAAAUUAAUGAAAUAUUUAAUUUAAAUAUGAAAGCACAAAUAAUUAUAAAUUUAUUUACCUGAUUUGAAAUAACAUCAUUAUAACAAGCUUUUUAUAUAUGCAUGAAACCAAAGGUGAUAAACUCAAAAAAAUGUGAUAAUAAUAAUUUACUUGAGUACACAUCACAAAUAACUUAAAUUUAACCUGUGUAAGAGAAUAUUCUACUACAUUUGAUAAUAAAAUUUAAGACUUUGUUAGAUUUGGGAUCUUUUUUGUCUUUUUCUAAGAAAAAAAAUUCAUAAGCUUCAAAUGGUGGUUCAGUUUUUUUUUUUUUUAAUUGUGUUAUGAGAUGUUUACAAAUCAUUAUGUUUUGAUGUUGUGGAGCUUUGGUUUGAUGAUUUGUCCUUUGUAUUUGCUAAGGUGAUUUGUUCUUUUGUUUGGGCUUUGCAACUUUUUUGGCAAUAUUUUGUCUUUGUUUUCAGUAAAUAUAUUUAUUGGCUGAGAAAAAAAAAUAGCUGUCUUGCUAUUGACUUCUGCACCACAAAAGCAAAGGUUUCUUUUUUUCAUAUAAUGUAGAUUAUACAAAAAUAUAUAUAUAUUUAUAUAUUUUGGGUCUUUAAAGUUCUUUAUUUUGCAAAAUCCAUAUAUUAAUUUCACAAAACAUAUUUUCUUUCAUUUAUUUGUCCAGAAACCAGUACCCCUAAUAAUUAGCUAAGAAAAAAAAAGCAUGUAAUUAAGUUUGAGAAGUUAGAUAUUUCUUAAGCCUCAUCACUUAAACUUCUAUGUUUUAAAAGAUUACAGUUAAAAAAAUAAUCAUGUAAUUAGUUGUUAAAAGAUUACAGUUAAAUAUUUUAAAAUGACACUCUGAAAGUACUUUAAAGAUUCUGUUUACUAUUGCUAAAGCAUGAUUGGAAAGACAGCAAAGGCUCAAGAUUUGUUCACUGUUUUGUUUUUUGCUUUGAUGUUGGGUUUGUGAAUGGUGCUUUGUUCUCUGUUGUUAUUGUAAGGCCCAAUUUUGGUCCGAGCUGAACAGUUCAAAAUUAAAUAGUCUAAAACUCAAAUCAAGAACAGCCCAAUUACAAUUUAGACCUAACUAUCCCAAAUCUAACUAAGCCCAAAUUAUCUUACCCUAGCCUAAACCACAAUCAGAAAAAAAUAAAAAAAGAAAAAACCGUAAGUGUGCCGCACCUAGGUCUGCUGCCCACGUCACCCUUAGCGCCAUCAUCGUCACAUCAUCAGCGCGAAACGACAUCGUUUUGGGAUUCAAGUUCAGAUGCCAAAACGGUGUCGUUUCGCCCAGGAUCCGAGCGUCGACUCGACUCGCCAAGUAGGAUCUGCGUGUUUUUCAGGCAAUGGUUUUAUUGCGCUUUUAGUCCUUCCGUAUUUUCUAUCUUUUUAAUACAGCUUAUUUUUAUUUUCAAUUUUUACCCUAUAAUUUUUCUUCCAUUUUAAUUCAAUCCCGCGCAAAGUGAUGCGUUUUGGAAGGCGGGGAUAUUUACUUUUCUAGUCCCUCCAUUUCAUUCGCGCACUGUAAUUUGGUGCUUUCCCUUUCUUUUAUUUUAGAUUUGCCCCAAAUACCUGUUUUAACAUUCAAUUUAGUCCUUUUUUAUUAUUUUUACUAUUUUUAUUAAUUUAAUAUUAUUAUUACUAUUAUUAUAUUUCUUUUUUUUCGUUUACCUAAUGUUUUCUGUAAAUAUAUUUAUUUUAUUAUAUUUACUUAUAUGCUCUUAUAAUUUCACAUUUAGAUUAUUUACUAUUGUCACUAAUAUUAUGCUUAUUACUUGUUAUUUGUAUGAUUUUUUUAUUUCAAACUUUAUUAUUUUUGUACUUAUUAAUAUUAUUAUUUCUCAAGCUGUUUAUAUUCAAGUAACAUUAGAAAAGCAUUAAACUCAGUUGUUUUUUCACCAAAAAAAAGAAACUCAGUUGUUUCUUUCCUUAUGAUUUUCCUUACACCCAUAUCCAACCUCAUGGCAAAACCAAGAUUCCUCCUUCCUUUUAUGUUUGUGCUGCUAUUUGCAUCCUUUGGGGUUAUUUUGUCUGCAAAAUAUUCCAAUAUCACCAUUGAUCAAUCGGCUUUCUAGUACUAAAAUACCAUAUAACUCCCGAUCCUCACAACCUCUUGGAAACCAAUUGAUCUACUUCUACCUCCGUUUGUAUUUGGAUUGGUGUCACCUGUGAAUCCAAACACCAGAGUUACUGCUCUGAAUUUAUCAAGUAUGGAUCUCACUGGCACCAUCCCAUCUCAAUUAGGAAAUCUAUCUUUCCUUGGUUGGCUCGACAUUCAUGACAAUAAAUUCCAUGGCUCUUUUCCCAUUGAGUUAACUAAUUUACAUCGGAUGAAAUAUUUGAACUUUGGUGACAAUAACUUCAAUGGAGAAAUCCCAUCAUGGUUCGGUUGCUUCACUAAACUUCAAAACUUAUCUUUUUAUCUUAAUAACUUUAUUGGUGUUAUUCUAUCUACUUCAGACAAUUUGUCAAAAUUAAAAAAGUGGAGCUUGAGUGGCAAUCAAAUAUCCGGUAAAUUUUCAAAUAGUUUAUUCAAGUGCAAAGAGCUAAAAUUUUUAUCAUUUUAUAAAAACUCCUUAGACGGAAGUAUGCCUACAGACAUUGGAAAUUUGAUUUUGCUCGACACUUUGUAUCGUAAUGACAACCAACUCAAAGGUAAACAAUUCCUAGUUAUUGUUUCAUUCAUUUUUUUUAAUCUAAUUUCUAUGAACAAUUGUUUUAAAUAGUGAAGCGGGACUUUAAACAAAUAUAACAACUGAUUUCAGUGCUAGCAAAAUGAAAGUUAAUCAUAGAGUAUAUAUAUUUAUUUCUUAUUUAUGUCAAUUGAGCCAUCGAACAAUUUAAUUGGUGUCAAAUUAGGCCAACUUCUUAUAUAAGCUAAAUGGCAUAUCCUACUUUAGAGAAGGGAUUGUAUGAAACUGUGAUUGCACGUCAUCUAUAUCUCUUUCCAAUAGGAGAAUGACAAAUUAGAUUUUUCCUCUUAAUUUUCAGUUUUUUUCUCCAAACAAAAUUUAAAUUCAACUAAAAAUGCUAAAAAUCAGGAGGAAAAAUCUGAUUUGUUAUUCUCCUAUUGGAAAGGGAUAGGAAGAACAUAGAAUCAUAAUUUCAUAUAAUCCUUUCUCUUCUACUUUAAUAAUUUUCUUUAAAAAAAAAAGUCAGAUUUUCAACACAACUCCUAAUUUACCUUUAACGACUUUGUUUUUGUUAAAACUUUCUUUUUUAUUUAUAUUGUUUCUGUUUUUUUUUUUUGGCAAAAGUUAUUUCUAUUUUGCUUACGAAGGGUUUUAAACUCAGGUUUUCAAACCAAUUACAUUGUCCUUAUCUUCUCUUAAGCACUAAGAUAAAUUCAAUUCUUGAAAUAAUUUUACGAGCUUAUAAUUAAAAGUUAGAGUGUGAUAACUCUUGUUCCACUAAUCAUAAGUACUAAUUUGGGAGAAUGUGUCAAGUUCGGGGGGCUAAAUGCAUAUUUGAGCCUUAUAAUUAUAAUUAAAUAUAAACACACAUAAUAUUAUUUAGAUAAAUAUAUAUUAUUAUAUUUGUAUGUUUUCAUAAUAUAUAAUUUAUAUUUAAUUAUAUGUAUUCGAGGAUUAAAUUGAUAGAAUCCGUAAAUAUUAAGGACUAAAUAUGUUAUUUAUACCAGUUAGAAAAACGUGAAAUCAUAACUUUUGUUAACCAGUUAAUGAAGAGUGAUUGAAAUAAAAACAAUCUAAAACGUAAGUGACCAAAAUAGAAAUGAUCUAAAACAAGAGUGACUAAAUUGAAAAUUUUCAUAGUUAGGUGACCAAAACAAAAACACGGUAAUAGUUGGGUGACUAAUCUAUAUUUUACCCUACUAUCGUUUAUUAAGGUAAACUACACCACAAAUCACCUAACUAUUGUCCUUUUUCUUUUUUGGCCACUCAACUAUCAAUAUUUUUUAAUUUGGUCACCCAACUAAUUGAGAUUUUUUUGUGCCCAUUUUUGUUAAGUGUCAUCAAAUCUAUGACGGGAGGGUGAGGUGGUAUUUAAAAAAAUUGGUGCAAUUGUAAAUUUAGCCCUCAACUUUUACAUCUUACAUCAAUUUAGUCAAUUUUUUUAAAAAUAACCCUCAACAUUUACAAAUGGUCUCAAUUUUAACCUCAAAAUUUACCUUGCCCUUCUACUUCUCCCACCUGCCAUUACCACCAUCACCUCCACCUCCAGCUUUCUCCAAAACAAAAAAAGAAAACUUAACUUUCCUCUCUCUUUUUCAACCUAAUUUAUGGUUAAAAAGUAGCACAUAUAUUUAAAUUGCUUUGUUUUCGUCUCGAAAAUUGGAUUUUUUUUUUAGCUCACUUUGGAUUAAACACAAAAAAGAUUACAAUACCCUAAAUUUGAGCAUGAUUGGAAAAAAAAAAGGAAGUUUCUCUUUUUUUUGGGGGGGAGAAAGGUGGAGGAAAUGGAGUUGGAGGCAAUGAUGGUAGUGGCAGUGGGGGAAGUGGAAGAGGAAGGUAAAUUUUGAGGAUCAAAUUUAGAUCAUUUGUAAAUUUUGAGGGUUAAUUUUUUAAAAUAAUAACUAAAUUGACACAAUAUGUAAAAAUUGAGGGCUAAAUUUGUUAUUAUACCAGUUUUUAUUUGCCAUGUCACCCUCCCGUUAAAGAUUUAACAACAAUUAAUGGAAAUGGGCAAAAAAGCUUGAUUAGUUGAGUGACUAAAUUAAAAAAAAUUGAACUAAAUUAAAAGAAUUGAUAGUUGAAUGACAAAAAAAUAGACAAUAAUUGCAUGACUAAAUUAAAAAAAUUGAUAGUUGAGACCAUAGUUGGGUUUUUGGUUUCCUCUCUUUAGAGAAGCUGAAAAAAAAUUAUAAAACAAUAUAGCAAUAAGUUGACGACUCGCUCCGGUUCUACCGAGUCACCACUCACCACCAUUAGCCACUCUUUUGUACAGCUAAUGUGUCAUUGAUCUUUCUCAUAAUAACUUUAGUGACUACUUACCUAUCAUUGUUUUUUAAAUAUUUGCAUGCCAUUAGAAGAGGGUAUGAAAAGAAAGUUAAAGCAUAGUAUAUGGUGGCUACAUUAGCCUUGGGAUUGGUGUAUUAUACUAGCGAAAUAUCCUUUACAACAAAAGGGUUGGAAAUGGAGUUUUCAGUCACUAUUAACCAUUUGGACAGUUAUUAACUUUUCCAACAAUCAAUUCUUUGGAGAAAUACCUCAAGAGAAUGUUCUUGGAAAUUUGCUAAUUGAUAGGUUAUGGAUGUGGAUUGAUAUAUGGGGUAAGAGAACAACUAAAGUGUUGUUUAAAUUUGAAUCAGUGUUUUCUCCAUAUAAAAUCUUUUUAACCCAACCACAAAUAGAACUACCAGCAUGGUCCUAUUGACUUUGGAAAAAUAAAGCAUGAAAACCAUUACUCCUGGGGGCUUUCAAAAGUGCCAUAUCAAAAAGAGCAACCUUAAUCUCCUCAUCUGUGACUGUCUUACCCAAAAACCGCAUGUCCUCGUGAGACAAUUUAGGAAAAGAGCUUGUUGUAGGUCAAUUUUGGCCCGUUUACAAACUACCCGGGCCCAUUAAACCAUUUAACCCAUCCUAAAACCCAAACUAAAUCAAAAACUACCCAAACCUACCCAACAGACCCAUUUUAUACCCUCAGCCCAAUAACUAACCAAAUGCCACUAGCCCAAAACCUAAAAUUAACCUAGCCCAACAACCAAGCCCAAUCUCGAAACCCUAGAUCCCCACUUGCCUCUCCCCACUUUUCCUCUGACACCAGCCACCAGCACCAUCCCCUGGCCACCCCCAUACCGUCUGCCACCCCAUGCCACUACCACCACCACACCCCACGCACGCCUCUCCUCCACUUCUCUGACACUCCCACCAACUCCUCUACCACACCUGCAAACAAGCAAAGGAAAAGGACAAAAAAUGGUGCAAUAAACAUUAACAAAAUAUUGUAUUUUUUACUAUAAAAGCCACAAGCAAAACCGAAUGUAGGGGGAAUUUUUUUUAUCAAUACAAAAAAGUUAGAUUUCGAUAUAUACAAGCAGUGAUUCGAAAUACAAGGGUAACAUCAAUUGAGCAACCAAAAUACCGAUAUAAAAAAAUUUAAGGUGAUUUAGUCUUUUAUUUUCAUUUAUUUUCAGAUCUACUUCUAUACACUUCACAUAUAUAUAUUAAAACAAGUAAAAAAUUUAACAAAAAAACAAAAAAAAAACUUACCUUUCGGGAUUCCGGCCAUCGCAUGCGGUGGCCGGCGCCGACACCGGCGACGGUCCUGCGAUCGGACCGGUGAUCGGCCCAUGGCCGGGAAUCUCUUCCCUCCCCCUCUCCCUUUUUUUUUCUUUUCCCCAUUUCAAAUGAUUUUUUUUAAAAAAAAUUGUCUUUUAUAGGGACCAAAACGCACCGUUUUGGUCCCCCCCCCAUUUAAAAGAAAACGUCACCGUUUCGGCCCUGGGUCGGAUCGACCCGACUCGCUCCAAUUAGGAUCCGCAUGUUUUUUAAACGGAAGGGCUAUUUCGCAUUUAGCCCUUCCGCUUUUUCAUGCAUUUACAAUCAUGUUAUUUUUUCUUUUAAUUCGACCCUAGAAUUUGUCGCGCUUUUCAAUUUAGUCCUUGGCCAAACGCAGUAUUUUAAGAUGGGGAAUAUCGCGCUCUGAGUACCUUAUGCGCAUGUUGCAAUUUGGUCAUUUUCUCUUUGUUUUUUUUAAAUUCGCCCCAAAUAUUUUACUUUUACUUCAAUUUAAUUUUUUAGUUAUUUUACUGUUUAAGUUAAUUAUUUAGAUUCUUAUUGUAUCUAUAAUUAAUGUUAUUACUAUUAUUAGUCUUAGUAUUUAUUUUGAUUAAUACCCAUAUAUAUAUAUCUACGCUUAUUAUAUAGUAAUAAAUUAUUAUCUUCAAUAUUUUAAAUAUAUAUAUUAUAUUAACUUCUAUGUUUAAUCAUUAUCACUAUUUUUUUUUAUGCAUUUCUAUAUAGUGUUUAGCUUUUUAUCCAUCACGACUUAUUAAUAUAUAUAUAUUAUUAUUAUGUAUAUUUUUAGUAUAUAUAUAUUUGUGAAGUAUUAUCAAUAAUUGUUUUUUUUUAAUAUUAUUAUUAUUUUUAAUAUGUAUAUAUUAUGUAUAUAUUUUAAUACUACAUCAUAUAUAUAUAUAUAUUUAUGUUAUGUACAUAUUUCUAAUAUUAUAUAUUAAGUAUUUCUAAUAUCCUUAUUAUUUAUAUCCAUAUACGUACGUAUCUAUGUAGCGUAUUAAUAAGUUUUUUUUUUAUAUUAUUAUCAUUUCUAAUGUAUAUGUAUAUAUCAUAUGUGUUUUAUAUAUAUUAUGUAUAUAUUUUCAAUAUUAUUAGUUAUAUUUUUAUAUACUAUUCCAUAUACAUAUUUCCAUAUCAUCUUAUGUAUAUAUUCUUAAACAUUAUUAUAUGUAUAUGUAUAUUUUUAAUACCGUAUUGUAUAUAUAUUAUUAUUACAUUUAUUUUAUUUCUACUAUAUUUAUUAUUAAUAUUAGUACAUAUAUUUUAUUAUACUUGUAUACAUAUUUUAUAUAUAGUAUUAUUUUCGUGUAUCAUUAUAUUUAUUAUUAUACCUAUUAUUUUCACUAUUAUCACUUAUUAUUUUUGUUUUAAUAUUAUUAUGUAUAUAUUUUUCAUAUAUGUCAUGUACAAACAUUUUUCAAUAUUCAUUAUAUAUAUAUAUAUAUAUGUAUAUAUUAUGUAUAUAUUUUAACAUUACUAGUUAUAUUUUUACUAUCUUAGGUAUAUACUUCAAACACUAUAUAUAGUAUAUUUCUAACACUAUUACUAUUUAUAUAUAUAUAUAUAUUUUACGUACAUACUCUUAAUAUCAUCAUUAUGUAUAUACAUUCAUUGUUUCCAUUUCAUGUUUAAUUCUAGUAUUAUGUUUAAUAUCACAUAUAUCUUUAUCGUUUUUAAUAUUAUUGUCACACUUAUAUUUGCUUCAAUAUACUUCUAGCUCUUUCUUUUAUUUAUUUUUAUUUCAUAUCAAUUUGCUUUGCAUUAUUUCAAAAAUCUUAUUCUUGUAUCCUAAUUAAUUUCAAUACAUGAGGCAACGUAUCGGUUUAACACUAAGUCGUUGAUUUCAUCGCUAUGUUGGGUGAAUAUCAAUCGGCUCGUGUUAAAAACGGAACGUCAUUCUCAAAAGAAACCAAAAAACUUGAAAUAUCUCGUUUUUUAAUUGGAUCACGAUUAAAUGUUAUAUUGAACUCGCAAUUUUGAAAUUCAAGACAAUGCAUGUUUAAUGAGAUACCAAUUUUGGGAGUCGUGGGGGUGCUAAUACCUUCCCCGUGUGUAACCGACUCCCGAAUCCUAUUUUUUCUCUGGUUUUUGAUGUAGACCUAAGCUCGGUCUUCUUUUUGUUUAAAAAAUAAAUUUUAUUUUAAAAAAGAGGAUUUAUUAGGUGUCCGAUCACACCUAGGAAAAAGGAUCGGUGGCGACUCCCUGUCUUUGAUAAAUAGAAAUUCAGUUUUCAAAGUUUUUCAUAAAUCGCCAUAAUUAGCGACCGAAAGCAAAAAAUUUUAUGUCGCUACAGAGCUAGAGAGAGUCCUAACAUAGGUUCUAGAUGCUCGCCAUAAACCACUGGAAAAAAUCAAUAACCUCUAUCUGAAGGGCAUCGUCAUCAUAAACCCAAUCCCCUUAGUCAUUCUUCAGAGCUGAAAUCUUAUUUUGUUUUCUUCACUGAAGGGUGCGCCAAUGGGAGAACUUUGUAUUUCAAUCUUCCAUGACAAGCCAAUCGCAUUUGGCAUUUUGUUUCCAAAGCAGCCUUUCAUAGUAGGAGACACUUUCUAAAUCCUCCCUAACCUUUGUUAGAAUUAAGUGACCCGAAUUCUUAUUUAAAUAAAAUACAGUGGUAAAAUAAAAUAAAAGAAGAAUCCAUAUAGAAUUACACUUCUUUUAUUUUAUUUUAGAAUAAGUAUUUUUAAACCUUAUUAAAUUCUAUCUAUUUGAUAUUGAUUAGAAUAAGGUGUUUCAGUCUUACUAGAAUAUGGUUGUACAAGCCUAUAAAUAGACAUAGUCUAUUCCUCUUGUAAAUAAUUUGAAUUCGACAUAGUGAAUUUUCUUCUCCUCUGCCCGUGGUUUUUUCCCGAAAGGGUUUCCACGCAAAAAUUUGUGUGUUUUUUAUUUUAUUUUAUUUUAUUUUAUUUUUCACAACCUUCUUUUCAACAUUGGAAAAUUCUUAGAAUCUGAUCUAUCCGACACUUUUUGAAUACCAGCUAAUUUUUUGACCGCCUCCAGACGUACCAAUGUCUAGAGUAGAAAUCUAGUACGCAAUUUAUGAAAAGCGGUAUAUGCAAGUAUAAGGGUUAGGUUGUGAUAUAGUUACAAUAGAGUAGGUAAGUACUCCAAGGAUCGUACCCAAUGGAGACAAGCACUAAAUUAAUCCUAACCUAGGCAUAAAUAGAUCUAAUUAGUAUUUAAAAUGGAUUAUAUUAUGAUAAAAAAAGGAAAGGUUUUUGGGUUCUAUAUUAAUAAAAAUAAAUUAAAUAAUUAAAUCAUGAGAAAUGAAAUAAUAAAAUAUAUAAAAUCUAAGUAUGAGUAAUUAGCUUGCUUCAGUAAUCAUAAUCAACUGUUAUUUCGGGUUUUCUUGUUCAAUCAACUAGUCAAUACCCCAGCAGGAUCUUCCGAUCUUCCACUAACAUAUCAAGUCAGCAAGAACUACUUAUAUCUCGAUCUCAAAGUCCAGACCAAUUCAGGGUUAAGGUGUUCAUGGAUAGACCAUUCUAAAUUUGGUUAUUUCCCAACAUUGAUGACUUCUUAGGGUUAUCAGGCCUAGGGUUUAGGUUCUUCCUUUCCUGAACAGUUGAUUUGCUAAGAGAACCCUACAAAAUAGUUAAUUUAUCAUACCACCACUCACUAAUCCCCCACAAAAGGAUUACUUCCUCAUGGAUCUAAUAAAUAAUAUAAACUUGAUAGAAAGAAUAAAAAUGACGAAUAAUUCAAGAGAAUAGAGUUUAGAAGAAGCUUGAUUUGUAUUAAAAUUAAGCGCAGAAUCCUUAUAGAGUUUGAUGGUAUUUCACAAAUCUGAUUUCCCUCACAAAAGCAAAUAACAAGAACUGAAAUAAAACCUAAGCCUAAGAAAAGAGAAAAACUAAAAACUAAAUCUAAGAAGAAAAUUAUACAAUAUAAAAGUUGUCUAUAACAUGUGUUAAUUAAGCCGAUUUAUAGACUUUAGAGUGACUGUCGUCUUCAUGCUUAAUAUUUGAUUGUGCAGACCAAAACACCCCUGGAUCAUAUUUAUUUCACGUGCAGAGGUGAUGUCACAACACACCAAAUCCUAUGUCACGUCAUCGAGGGUAGUAUGCUCCAUCUACAAUGUGUCUUCAAGGGUGUGUCACAACAUCCUCAAGAUGUGUCGCAACAUUGAAGGCAGUCUUGGAAUUCUUCUAUCCUGCUCACUAUGUUGUGACGUCUAGUGCUCCGUGUUGUAACAUAUCGACCAGUAUCGAGUUAGCACACCUUCUAAUAUCUCUUACAUGCUCACAAAGCAUAUUAGCUCACCCUUAGGCCUCAUUUGGCCUCUAAGGUCAAUAAAAGACUCAAAUUACACACUUUAUUGAAUUAAACUAAACUUAUGAAAACAUUAUUAAAACUUAACUAAAAUGCUUAUGUUCAAGCUUCUAAAGUGCAAAAAUUAAUUUAAUCUGCUACACCGAAUUGUGACAGAUCAUUUCUGUAGAAAGAUUUUUCUACGAGUGCCAAUAUGCCUAUAUAUGUUCCUAUUCCAAUGCUUCAUGUUGUCUGAAAGCUACUUAAUAGAGCCCUCCAUAUUACAGUUAAAAUUCCAAGAAUCCUGUACAAAUUUAGAGAAGUUCGGAUGUUUAAGCCAACCAACAAGGAAUCUGAAAUGCCUACCUUUGAUUGAAUUCGAGUCCUGCCUUAAGCAUAGGAAUAGUAGCUGAUGGUCCGAUUUGAGCUUAGUAAGAUGUGACACUGAACAAAUUGUGAAUUAUGAAAUCCACGCAUCAUUGCAAAUAGCUCUAUCAAGCCUUUCAAAGAUCCCACAUCUCUACCACAUAAAAGCCGAAAGCAGGACACUUUUUCUUUGCUCUCCACCCUCCCCUCUUCUCAAUGCGAGAGAGAAUGACAUUAAAAUCUCCAAUUGCCAUCCAUGAUACAGUUUCAUUCGCUAAAACCGAAUUAAAACCCUCCCACAAAAGCUUCCUCUUUUGCUUAUCCAGGCUACUAUACACAAAAGCAACUAGAGAUGACCUUUGAAAGGAAUUAUCAAGAAUCCAAGUAAGGACAAAUUAAGGGUAACUAUUUAGUUUCUCUAUUGAAAAAUGGAUAAAACGAUCUAGUAGGUUACAAUUAAUUAGAAAUUCAUUUAAGCAGGCAAAGAAUAAGCUGCAUUUACAUAAUUUAAUUUUCACCAUUCUAAACUUAAAAAGUAGUUACAUAAUUUAUUUGCAAGUAAUUAGAAAUUCAUUUAAUUAAUUAUUUUAUGUAAAAAAAACUUUUAAACUAUUAUAUAAAUAAAAUUAUAUUUAAUUAAUUUUUAAAAUUUUUCAUAAAUUUUGUAACUUUUCAUUAAUAAUAUGAUUACAAAAUUAAAAUAUUAUAAGUUAAUUUUUGAAAAUAUAAUAAUUGAUAUUAGAAUGAAUUUAAAUAAAUGAUAUUCUAAAAUUAAUUUUAAAAUAGUCUAUUAUGUGAAAUCCUAUUUUUCUAUAUAGUUUCCAACUUAAUUUUAAUUAUUCAUUACUAGAUACAGAUUGUUAAUUAAAUUACAUAUCGUGACUAUUAACUAAUUUAUUGCAAUAUUAUUUAUAUUUUUAAAUAUUUAUUUCAAUUUAAGUAUUUGUAAAAAUAUUGAUAAAUUUUUUUUAAAAAAAUUAAACGAUUUUAAAAUUUAUAGUGACGUAUUAUGUAAAAUUGUAAGUUGAUAUAACUUAGUAGAACAAUACUAAAAAUUAAAAUCUUGUAAUAUGAUAUGAAAUAUGAUUACAAAUUUGAACAAAUGGAAAGAAAAAAAACCCACCUAUAGCUUAUAUACUCGUACAAUAUACAAGUUAGUUGUAUUUAUUUUAGUAAACUCUUAAAACUUAAUAUGGAAAAUGUUUAAAUUUUUCGUAAUUGAGGAUUAAAAAAUAAUUAGAAUAUCAUUUUUUGAUAAAAGUUGUAUAUCUUACUAUGUUGAAGGAAAAUAAUAAGUUAUUACAAAGAGUGUAAAUCUUAUUAUGUUAAAGGAAAAGAAUAAAUUAUAAUUAGAUAUUUAAAACAAUAUGUUUUUUAAUUGAUUUAAAAAAUUGUUUCCUUAACCCAAUUUCUUUGGGAAAAGAGAUUGAUUUUCACAUCUAUUUUCUUUAUUCUCUUUUCAUUUUUUUUGGUUGUAUAAUGGAUUAUAUAAAUCAAGUUUACUCAUGAAAUUGUGUUGAUAUUCUUCAAUCUUGAUGAAAAUAUGUAAUAAUAUUUAAAGUGUCGAAACCAUUUUUAAAUCGAGUUUUGGAAAAUGGGAAUCGACUUUUUUUAAAAAACGAAAACGAGAGUCGCCACCAAUCUUUUUAGGUGUGAUUGGAUCACCUUUAAAAUAUUUUGUUUUAAAAUCAUCGGUUUUGGUCUACAAAAUCAAAAGAACGAGUUCGGGAGUCGGUUACGUACGAGGAAGGAUUAGCACCCUCGUAACGCCCAAAAAUUGGUAGCUAAUUGGUUAUCAAAUGUCUUUAAAUGUCGAAAAUUUUAAAGAUUUUAAGAUGUAAUCCUCUUUAAAAUAUUUUGAUUUUUAAAAAUUUGGGUUUACUUGUAUCAAAGUAUUGACACUAAGUUAGCCUUUUAGAAAUCCCUAUCUCGAAACGACAAAAUGCUACAUCCAGUAAGUUAGGACAUAUCGCUUUGCAGUUCCAAGAUAGUCGCUUAUGUUUGGAAAACCUUUAAAAACUUAGAAGGGUACUUGACUGUUCGAACUUAACGAGAAAAGUCACAACCCAAUAAGUUAGGGCACUACUUUUUCAAAAUUUCUAAACACCAAGCAUUGCCUUUAUAUUUUUUUUGAAAAUUUUGGAGCCUUGUCUUUUUAAAGAUGAUGCGUAGAGAAUUGUAUUGCAUUAUAAAUCAUACAUAGUAACAUAUUAUUGUAGUAGGUAAAUAAAACGUGCAUUUAAACAAAAUGAUGGCAAUGAUAUAAAGAACGUGCAUUAGAUUCAUACAUAUAAAAUAACAAAUAUUAAUAAUAUGCAUACAAAGAUAUAUAUAGCAUGUAUGAAUAAACAAAAUAUACAAACAUACAAGGUAAUAAUUAAAUAAUGCACGAUAUAUAAGAAAGCAAUAAUUAAAUAAUAUACGACAUGCAAAUAAAAAUAUAAUAUCAAUGUAUAUGCUUACAAAAUAUAACAUAUAAUAAUAAUUAUAAAAAUAAUAUUUAAUACACCCAUGACACAUACAAUAUAAAUAUAUAUAACAGAUCUAAUAAAAAUAAAAUUAAUAAUUGUUAGCAAAAUAUACACAUAAUUAAAAUGUGAUAUUAAUAAUUCUAAAAUAGUAUUUAAUAUAAUAUGUAGUAUAUAAUAACAAAAAUAGAAUAAUAAUUAUACAUAUAAAUUAUACUCGUUUAAAAGUUUGUAAAGGAUUCAAAAAUAUCAGUUUAAAAUGAAAUAAUACAUAAACAAAUAAUUAAUAGUUAGAUAUGUAUGUAAUAUGUGUUAAAAAUACCUUUUAAUAAUGAUAAUUUACAAAUUUUAAAUAAUAUAUAUGAUAAUAUAUGAGAUACAUAACAUAUAUAAAAAAGGUAAUGUAGAAUAAAAAAUAAAUCAUAAUAAAUGUUAUAUAAUAAAAUAUAUAGGAAAUAAGAAAUAUGACAUAAAACAAUGAAAGUUUAUAUGUAAAAAUGACAUGUAAUUAGUAAAUAUAUAAUAUAUGUGAAAAUAUAAUAAUAUAAAAAAAUUGAUGUAAAAUAAUAAUAAUUUGAGGAAAAUAACAAAUAAUAAUAAUACAUAUAAUAAUACUUGUAAUAAAAUAAUUUUAAUGUGUAAUAUAAAAGUAAGGAUAAAAUAAAACAAAUAACAAUAUAUAAAUAUAUAUAAUAAUAAAAAUAUAGGACUAAAUUUAAAGUCCAGCCAAAUUACGGGGCAAAUUUAAAAGAACUAAAACUGAAUUGAGGCUCUAUUUAAAAUGCGCGCAAAAUCAAAGGGGCUCACUGGGCAAAUUGCCCUAUCCCCAAAACAGCGACGUUUUCCAGAAUAUAAUUUAAUAGCCAUCGGGAGUAAAUUAAAACUAAAAUAAAAUAUUUGGGCCAAAUCACAAAUAAAAUAAAGUUUGAUUGCAAAAACAAAAAGGGAAAAAGGAUCAAUUGGGUAAUUAACCCAAUUCUCAAAAAUGCGCGGAUCCUCCCUGGGUAAUCGGGUCAACGCGUGGAUCCUGGGGGUCUAAAACGUCGACGUUUCACAGGGGCUAUAUAAACCAAAGCUUUAGCCCGAAAAUCAUUUUACACCGGGUUUUUUUAAAAAAAAACUUAAAAUUCUCUCUGAAAUGAGAGGAGAGAGAGAGAGUGCUUGGCUCUGGCCUCCGUCGAGCCGAGCCUUGGUCCUCGGCCUUACGCGCCCACGCACCGUCACCAACUCCUCCCCGUACGGUGGUUGGAGGUCCAAACCUCGAUUUUUAACGCAAAUAAAGGUUCGACCCUUUACUUUUUCAUUAUUUACAGUUUACAUGUAUGUAUAUGUAUUGAAAAUUUCACCUUUGUAUACUUAAUCGAUUGAGAUGCUUGCUGUGUAUAUAUGUGCGAGAACAAAUCUUUCUGUUGAAUCUCUCGUUUUUAUUGAUUCUCUCUGUAUUUUCAGAACAUAAGUCCUUUUUACAAGUGAAAAGAAAGGCUUUAUAGCCUUGGUCCCUUACAUAUUCGGGGAAAGAAAUCUAAGAUUUCUUUCUAUUUUGUGUCUUCUGUAUCUUUGACUGAUGUGCUGUGAUUUCCUUGCCUUUUUCUACUCUGCUUUUUCCUCGUAUCUUCUGUUUGUUUCCUUUUCUUGCAGGCAAUCGAGCGAGGGAUCUGGCAGUGACCAUGCUGGUGUAGACGCGUGCACUGAUCACGGUGCUGAUGGAGCCUUGGUGACGGUCAUGACAUUCAUGACGUAAUUUGGGGCCAGACCAAGGGACGUCCGAUGAUCGGGGCGUUGAUGAGCAUUGAAGGCCCUUGGGACAACUCAUUAAACGGUGGCCUCGAUUUGGGGGUUGCCAGACGCUCCCCGAAGCUUCCAGAAAUGUUUGCGACGCCACAGUAUUCAGGAAACCCUAGGGUUUCCCUGUUUCUCUUAUGUUUGUUGGGCCUUUUGGGCUGUUUUGUUUUGGGUCAAGGUCUGUAAUGUAACGGGUUAGGUCUGACUUAGGCUAGCAGGGAUAAUAAGUCUAACGGGCUGCUGGGUGUAACGGGUCUUAUUUGGGUUUAGGUUUAGCUCAGGGGUAUUAGGUAUUGUUUUGGCUAUUGGGUUAUACCCGGAUAUGGGUUUUUGUAUUGGGCUUUGGGAUGGAUUAUUUAAUAAAUAAAUGUUUAUUUAUUUAUCUAAUUUUUUCCUUAUUUAAACCCGGUCAAAUUUGGGCUAUUACAUAAAAAUUUAAAUUAAACUAAACUUAAUAUGGUUAAAAUAAUAGUUAGGGUAUGAUGUCCAAAGUUUGAAUUUUGUUAUUCCGUUUUAUUAUUGAAAAAAUUCCAACAAAUAUAAUAAAUAAUUUUUUGUAAGGUUGUAUAAUGUAUAAAUGUAAGGUUGUAUAAUGUAUAAUGUAUAAAUGUAAUGUUAUACAUAAUGAAUUGAUGGCAUAUUAAAAGUGGAUUAUUAAAGCUCUAAUAUAAUCUGCUUAUUAAAUUCGAAAAGUAAAAUGUUAAAUUCUUGAAAUUAAAAGUAGAUAAAUUAAAUUUUAAAUAAACAAAACGUAUAGGGAGUUAGUGUAUAUGGGCAAAUGUCCCACUACCCCCACCAGAGGCAGAUACAGGGGGUGGCAGGGUCCUGGCGCCCUCUAAAAUGGAAUAUUUCUGUUUAGGUCCUUGAAUUUUUUUUAAAAUUUUAAUAGUAAAGGUAAAAUUGUACUUUGGCACCCCUAAAAUUAUAAAAAUUUAAUUUAAUCCUUUAAAAAUUAUAAAGAUAUAGACUACAAAAAAUAAAAUUUCAUUCAGCCCCUAAAAAUUUGUUCUGGCUUCACCCCUAUACCCCACCAUUUUUUUUCAUCAUAGAUAAAAUGGUUAAAUUUCAAUUUUGAUCCCUCUAUUAUGUCUUAAUUUAAGAGUUAAUCCUUAUACUUUAAUCAUUUAACAUAAACAUCUAUAUAGGCUCUUUCGACAUCGACCAGUGUCCCAUUACCCCACCAAUUUUCCUUUUUUUUAAUUAUAAAUAAUAUGGUUAAAUUUUAAUUUUAAUCCCUCUAUUAUGCCUAAAUUUAAGAUUACCUAUUAGAGGCUUACUCUCUAAGGCUAAACAACAAAGUGGCUGUAGUUUAGUGGUAAGAAUUCCACGUUUUGGCCGUGGAGACCUGGCCUCGAAUCCCAGCAGCCACAUUGAAAUGUUUUGUUUUUGUUUUGUUUUUGUCAGCCAACCUUCCAAUAUGUUUUUAUUUUUGUUCUUGUAUUUUUUUAUGUUUGUUUUAUGAUCCAUACUCGAAGUUUAUGAUUAUUUGUUUUAACAAUAUUAGUUUGAACUUGCAUUCUCUCAUUGAAAAUGUAAUGUGUCUUUUCAAUACACUUAAAAUUUAUUAAUGUUUGCAAUAUAUAUAUAUUAAGUAUAUGUUUACGUAAAUACACGUAUACAUGUAUAUAUCCGUAAAAUAAAAUUUUGAGGUAUUGCAGUUGCUGUCAUAACCGAAGCUUCCAAGAAAGCUUCUUGGUUUUUGUCAGGGUUGCAGCAGCUUCUAUCGUUUAAAUUUAAAUAUUAAAUUGUCAAUUAUUAAAUCUCUAAUAUAAUCAGCUUACUUCUAUUUUUAAAAAUUUAUUUAGUCUUUUAUUUUUUGAAUUUAAUAAUCCACUUUUAUUUUUGAUAUUUUCAAGUAUUUUUGUGAAAUUAAUUGACAACAAAGAAUUGAUGGCAUUCGUUUCCUUGAAAUCUCUAGUUUUUUUUUUUAAUUCCACGUUUUUUCAAUUUAUUUUGUAAUUCAAAUUGAAAAUAAACAAAACAAUUAGAGAAAACAAAAUUAAGUUUGCAUUACAUAUUUCUUCUAAAGAAUUCGAAGCCUUUGAAACUAUGAAGGGAAAAAUUGGGAAUGGAUAUAAGAAAUAAAAAUGAAAAAAAAUACCAAACUUCUAAUUAAAUAUGUAGGUUUAAAAUUUUGAACCAAUAUUGAUUUACUUGAAUUUUUCAGGUCUAAUAUUCAUAGCAUGGAAAAUGUGAAUCAUGGUCGGUAAUUUUCUUUUUUUAUGGUAAAGGCAACUUUGACUAGACUCAACAAAAUUUUCCGUUAUUACUUAUACUAAAGGGCGAUAAUAUAUGGAUAUAUGCCAUAUUCUCGUUUAUUAUGUGAUUCUAAAUAGAGGUGAUCAUGGGCCGGGCCAGGCUAGGUUUGGGCCGGGCCCAAAUAAAUUUUAGGCCCGUCUAUUAGGUCCGGGCCUGGCCCGGCCCGAAAUAUGGGUUUAAAAUUUUCCCAAGCUCGGCCCGAAAUAAAAUUACUAAGCCCGAGUCCAGCCCGGCCUAUAUUAAUUUUUUUCUUAUUUCAUUAAAUAAAAAAAUUUAAAAAUAUAAUAAAUCAAAUAUAUUUAAAAACAUAAAAAUAAAUAUUAAAACAAAUAAAAAUAAUACUAAAAUAAUUCUUAAAACAAUACACAAAUUAACAAUAUAAUAAAAAAUAGUUAUAUUAAAAAUUUAAAAUAAUUAAAAAUAAAAUAAAAAAUAUAUUAAUAUAUAAUUCGGGCCGGGCCCGGGCUAAAAAACUCUUAUCCGAGGCCCGGCCCGUUUUUUAAAUGGGCCUCAUUUUUUUGCCCAAGCCCAUUUUUCGGGCCUAUAUUUUUACCCAAACCCUCCUAUUUUUCGGGUAAGUCUUCGGGCCGGGCCGGGCCAGGCCGUACCGCCCAUGAUCAGCUCUAAUUCUGAAUACACCAAUAAAUGAGAAAGAAUCAUGUUACUUAAUAAUUCUUUAUUUCAUGCCUUUAAAAAUUCAAAAUUUAUGAUAUUUUUUAAAACUUAUGGAAAUAUAUAUUAUGGUGCUUUAAUUAAGGCAACAUUAUAAUGAUAUAUAAUGUAUGAAAUGGCUCAAAUUGCUGCAAACUUUUUGAAGAAACAUGCAUACUUAGGUAUAUGUGUCUUUAUUCGAUCUCAAGACUACAGAUUUCCUAAUCAAUUAUUUCUUCUUAACCACUUUAAUCAAAAAAUAAAUAAAUUUUAAUUUAAUAAUAAAAUCAAUCAUUUAUCUUUAAGCUUAAACGAAUAACCCAACCAAUUAUUAAAUCUAAUCCUACAAUAUUAAAUUUGAGACUACUUUGAUGUGGUGCCUUGGGUCUUGGAAAACUUAUGUGGGCAUGGCUAUCAAGGGUUUGGACCCAAGGAAAUUGUGAAUUAGGUUUUGGAUCCGAUCAACUCCAUUUUCUUUUUCUUCAUCAUUAACUUUUUAUUUUCAAAAAAAAAUAUUAAAUCAAAAUCUUUAAAAAAAAAAAUCUAAGCAUGUGAAAACAAUAUUUUAAAAAGUUAAAAAAUUUAGAUAAAAAGGAUAGGGGAAUCAUAUCUACCUUGAAGUAAAUUUGAUCUUUUCUUGUAUGAAACCCUUCACAAAUUAGACUUGUUUAAAGUUUGGGUAGUCAGUUCGACUCAAGUUGAGUCGGGCUUGGAUAAGAAUUUUCACGUCAGACCAGAUCGGUUUGUGUGAAUUCAAUUUAAAUAAUAAAAAAAUUAAAAUUUAAUUAUAAGAUAUAUAAUAUAUCAACUAAAAUAUAUUUUUAAUAUUUUAUUAAUUUUUAAAAUAGUAAAAUGGGCUUUUUUGAAUGGGCCGAGCUAACUCAAAAACAAUAAGCUUCAACUUCAAAAUAUUUUGGGACUAAGCCUCGACCCGACUCAACCCAUAGACACCUUUAGCACAAACACCACAAAUUGUAAUAGUAGAAAUUAUUUUGUUUCAUAAGGUAACUUUUGAGGGUUUAAAUUUUGAAAUGUUUACAUACUUCUAAGUUUUCGAUUUUCAAAAAUAAAAAGUUUCUAUUUGGUUAUGGGAAUAGGAGGUUUCAACAAAUUCAUUUUUAAGAACAAGGAUUUUUUAUAUAUAUAAAAUGCUUAGAAUUAACCAUAAUUUCAUUCCAACCUUUAAUUAAGAGAAUAAACGGAUUUUAGCGCGCUUGAACCCACAUCAACAGUAAUAUCGAUACCAACCGAACUAAGACUCAAUUAAAAACAGCAACAAUUUUUGAAACCUAAAUAAUGUUGCCAAUUUUUUUCGUCAGUUGUUCUCAAAUACUACUUGGGUUAGCUGAUCUCCAAUGCAUUAUAUAUAUAUAUCAUACCUGUUUCUUUAGUGUCUCCACGAUGCUAUCCUGAAAUUUAAAAGAAAUAUAAAUUUAAAGUAUCCACCAUGUUAUCCUGAAACUUAACUGAAAAAAAUGCAUGAAGAGUAAGUUCAAGAAUCACAUGAGACAUUAAGAUGAAAAAGAAAAGAAAACAUAAAUAGGAUAAAAUACAUGAACCCAUAUCUAAUGUCUUAUUGCUAAGUCUAAAAAAAACAUCUAUAGUGAAAAGGAAAUUAUGAAUAUAAUGUGACUUAUAAAUAAUGUAGCAAUACAUAUUCAAAUAUAGGUAUCAAAUGUGGCCUUCCAAAUUUUUCUAAAUGCUUUUAAAAAAAAUAGAAAAAAUUGAACACGUAUAUAUGAGACAUAAAUUUUUAUAUUUGAUAUCCACAUUCGUAUUUAAGUAACAUAAUUAAAAAAUUGACUUUGUAGCGUUUGAAAAUAAAUCUAGUGCAUCAAAAAAGAGAAUUAUUAUAAGAAAUAAUAUUUGAUGUACCGUCGGUAUAUAAAUUUUUUGCACAAUCGAUAAAUAAUAACAUGAUACAUCAUCAUUAAAUUAAACAAAAAAUUAUGCAUACCAUAUGAGGAUAAGGUUGCCAGCUCUUGUUGAGGGUUGAAAAACCAAAUUAAAAUGUUCAAAGUUAGAUUGGAGACUUAAAUUGAGUAAUUAAAUUUGUAAAAGUUUAACAUACCUCUUUACUUUGUUGCACUAAUCUCUCAAACAUGCGUCCUGCUUCCAGUAGUCUUGCCUUUGCCUCAUUUGUUUCUAAAUCAGCAUUAGCUAUUUCUCGGAACUUUUCCUUAAUGCCUUGGAACAUCCGGUCGCGCUGGCCAUUGCUUGCCAAGCACUAAUUCCAUAUCUGUCUCCAUGUCCUUUUCUCUAAAUAUACACACAAAAUAGGUGUUAAUAGAAAUAAACAUAUUUACAUUGUCUUUACAAGGAUUUUUUCGGACCAUCUCCUACAAUAUAUCGUUAAUUCUAAAAGUAAAAAACGUUCACAGAUUUUAACUUGUUUACCAUUGAAGUUGAAAAAUACUUUUCAAUCCAAACCAUGAUUUCAAAAUAAAAAAUUGAGUAAACAAGCUGCUUUUCAAACCAAUCUUUGAUUUUAAAUUAGGAUAUUAACCCAAGCCGAAAAAUUAAAUUUUUUAACUUUUAACUUUUGACUUUUGAUACAGUUCUUUUCAAAGAAAUUACAUUUUUAUCCUCUCAUUAAAUUUUUUACUUUACAUUAUGUCUAAAAUAAAUAUUUUAUCUUUUCAAAAACAAUUUUUAACAAAAAUGAUAAACUCUAUCAAUAUUUUUAAAAGCACUUUUGUAAAAUACUUUUUCGUAAACACUUUUCAAAAUAAAUUUUCAUCCACAACCAAUUAUUAAAUUCAAUUAGGAGACCUAACUUUCUUUAUCAAUCUAUUAAUCUAAUCCAUGAACAUUUUCACUAUUUUCGACACAAUUUUUGUAAUAGCCCAUUUUUCAGUGAAAUCGGAACAGUGGUUUCGAGACCACAAAUUCGACCCAAAAAUGAAAUUUAUUUUUAUUUCAUUACAUGGUCCGUAUUAUGGUAGACAUGUCGUGUGAAAAUUUUGAUUAAGGUACAUGGAUCAGAUUAAUAGAUUGAUAAAGAAAGUUAGGUCUCCUAAUUGAAUUUAAUAAUUGGUUAUGGAUGAAAAUUUAUUUUGAAAAGUGUUUAAAAUUUAUUUUGAAAAGUGUUUAUGAAAAAGUAUUUUACAAAACUGCUUUUAAAAAUAUUGAUAGAGUUUAUCAUUUUUGUUAAAAAUUGUUUUUGGAAAGAUAAAAUAUUUAUUUUAGACAUGAUGUAAAGUAAAAAAUUUAAUGAGAGGAUAAAAAUCUCAUCACGCAAUCCCCGUAAAAAUCUUUUACAACUAUCUGCUUCGAUUGGAAUAAACUCGGAGGCAUACCUGCUGAGUCUUGAAAACUCUCUCUCAUAAUCUAUAACUAACAUGUCACCCUAUUGCAGCAUUAAAAACUCUUGCUUCUUGCCUUCGAUAUACACUCCAGUAUAUUUCUUUUGAAAUUCUUUCUGAAAUAGGUCCCAUGUUAUCUGCUCCUCUGGUAAAUGUCGAACCACUAAUUCCCACCAUAAAUAAGCUUCCCAUUGUAGCAAAGAUACAACACAAAUUAAACACUCCUAGGGGGUACAGUCCAAUUGCUGUAAAAUUCUUUUAGUCGACUCCAUCCAAUUUUCAAUUAUGGAUGGAUCGACUCAUUUCAAACCCAUAAAUUCAAUAGCACCAUAUUUCUUCAAUUCUUUUAUUGGGGCCCGUCUUUGAACAGGUGCAGAAGUCAUAGAAGGAAUAGUUCCCGCCACUAUUUAUAAAGCAUCAGCUAUCGCUCUUAAUAUAUUAGAAUCAUCUCUAUCAUUUCUUCUUUCAACUCUAGAUGGUUGAUUUCUUACAGGAUUUAUGCUAGGUGUUACCGACUCGGUUUCAUCUAGUCCAUAUGACUCUUCAUCACCAAUAUACAUUUCUUGAUCAGUGUUGUUUAUUCUUUCAUCUGACAUCUUUAAUCUAUAAAACGAAACAAACGAAUAGGUCAGCAUCCAAAAUCCCGACUCAAUUUUGACUCAACAGUGGCAUGUACUUCUAGACUCACUUCCUAGCCCGAUUUAGUCCGGGAAUUGGCUAAACCUGACAGCUCUGAUAUAAAAAAAUGUAACAACCCUUAACCCUAAAUUGUCAUUAGAACAGGGUUACGAGACAUUACCGGACAUAUCGAACCAUUUACAAAUAAUUCUUAAUAAAUAACAAACAUAUUAUAAUAUAAUCAUAAGUUCAUAUAAUUUUUUUUUAAAAUAAAAAUUCAAUAUAACCCAUUUAUAAAUAUUUAAUCUUCCCUGCAAAUUUUAAAAGCAACCAAACCAAUUCUAGUAUUUCAACCAAUACAUUUAUAUACUCAAAUAUACUUAAAUCAUAUUUGACAUAUUGACUUAACAACUUAAUUAAUGAAAACCCUAUUAUCAUUUCUAAUUAGCUUAUAAAACUAUUCAAACCAUUUCAAUACAAUACCAAUGCCAUAAACUAUUUUUACCAUUUCACUAAUUUAAUUAUCAAAACACCCAAUACCUUUCUUUACAACAAAAUUUAUAUAACAUACCAAAAUAACCAUUAUAAUUCCUAUGUACAUGCCACUUUCACUUAAAGGAAGAAAACAUCACCAAAAUCUUGAUGCUGGAGUCGGGAUCGUUUGGAUGCUGGACCGGGACUCUAGACUUCUAUUAUCCUGCGCACGAAAACAACCGUACGCUGAGUAUUUCAUACUCAGUGGUAUUACCAUAAUUCAAAUUAUAAUAGGAAUAAAGAAUUAUAAUUACCAUGCAUGUAACUAUCCAAUUCCUCAAAUAUCAAUUCAUUCUUAAACUUUCAUUAAUUAACAAUAACAAUACAAUUUUUAGCUAUUCUUCAAUUUCCAUCACAUAUCACAUGUACAAUUUCAAUCACCUCAUGAUCAUUAAGUUCAUGCCUUUCAUUUUCAAACUCAAUUUCAAUACAUAAUUCAACUUUUUCAUUUCUUUCAAUAUUUUCAAUAAUAUAAUCAAUCAAUUUAUUUUAAAUUUCUCAUUUCAGUUGUUCACCCUAUUAACAAACCUGGACUUUGACGGGUACACGGAUUCCAACCCAAACACACCAGUACGACACAUUGUGCCUAAAACGGUACAUAGUACCUGAUCAGCAUACGACACAUAAGUGCCAGAAAUGACACAUGAGGUGCCUGAAAUACGACACAUAAAGUGCCUGAUAUACGACAUAUAAAGUGCCUGAUCGGCAAAGCCGAUAAAUCCCGUAGUCUUCCAAAUCCUAUGGCAUACCAAUUAUAUUCGACUUAGCCCGACUAGUUAAUAGGGUAUUCCAUAUUACUUUUCAAUUUCAAUUUCAUUCUCAAUUUAAUUACAACUCAAUUCAAUAUACUUUUCCAUUUCAAUCCACAUACAAUUCAAUUUCAAUACAUAUUCAUCAUUCAACACAAUUUUCAUUCAAUUCAACAAUAACACUUACCUUAUAAUUUACUUACCAUAUACAUAAAUUAAUUUAACAUUUAAUGAAUAAAUAAAUAAUUUGAAUUAUAGUAAUACAAACCCGAAUUCUGCAGUUACUCCUCGACGACCUUCUCCUUCCGUUUUUGUAACGAUACCUCAAAUUCUUUAUUAGCUACGAAAAUUAAAUAAUUUACACUAUUAAUUACAACACCAGUUUAAAAUAAAUAAUUAAAUUCUAUUUAAUUUAUAUCCUAUUUUCAAUUUAAUUCUAACUAAACUUACUUAUUUUCUUAACUCAAUUCACACUCUAUUUCUAUUCAAAUUUCAUCCAUGCUUACAUUUAACUAUUAAUUUUCAGCAUAUUUUCCGAAUUUUGAAAUUUCUUCAAUUUAGUCCCUACUACAUAAAAGUUAUAGCCUAGUCUACAAUUUAAUCCUUUAAUCAAUUCUAACUUAAAAUUCAUUCAAUUAAACCCUUAAUUCUAUAAUUUGUCCAACAUAAACCCUACUUGAAAACCUAUGAACUCUUGAAAUAUCAACUUAAUUUCAAUAAAACCUUGUUUAGAACUUCUAAAACAUCAAAAUUAACUAGAAAGGUCUUAAUUAACGUACCAAUCAAAGUUUCAAGCUUCAAAUCCCUAGUUUUCUCUUUUAUUUUUCUUUCCCUUUUUCUUUCUCUUUUUCUCCCCGGCUUCUCAUUUCAAUUCUUUUUCUAUUCUUUGUUUUUGUUUCUUUUAUAUUUUAUUUUCUUUAUUAACAUAAUAUAAUGAUUAUAAUAAAUAUCUAUUUUAAUAACAAUAUUCAUUUUACAUUUGGUCACACAUAUAUUUCUACAUUUGUACCAAUAAUUUUAUUACAAUUGUCAUUACUUAAUUUGUUUAUCAAACAAAAAUCUCAUAGUUUAAUUAUUUAAUUUAAUAAAUGUAACACCCCCAAACCCGGCCUAGACACUAUGGCUAAAUCUGGCGGUGUCACAAGUGAGUGCUUUUGGAAAACCUUUUUUAAAACUUUAUCCAGUGGAAAUCGUACAGAUUAUUAUCUUUAUUUAAGACAUGAAAUCUCCAAACCGAUCAUUAGGUGAUCACAUUUCAUUAUCGCGGAAGCUAAAACAUCAUUAAUUCAUUAAUGUAUAGCUUAAUAGUUUAAAAUCCCGAAAUAAACUUAAAAAUAGUUCAAGUUCAAAGACAUUUUAAUCCCAAAAUAAAUAUUUAAAAUAAAGAAAACAAAUAAAUUGUUACUUAAAAAUCUAUAAAUGUCCAACAGUGGUCACCAUCGAGCCCUCCGUCGCACCAAUCCAUCUACUGUUGAGGAUUACCUAAUAGACAAAUAAACAAAGGGGUGAGUUUUCGCAAACUCAGUGUGUACAACCCCACAAACAGCAUGUACACAAACAGAUAGCAGAAUACAGAUAGUUCGGCCUUAGCCAUACAGGUAUCGCAAGCAUAACAAAUCAGAUAUCAGAAAACAUGCCCACCAACCCUGCCCACCAUCUCCGACCAACCCAACACACCAUGUGGGGAUAGAAUUGACCCACCGAACCCUACACACCAAGUAUGGGGAUAUAAUCAACCCAUCCAACCCUACACACCAAAAUAUACUGUAAAACGGUACAUAAUAGAUAUAUGCAGCGUAGCUACCAGAUAACAGGCUAAUCGCCUCUCAGACUUUCUUCUCUUCACAACAAUCCCAACCUAAUGCAAUACAACAUACAUAUCAUGACAUGCUUAUAUGCAGAUAUCAUAUCUUAUCAAAAUCAUGGCAGAACAGAUAUACGAAAUCAGACGGAGAAAUAUGCUUAUAAUAACAUGCUUUUGUAUACAAUUCAGUAAUCAAUCAGAAUAUAGGGAAUCAAUAAGUCCAACUCAGAUUUCUAAUAAGCCCAACUCUUAAUUGCAACUUGUAGUAAAAAUAACCCCAUCGCCACUGCAGGGAAUCGAACCCCUGACUCUAAGCGUAUUCCCUUGCCACUUAACCACUAGACCAGCAGGCCUAUUCUAUUAAGUUUUUACUCAUAAUUCAUUAUAAGCUCACUGACCUCAAGUCAGACUUUAUUCAAUAAAAAGCAAAAUUUAGCCCAAGUUAAAGCUUGAACUUGGGACCUCCCAAACACACCCUAGAGCACAUUAUCACUUAACCCACAUAUAUUUAAACCAAAAAAACUUGAAACACAGAUUCAGACACUUCUAAGCCCAACACUUACAAAAGUCGAAACUAUAGAAAUUUGGGGCAUUACAACUCUACCCCCUUAAAGAAAAUUCGUUCUCGAAUUUUACCUGAUCAGAAAAGGUGAAGAUACUGCUGACGCAUCGAAUCCUUUGGCUCCCAAGUAGCCUCCUCAAUGCUAUGAUUUUGCCACAACACCUUCACCAAGGGAAUAGAUUUCCUACGCAGAAUCUUAACGUCAUGAUAUACAAUCUAAACUGGCUCCUCCUCAAACGUCAAAUCUGGUCUAAUCUCAAUUUCCUCCACAGGCACAAUGUGAGUAGGAUCAGAGCGAUAGCAUCUCAACAUUGACACGUGAAAUACGUCAUGUAUACGAUCUAGCUCUAGAGGUAGCUACAACUGAUAUGCGACUGGCCCCACUCACUUUAGAAUUCGGUACUGCCCAAUAAAUCGCGGGCUCAGCUUACCCUUGUGACUGAACCUCAGAACCAUUUUUCAUGGCGAGAUCAUUAGGAAAACCAUGUCUCCCACAAAAUACUCAAUGUCCUUUCUCUUUAAAUUCGCAUAAGACUUUCGUCUAUCAGAAGCCACUUUUAGAUGAUCCCGAAUCAAACAAACCUUAUCCUCAGUCUCUAAAAUCAAUCCGGACCCAGAACACGUUGCUCACCUAACUCAGUCCAGCACAAAGGAGUGCGACACCUACGACCAUAAAGUGCCUCAUAUGGUGCCAUUUGUAUACUAGACUGAUAACUGUUGUUGUAAGUGAACUCGGCUAAAGGCAAGUACUCCUCUCAACUGCCUCAAAAAUCUAUUAAGAAACCCCUCAACAUGUCCUCCAAUAUCUGAAUCACCCUCUCUGACUGUCCAUCCGUUUGAGGACGAAUCCCCCAAAAUUGAGACGUAAAACUUGGAUCCCUAUUAGAAAUGAUCGAGAUUGGUACCCCAUGCAGCCUCACUAUUUCAGAAAUGUAAAGCUUGGCCAACUUCUGUAAAGAGAAGUUUGUUCUAACAAGAAUGAAAUGUGUCAACUUGGUCAAUCGAUCCACGACGACCCCAUACAGAAUCCUUCUUAGUGGGUGUUAGAGGAAACCCACUAACGAAGUCCAUCGCCACUUGCUCCCAUUCCCACAUCAGUAUCUUUACUGGCUGAAGUAAACCCGAAGGUAACUGAUAUUCAGCCUUAACUUACUGACAAGUCAAACAGUGAGCAACAAAGUCUGUCACCUUACGUUUCAAUCCUGACCACCGAUACAACUCUCGAAAAUCCUUAUACAUUUUGCUGCCCCUAGGAUGCAAAGCGUAAGGGCUACUAUGUGUCUCCCUCAGAAUUGACAACCUCAAAUCCUCAUCAUUAGGUACACAGAUCCUAUCUCAGAAACGCAACACCCCAUCACUGUCAAUCUUAAAAUCAGUGGUUGUUUCAGCCUCAACCUGAUGGAAUUGCAAAUCAAGAGACUUAUCUCCCAACUGCUUAUCCUUAAUCUGAUCCAACCACAUCGGUUUAACCUGCAACUCAGCUAGAAGACUCCCAUCAUUAUAAAGACUCAGUCGAGUGAACAUUACCCUCAGUCGGUCAUCACCCUACGACUUAAUGCAUCCGCCACCACAUUGGCUUUACCCAGAUGGUACUCAAUAAAGUAGUCAUAAUCUUUAAGCAGCUCCACCCAGUAACGUUGUCUAAGAUUUAACUCAUUCUGAGUGAAGAGAUACUUGAGGCUAUUGUGAUCAGUGUAGAUGAUACACUUCUCACCGUACAAGUAAUGCUUGUAAAUCUUAAGAGCAAAAACCACUACUACCAACUCUAAAUCAUGUGCUAGAUAAUUAGCCUCGCGAGUCUUGAGCUGACGAGAUGUAUAUGCAACCACUUUACCAUCCUACAUCAAGAUGCAGCCUAAACCCACAUGUGACACACCACUGUAAACCAUAAAAUCCUUGCUAGACUUAGGUUGUAUCAGAAUUGGAGCCUGAGUCAAGACUAUCUUGAGCUUCUCAAAGCUCUCCUACUGAGCGUCCUUCCUGAUUACGUGAUAUUCAUAACAUGUUUUAAAGAUUUAUAAAUGAAUCGUUCUUGAGACUAACUUAUUAUCACGUUUAAGGCAAGUAUACCUAUCGAAUAGUAGUAUAGUUCAGCAAGAUCGAAUUUCGAACCCAAAGGAACUAUGAGUACUAGUAUUUACUUCCUUUUUAUUAUCUAGCCUAAAAAUUAAGAGGUUUGGUUAUCUAAACUAAUUACUAACUAAGAAUGCACAGAAAGAAAACUUGGGAAAAUACUUUUGGGAAAAUUCGAUUCAUUGAGACAAUACCUAAAGAAAAAUCCACCUAGACUUCACUUGUUACUUGACUUUGAAUCAGACGAUUUAUUCAUUUGACUUGAUCCGUAGAAAUCCCUAAGUUAUAUUAUUAUCUCUCUCGAGACUAAUAACGUCUAACCCUAGGUUGAAUAAUUGAAAUCUCUUUCUAAUUAACACCCUAGAAUUGUAUUAACUCGAUCUAUGGAUUCUCUUAUUAGGUUUCACCCUAAUUCAGCAAAAUCUUGUCACCCUAUCUCUAGGCGCGCAAUAAACUCCGCUUAAUUAUGACAAAUUUACUCUUAGACAGGGUCUAUUCCUCCUUUGAAUAAGAGCUUAACUUGAAUCAAUAUUCUGAAAUAUCAAAACAAGAAUUAAGAACACAUAAUUAAGAACAAGUCAAAUAUUUAUCAUACAAUUCAGAUAAUAAUAACAAGAUCCAUCUUAGGUUUCAUUCCCUUUAGGUAUCUAGGGGGUUUAGUUCAUACUUAUGAAAGAAAACAUCUCAAAAGCAUAAAGAUAACAAAACAUAAGAAAACCCAAAACUCCUGAAGGAACUUGAAGGGAGAUCUUCAGUCUUGAUGAUAAAUCCGGCUUCUAAGAUAGAUCAAUCGGCUUCCCUUGAGUAAUUCCUUCCUUCCUCCUCUAAGUCCCCCCUCUAAAUGCCUCAUCAGGUGUUUAAAUAGGCUUUGGAAUGCCUAAAAGCCCUCAAAAUUGGCCUUUUCUGAAUUGGACUAAACUUGGGCUCAGUAGGGACACGCUCGUGUACGAUUACUUAAGGCCGUGGUCAAGGCUGUUAAAUAGGAACGGGCGUGUGAUCCACCCGUGUAAGUCGUGCUUCAAUCCUGUCAAAGGGACACGGCCGUGGGGCACACCCGUGUGAGAAAGUCCAGGCCGUGUUGAUUUUCUGAGUGGAUCUAUUUUCUCCGUUUUUGACCCAUUUCUCGCUCUUUAUACUCUCCUAUGCUCACCUAAGUAUAAAACAUGAAAUUAAAGGAUUAGGAGCAUCGAAUUCACCAAUUCUAAGGAGAAACCAUCUAUAAAUGCGCUAAGCAUGAGAUAAAAAUAUGUAUAAAUUAUGGUUUAUCACUUCCAAACAAAGGGAACUCCCUUACGCAGUAACUUAGUCAACGGCACUGUGAUCAACGAGGACCUUUCUAUGAAGCGUCGGUAAUAACCCGCUAGACCCAAAAAACUGCGAACCUUCGACACACUCUUCGACUGUUUCCAAUCCAUUACAGCCUCAAUCUUAUGAGGAUCUACUCGAAUCCCCUUAAUAGAAACCACAUGCCCCAAAAAGGUUACCUCCCUAAGCCAGAACUCACACUUCGUGAACUUCCCAUACAACUGCUUCUCACGAAGGAUCUGUAAAACCAUUCUUAAAUACUCGUCGUGCUCGUUCUCAGACUUAGAAUACACCAAAAUGUCAUCGAUGAACACCACCACAAACUGAUCUAAGUAGGGCUGAAACACACGGUUUAUCAGAUCCAUGAACGCUACUGGUGCAUUAGUCAACCCAAAAGGCAUAACUAAGAACUCAUAAUGUCCAUACCAAGUCCUAAGUGCUAUCUUAUGCACAUCGGCCUCCUUUACUCUCAACUGAUGAUAUCCUAAUCGCAGAUCAAUUUUAGAGAAUGCAGAAGCCCCUCUGAACUGAUCGAAUAAAUCGUCUAUCCUUGAAAGUGGGUACUUAUUUUUAAUUGUCAACUUGUUCAACUGACGAUAAUUGAUGUACAUCCUCAUCGUACCAUUCUUCUUCUUUACGAACAAAAUCGGUGCUCCCCAUAGAGACACACUAGGAUGAAUAAACCCACGAUCUAACAACUCCUAAACUUGAGCAUUCCGUUCUGCCAGCUCCUUCGGUACCAUUCGAUAAGGGGCAAUAGAUACAAUAGCUAUACCGGGAAUCAACUCUAUCCCAAAAUCUACCUCACGACUCGGAGGCAAUCCUGGUAAUUCCUCUGGAAAAACAUCUGGAAAAUCCUUCAUAGUACAGAUGUCCUUAACUGAUAAGCCUAUAGAAUCAAAAGCACUGAUGUAGGCCAAAAAUGCCUCACAUCUUUUCCUCACUAGCUUCUCGACUACCAACAUAGAUAUCACAUUACUCAGCUAAUUCUGUCACUCCCCAAUCAUGACUAUCUCCUUAUCCUUUUUAGUCCUCAGAACCACCCUUUUUUGGGCAUAAUCCAGACUUACAUGAUGGUUCACCAGCCAGUCCAUACCCAGAAUCAGGUCGAACUCCCCAAACGAAAGUUCCAUCAGAUCAGCCAAAAAUAUUGUCCCUUGGACUUCCAACGGAACUUUCCUGAAUAGCUUACUGACCCUAAUGGACUGCCCCAAGAGACUCAGCACAGAAAUCUCACUAGAAGUGCUCUUAUACGAAAUCUCUAAGGUCUCAGACAUAGAAUAUGCAACAUAGGAAUGUGUAGAGCCUAUGUCUAUCAGUGCAACAUAAGGUAUAUUAAAAAUUAAAAACGUACUCGUGAUGACAUCUGAAGCAUCUCCAUCCUCACGGUGAUGUGCAGCAUAGACAAGUGCAGGCUGCCUCGCCUCAGUCGGCCCAGCACCUUUACCAGGUGUUCUCUGACCUCGACCCAUACCGUUACCACCCCUAGCCUGUCCUCGACCCCUAGGUGGCUGCUGUACCCCUCUCGGCGGCUACACAAUCUCAACAAUUGAAGCUUGCACCUGAUUACCCCUCAAUGGACAAUCCUUAAGAUUAUUAUCAAGUCCCGCGAGCGAGAGGGUUAUGUGCCUGCACUUAGGAAGUUCUUUGAGAGAAUCCGAGAAUAUAAGAUCAGGCUGAAUCCACAGAAAUGCGUAUUCGGAGUGACAGCCGGUAAGCUGCUUAGGUUUAUGGUUAGUGGGGGAAAAAGAAAAGUCUAAGUACAUAUGGUACGAAAAGGAAAUCCACACCUCAAACAAGCGCCAGUAGAUCUCCCACACUCGCAAAGAUGGCGUCUAUUACAUAGCUGACAGAUCGUCACCCCAGCAGGUGCAACAGUAAGCCCAACUUGAGCGGGCCCGUUAGUCCUGACCUUUUUCUUAGGCCUUAUCCCAGAACCAGUAGACCCAGAAUCCCUCUUAACUUUCCCUUUUCUCAUAAUUUUUGAGCUUAGAGCGCUUCAUCUCCUCAGUUAUCUUGGCCUUCUCGACUAAUACUGAGAAAUCCCACUCCCUCUGAGGAGUUAUCAAAACUCGCAGACUAUCACGAAGACUAUCCUCAAAUCGAACACAUCGCUCAUACUCAUUCAUCACCAUGCCCCUCGCAUAGCGACUUAGCCUCAUACUCGGCCACUGAACAGUCUCUCCAAAUGAGAUUUAGAAACUCACGUCGCCUAGCGUCAGUGUAGUUAGCUCCCACAUACUUACUCUGAUAAGUGGUCUUAAACAAAUCUCAAGCCAACCUAUUAGGCUGAGUACCCUCAUUGACGGUCAACCACCACUGGUAUGCCUCAUCACGAAGCAGAGACAUAGCCUCCUUGAGCUUCUGCUCAUCAGUAAAAUCCAAAUCAUUCAUUAUGCGCUCUGUGGCCUCCAUCUAGUACUCGGCCACACUCGAAACAACUCUAGCGAUUCCCCUAAAUAUCUCAGCCCCGUUCGACUGGAGUCGUUCCGUAACCGACCCACGGCCUCCAGAUCCAACAUUAGCCUCAGCGACCCUCUCCAAAAUUUGCAGCAUGGCCUGGGAUAGUGCGUCAUCUCUAGCUGCACGAUCCUGAGACUCAGCACCAGUUUCAGUAACAGGUGACACCGGCGUCUCGCUAGUGUCCAAAUUAAGGAUCGUAUCAAAUGCGAAGGACUCAGCUCGAAUCCCCCUACGGCCUCUACCUCGGCCCCUAGUACCCCGUCCACGAGUACAAUGCGUGCUCAUCGCAGCUAUUGAAUUAAUCCAUAUUUAGAAAUUUUAUGCACAUCAAUUUAUAGUUUCGAUAGUUAUUAACAGAUAUUUUAUGCAGAACAGUAUCAUAGUUUCAGAAUUAGUUAUCGCGAGUAAUAGGCUCACUAUGGUUUCUAGUUUACACUACCUAAAGUGUUCUGUGAAGUACUACCUAUAGAGGUCUCACAAUACAUACAUAGAAUUUCAGAAAUAUACAGAAAAAUUUUAGUAUAAGCAUGCUUUCAAACAGUAUAUAUCAAAGUUUCAGAGAACUUACAGGAUAGACACCAGAGACUCGGUGAACCACUUAUUUAUAAAAAAUAUUUCAAAUUACUUUACCACUUACUUUCAAAAACCCAUUCUUUUUACUACUCAAAUCCACAGUUGAGUUUUUUCAAAUUUGACUCUGAUACCACUAAAUGUAACACCCCCAAACCCAAACUCGACGAUAUGGCCGAAUCUGGCGAUGUCACAAGUGAGUGCUUUUGGAAAACCUUUUUCAAAACUUUAUCCAGUGGAAAUCGUACAGAUUAUUAUCUUUAUUUAAGACGUGAAAUCUCCAAACCUUUCAUUAGGUGAUCACAUUUCAUUAUCGCGGAAGCUAAAACAUCAUUAAUUCAUUAAUGUAUAGCUUAAUAGUUUAAAAUCCCGAAAUAAACUUAAAAAUAGUUCAAGUUCAAAGACAUUUUAAUCCUAAAAUAAAUAUUUAAAAUAAAGCAAACAAAUAAAUUGUUACUUAAAAAUCUAUAAAUGUCCAACAGUGGUCACCAUCGAGCCCUCCGUCGCACCAAUCCAUCUACUGUUGAGGAUUACCUAAUAGACAAAUAAACAAAGGGGUGAGUUUUCGCAAACUCAGUGUGUACAACCCCACAAAUAGUAUGCACACAAACAGAUAGUAGAAUAUAGAUAGUUCGGCCUUAGCCAUAAAAGUAUUGCAUGUAUAACAAAUCAGAUAUCAGAAAACAUGCUCACCAACCCUGCACACCGCCUCCGACUAACCCAACACACCAAGUGAGGAUAAAAUCGACCCACCUAACCCUACACACCAAGUAUGGAGAUAUAAUCGACCCAUCUAACCCUACACACCAAAAGAUACUGUAAAAUAGUACAUAAUAGAUAUAUGCAGUGUAGCUACCAGAUAAUAGGCUAAUCGCCUCUCAGUCUUCCUUCUCUUCACAAUAAUCCCAACCUAAUGCAAUACAACAUACAAAUCAUGACAUGCUUAUGUGAAGAUAUCAGAUCUUAUCAAAAUCAUGACAGAAUAGAUAUAUGGUAUUAGACGGAUACACAUGCUUAUAAUAACAUGUUUUUGCAUCAAUUCAGUAAUCAAUCAGAAUAUAGGGUUUAAGUAACGUUUACCACCCCUACAAUCAGGUCAUAGUCGACUUAAGUGACCCAUGCAACCUUACAGAACAUUUCAAACAAAUUGGGCUCACACGCCCAUGCGAUUCAUCCGUAUGGGCCCACAUAGCCCAUUUACCUGAGCCCGUGCCUCACACACAGCCUCAUUAGCCUCACACGACCGUGUUUAUCGUGCUUAUGUGGCGCGCGGAUGGCCUGCCUCGUCAGUCACACGCUCGUGUCUCACGAUGCAGGCUACAACACAGGCAGACCAUACGUCCGUGUGACAUCAACAGGCCACUUUUUAACUUUUAUCAAAACUCAUUUUCUAUGCGAUUUUCACUGCUAAUCCAACCACGAGCACUCUAAAGCCUAACAUAGACAAUACCGAGCCUAAAUCAAUCACUUAAAUCGACUUACAUAAGAAUGGAAAAAUCCCAAAACGUGAGAUCUAAUUACCUUCAAUGAAGAACAGUGAUUCCUCGCUGUUAGAAACUCGAUCAGUGAUCCACAGAACCUUGAAUAUUCCCUAACAGCAACCAAUAUUCUUCUUUAAACAAACUCCAAAGGAAAACACGUAACUCAAAUAAAGUGAUACUUACCGAAUCGACAGAACCGCUAGCGAUACGUCUAAGCUUAUCGAAAAAGAAGAAAAAAAAAAGAGAGGGGAAGGAGAAAGAUGAUUUUCGGUAGCAAGAUUUUUAGGGAAAAUAAAAGAAAAAGACGUCAGAAAAUAAAAAGAAUGCCUUUAUUCCAAAAAGAAAGGAAUAAACCCUAAUUUCCCUUAAAACCCCAACUCAGAUUUCUGAUAAGCCUAACUCUUAAUUGCAACUUGCAGCAAAAAUAAUCCCAUCGCCACUGCAGGGAAUCGAACCCCUAACCCUAAUCGUAUUCCCUUGCCACUUAGCCACUAAACCAGCAGGCUCAUUCUGUUAAAUUUUUACCCAUAAUUCAUUAUAAGCUCAUUGACCUCAAGUCAGGCUUUAUUCAAUAAAAACCAAAAUUUAGCCCAAGUUAAAGCUUGAACUUAGGACCUCCCAAACACACCUCGGAGCACAUUAUCACUUAACCCACAUAUAUUUAAACCAAAGAUAACUCGAAACACAGAUUCAUACACUUUCAAGCCCAACACUUACAAAAGCCAAAACUACAGAAAUUUGGGGUAUUACAAUAAAUAUCUUUAACUUAAUAAUAAUAAUUAGUAAAUAUCUAUUUUAAUAUCAUUUACAUUUAUUACAAUUGUACACAUAAAUAUUAUUACAUUUGUACUUUAAUAAUAAUAAUAUAAAACCAUAAUAAUGGUUAAUAAUUAUAAUAAUUAUAUAUAUAACUUAAAUAAAAUCUUAGAUUUUAAUGCAUAUAUGCCGCCUCAUUUCAUAUAAAUGGUUUAAUUGCAAUUUUAGUUCUUUUUAUUUUCUAUUACUCUACAAUUCAACUUUUACCCCUUAUUCAAUUUAGUCUUUUUUACUAAUUACUCUAAAUUGAGCUAAUUUCACUUAAUUAAAACCUAAUUAAACACACUACUAGACUUAUAAUUAUUCCUAAUAAUUAUUUACGAACCCGUUUCACUAAGACGGAGGCCUAAUAAUGUACUUUUUUGAUGGUUGUAAAUUUUGGGUUAUUACACCAUUAAUUUUGGUAUUUUGUACAAGAAAACAAAAGAAUGUUUGGUGGCUGGAUAUUGUAAUGAUGACUAUGCUGGAGACUAUGAUAUGCAGUAAUCAAAAACUGGGUACAUCUUCAACCUUGGAUCAGGAGCAAUAUCAUGGUGCAACAAGAGACAACCAACAAUGUCAUUAUCAAGCACCAAAGUGGAAUAUCAGCGAACAACAUUAGUGACAUAAGAGAGUACUUGGCUAAAACAAUUGAUAGAAGAUCUUCAUCAGCCAACAAAACUUCAAGCAAGGCUUCUUUGAUAUAAUUUAUCAGCCACAUGUCUUGUAGAGAAUCCAAUCUUUCAUGCCAGGACAAAACAUAUAAAAGUGCACUAUCAUUAUAUUCGCAAGAAGGACUUUGAAGGGAAGAUCAAUAUGGUGCCAACAAAGACUGAUAAGCAAGUUGCAGAAAUAUUCAAGAAGAGUCUGAGUAGACUAAAGUUUGAGAAGUUUAGAGAAGCAUUUGGUAUGAUCUGCAAAUCAUCUUUGGAAAGAAGUUUACAUUGAGGGGGAGUAUUGAAAGCCAAUGCAACUUCUAGAUAAAAAAGCCAAUUUUAUCCUUUAAGAGACAUUUUCUUUAGAAGAUUCUAGAAUAUAUAUAAAAAAUAAAGAAACAUGAUAUUUUCUAGAAUACUAGAUAGUAUACAUGAACAUUCUAGUUAUUAGAUAUUUGUAAAAUUAAUGGUAAGGAUGUUGACAUGUGUCAACAAUCCAACGAUCACUAACUUCUAUAAAUAGGGGUAGGAUCUUUCAUUUUUUGUAGUGUGUGUAUGUGUGUAUGCAAUAGAGAAGUGUGUAUCAUAUUGUAAUUGUAUUGUGCAUUAAUAAAAGUGUUCUUUUCUUUUGUAAUUGUAAGUCUCGGUUAAGCCUUAGGUUUCUUAGCACUUAGUGCACUUGGGUUAGCUUCUAUAUAUGGUCGACUCUGCCGCCUGAAUAAUAUAUGGUCGGCCCUAUCACUUAAGUAUUACAGUGUACUAAGAAGUUAGAAAAUAAAAGGUAACCAACUUUAGAGAGUUGGUGUAACAUUAGUUGUAGGUCCUAGGUCCUCUAUAGUAGCUGUGUUGAGCUCAUCGAGUUUCCAACAAUUUGCAAGUCAACGGUAUCAAAAUCUUCUUUCAAAUAAAAAAAAAACAAAACCAUAUAAAACGAUAUUGACUCAAAGUGAAGAAAUUAUGUAAAAUCAAAGCAAGAUAUAAUACUGGAUUGUAAUUCAACCUUAUGUACUUCUACAGUAGUGAAGAAAAAAGAGAGAAGGGUCGGGUGUCCAAGAGAUUUAGGGCUAAAAGUAUAGAAAAUCGUCAUAACUUGCCUAGAAUUUUAAAGUUUUUUUUAUUCAAGCAGGCUACUUCGGGAGCUUGGUUCUUUUACCACAAAACACAAUUCGAAUUAGAAAACAUACCAAUGGACAGAUCGCAUUUAAUACAAUAAAAAUCAUCAUGUUCGACUAGAAUGAGCAACAAUAGAAGGUUUUAGAAAGCCUUAAAUUUAGUUACUAAAAUAUGUUGAAAGCCUUAAAUUUGGGAUUUUGACUUGGGUUUCAAUUUGAAUUUGAUUCAAGGAUCCGUUUAUGUUUUGGUUUGAGGAUCCGGUUCAUAGGCAUUUCGGUUGUUCGGUAACCUCUCGAGUAACUAAACAAGUGUGAAGGUUCUACAAUUUUGUAAUAUAUAUAAAUAUAAAAUAUCAACAAAAAAAUUCAAAAUUAAUUUAAUAUGAUGUUUAUCUUAGUGAAACAUAAUUUGGCCAACAAUAAUAUUAAAAUAAAAUAAAAUAAAUUUUUUUUGUAUAUAUUUCAAAAUAUCCAUGUCUUUUUGGCUCAUUUUAAGUCAUCGAAACUCUAAGCUCUUUUUCAAAAAUUUGUUUUUUUAAUAAUGUUAAUUUAGAGUUGAAAUGUAAUUCUAAAAAAAUAAAUUUUGUUUGAUCAAUAAGAGUAACCAAAAGCCUAAGAUUUUGGGCUCAAAACAUUGAAAAUUGUCAAAAUUUCCUUUUUCAAGUAGGCUUCUUUGGAAGCCUAGUUCUUUUACCACAAAACAAAAUUCGACUUGGAAAACAUACCAAUGACAUAUCACAUUUCAUAUAAUAGAAAUCAUCUCACGUUCGCUUGGAAUGAACAACAAUAGAAGGUUUCAAAAUGCCUUAAAUUUAAUUACCCAAAUAUUUUAAAAGCUUAGAAUUUGGGAUUUUGACAUGGGUUUCAAUUUAGGGUUUUGGUUUAGGGAUUCAAUUCCAAUUUUGGUUGGGGGUUUUGGUUUGAAGGCAUUUCGGUUGUUCGGUAACCGUACGAGUAAGUAAACAAGUGUGGUAAAUUUAUAAGUUUGUAAUGGAUAUAAAUAUAUAAAUUGAACAAAAAAAAUAAUUAAAAAUUACUUUUAAUAUGAUGUUUACCUUAAUAAAGCAUAAUUUGGCCAACAAUAAUAUUAAGAUGGAAUAAAAUAAAAAAAUUUGUAUUCUAUAUUUUAAAUUUUUCAUGACUUUUUGACUCAUAUUAAGUCAUCGGUACUCUAAGCUCUUUAAAAGUUUUUGCGGUUUUAAUAAUAUUAAUUUAGAGUUUAAAUGUAAACCUAAAACCAUAAAUUUUGUUUGAUCUAAAAGAGUAAUCAAAAGAUUUUGAAGCUCAAAACAUUUGACCUUUAAAUUAAUAUUCUUAAAAAAGCAUAAUAUUUGACAAAGCAUAAUAUUUGAAUGAGUAGAGUUUUGAUGAUUUAAAAUGAGCCAACAAGUCAUGAAAAUUUAAAAAUAUUGAAUAAUUUGUUUAUUUCAUUUUAAUAUUGUUGUUAGCUAAAUUUUGUUUUAUUAAGUUAAACAUAUAUUUAUAUAUAGUAUAAAAUUGUAAAAUUAUUACACAUAUUUAGUUAUUACAAUCGAUAUAUCUUCAAAUUAAAACCAAAUCCAAAACUCAAAGUCAAAACUGAAAGUGUAAGCCCAACCCUACACCAAAUCUAAAACUCCAAAACGAAAACAUAAACUUAAGGCAGAAAAGGAAGAGAAAAACUUUGGGUUUCUCCCUUUCAAGAAAACUUCCUUCCUACUGAAGCGUGUGUGUUUUUUUGGCCUGUGUUUACCAAAAGUUAAAAAAGAAUGAACUGAAAAAAUGAAAAGAGAUCGAGAGAGAAUCGACAAAGUAAAAGAACGGAGAAAGAGAGAAGAACGAAAACAAAAGAGAAAGAAAGAAGGCAAAAAGAGGGGAGAGAAUAAAAGGGCAAACAAAGGUUAGACAGAUCCAUAAAGAAUUUAUAUAGUUAUUCAAUGUACCCUACUGGUUCUGUGUCUUGUCAUGCCAGCCCACACGCUCGUUCAACUUUCAAUCUUUUUCCUUUCUUUUAAGUAGUGGUGUUUAUGGGCUGGAUUAGGCUAGAUUUGUGUCGGGCUCAACUAAAAAAUUAUGUUCAUUUAUUGGGUUUAGGCCGGGCCGGGCUCAAAAAAUGGGCCUAAAAUUUUACCCAAGUUCGACCCAGAUAAAAAUACUAAAACCCAGGCCCGGCCCGACCAGCCCGUAUUAAUUUUUAUAUUAUUUUAUUAUUAUUUCUAAAUAUAUAUAAUACAUCAAAAAUACUAAAAAUAUCAAAAUAAAUAUUUCCCAACAAAUUGAAAAUAAAUUUUGAAAAAUAUGUAGACUUAAAUAACACUAAGAUAAAUGCAACUUAACAAACAAUUGCUUCUAAAAUAAUAAAAAAAUUAACAAAUGCCUUUAAAAUAAAUUUCAAAUAAUAACAAAAAAAUAAUAGCAACAUAAUAGGAAAAUGGUAGCAAAAUAUAGAGAAAACAACAAGAAAAUAACAUUCAAAAAUAAAAAAAUAUGCAGAUUUUUUUUGUCCUUUAGUGAAUUCGGGCCAGGCCGGGCUGGGCUCUGGCUAAAAAUAUCUUACCCGAGGCCCGGCCCUUUUUUAAACGGGCCUUAUUUUUUGUCCAAGCUCAUUUUUCGGGCCUAUAUUUUUGCCCAAACCCUCCCACAUUUCGAGCGGGCCUUCGGGCCGAGCUGGGUAGCCCGGGCCAUGCACACCUCUACUUUUAAGUAAUUGACUCACUUCCUAGAUUUGGUGCAUCCUAUUUAAAUUUUACAUCUGUGUUUUUUUUCCUUCCGCAGCUUGUUUAAUAUAUAAAAAUAUUAAAAAAACUAAAAAAAUAUAUUACUAAUAUUUAAUAAAUUUUAAAAAAUAAUAUAAAAUACAUGUGAAUUAUGAUGUGUUGUUAUAUUUAAAAAUUUAAUAUUUUCACUAAUAUUUCUAAUAAAAAUAAUAAUUCAAUUUUUUUUUAAAAAAAUUAGAUUAAAUUUAACUUAAACAAUAAAUAAGGACCAAUUUGAAAAAAUAAAUAAAUAUUAAAGGUCAAAUAUAUUAUUACCCAUAUAUUUAUACUUAGAUAGGGAUAUUCCCUAUCUGGGAUAUUACAGAUAUAGGAUAUCCUCAAACCAGGAUAUACCAAAGUCAGUUAACCUCAGAAUGGGAUAUACCAGAGUCGGGAUAACCUGAACCAGGAUAUCCCCAACCGGGAUUUCAUGGGAUAUCCCUUACUAGAAUAAGAACGAAAAUUAGCACAAAUCUAAUAGGUUAAAAACCUGAACCAAACACUAAAACAACCGAAUUGGGUACUAAUAAAAGCGAACUGGGAUACCAUAGGACUGAGAUAUCCAAAUCUGGGUUAUCCCAAGACUGAGAUACCUCUAAACCAAGACAUUUUUGGACUAAGAUAUCUUUUGAGCAGAAUAAGAACGAAAAUUAGCACAAGCAGGAUAAUUUAAAAAUCUAAGCAGGACACUAAAACAAUCGAAUCAGGCACUGAUAAACUCGAACCUGCUUAAACCUAUACCGGCCUGUUCCAAAAUAGACUGUCACUGAACUGGCCUAAUCCAAAACCGAAAAUUCCUAUUCAUAAGAGACCUUAAUAAGGGAAUAAACUAGUCAUUUAUUUACUAUUAGUCAUUUUGAUAAGUGCUAAAAGUAACUUAUUUCAAUCCCAUUCUUAAUGCGUUUUUGGAUGAUUAUUUAUGCAAAUUGGUGAAUUUUAUUCUCCUAAUCCUUUAAAUUCAUGUUUCUAUACUUAGAAGAGCAUUUGAGAGCAAAAGGAGCGAAAAACGAGCAAAAAUCAGACAAAUAGAGCAUAUUUCAAGACCCAUAUUGGCUAGACAUGUGCCAGAUUGUAUUGAUUUCGUGACUCACAUCCCAAACACAUGGAAAAAUGCGAUUUUUAGGCUUUUUAGGCAUUCUAAAGUCUAUAGAUACCAAAUAGAAGAAGAGAAUAGGGGAGCCAUUAGAGAAUAUUGAAGAAAACAACUCGAAGAACACCAUUGGAGUCAACUCUGAAGUAGAUUUCUAUCAAGAUUGAAAACCUCCUUUUGAUUUCUUUUGAAGUUUUUACGAGUUUCUUUAUUUCCUGUGGUUAUUCUGUCUUUAAGAUGUUCCCUAGAUACCUAGGGAAUAUGAACCCUAUGAUGAAUUCUAUUAUUUGAUUUAUGUUUUAUGCGAUAAAUACUUGAUUUUUGUUUUGAGUUAUGUGUGCUUAUCUCUUAGUUUAAUAUUUUUGGGAUAUUAAUUCAUGUUUAAUGUGCUUAAAUCAAAGGAGGAAAAGUCCCUAUUUAAGAGUAGAUCUAGUAUAAUUGAAUGGAGUUGCAUGCAAUCUUAGAAAUAGGACGAUAUAAAUCAACCGAAUUAGAGUCAAAUCUAAUAGGAGCAUCCAUAGAUUGAGAUAAUGCAGUAAUAAGGGUUUUAAUUAGAAAGAAAUUUCAAUUAAUCAACUUAGAGUCAGUUGCUCUUACCCUCGAAAGAGAUAUUAGCAUAAUUUAGGAAUUUCUAAGGAUCAAGAUACCAAGUGAACAAAUCGUUUAAUUCAUAUUCAUAAUGAUAAAUGAAGUCUAGGUGAAUUCUUUCCCAGGUAUUAUUUCUCUCAUUGGUUAUUAUUCAUUUAUUUUCAUGAUUUAUUCUCUAUUAAGUUCUUUAGUUAAAUUAAUUUAGUAAUUUUAGUUUAAACCAAUCACUCCAAUUUGUCGACUAAAUAAUAGGAAAACUGUAAUUGCUAGUACUUUUAGUUCUCGUGGAUGUGAUAUUUCUACUCUUCGUGUAACACCCCAAACUCGGCCUAGACAUUAUGGCUGAAUCUGGCGGAGUCAUAUGAGAAUGUAUCUAAAAUCAUGUUUACCCAAAAACAAUUCCAGUUACCACCUUUUACUUAACUCAGAAAUCAUAUAUAUUGUGUAAAUUGCUCGGAAACGUUUCUUAGUUUGCAGAAGCUUAAGAACAAAUAAAGUUGAGGUUCCAAAAUCCAUAAACAAGGUUUCAAAAUUCUGAACUUAAACCAAAUAGUCUGAAAUAAAAAAUUACAUAAUUACGCUUAACUAUAGCAAAUAAAAUAAUAAAAGCGUUAAAACCUUUAAAACUAGAGUGUAUGUAGCAGUGGUCACCGUUGAGCUCUCCGUCGCACCAAUCCACCUACUAUUGGGGAUUACCUGACAGACAAAUAAAAAUAAGGGGUGAGUUUUCGCAAACUCAGUGUGUACAUCCCUACAGUAAAGCAUGCAUGUAAAUGAAUAGCAGUCAAACAAUCAUGAUCGAGUCUGAGCUCUUAACAGAGCUAGUGUAGGCCUUAGCCCACCUAGAACAGUAUCAGAUACAUUCGGGCCUUAUCCCAUACAGAUAUAUAUGCAAUCAAUCAGAACAGUAAUGCCUACCAACCCUGCACACCAUCUUCGUCCAACCCAUCACACCAUGUGGGGAUAUAAUCGACCCAUCCAGCCCUACAUACCAAGUAUGGGGAUAAAAUCAACUCAUCCAACCCUACACACAAAGAGGUACCGUAAAACAACACAUAUCAAUAAUUGCAGCAAAGCUGCCAGAUAAGCGGCUAAAGAACCUUUCUGUCUUCCUUCUCUUCAAUACAACCCAACCCAAUGCAAUGCAACAUAAAUAGUAUGGCAUGCUCACGUGCAGAUAUCAAAUCAUAACAUCGUCAUCAAAUCAGAGCAGAUACAUAUGCUUAAAUUAUCAUGCUUUUACAUACAUCUUAGUAUCAGAUCAGAGUAUAGGGGUCUACGCUUACCGGCCCUACAAAUAGGUCACAGUCGACUUGGGCGACCCGUGCAACCUUGUAGAACAUUUCAAAAAAAUUGGGCUCAUAUGCCCGUAUGGCUUACCCGUGUGGCCUAGACUCCCAUAUGGCUUACACGGCCCAGAUUUGCCUUGCCUGUAUGGACCACAAGGCCUGGCCCAAGAUCCCACACGCCCGUGUGGCCCCUAUGGCCCAAUUAGUCUGGCCCUUGCCUCGUACACGGCUUAGCCAGCCUCACACGCCCGUGUCCGUCGUGCUCGUAUGGCACGCGCACGGCCUGCCUCGUCAAUCACACGAUCGUGUAUUGCCACACAGCCUCCGUACGGGCAGUCCACACACCCGUGUGGCGUCGACAAUAGCAUUUUUGGCUUUCACCGAAACACGAUUUCAGAUUGAUUGGAGUACACACCUGGUUCCGAUUGAAGCCUAACGCAAUCCUGAACACUCCAGAACCUUAAAUGAAUAACGGUGAUUUCUCACUGUUUAAAACCCCGAUUGGUGAUCCACAGAACCUUGAUUAUCCCCUAAACAGAAAAUUAAAUCCUUCUUAAAUGAUCUCCAAAAAGAAACCUUACAAUUGAUUAAAACCAUACUUACUGAGCCGACGGAACCCCUAGCAGUAUGCCAAAACUAAUCGAAAGAAAGAAAACAGAGGAGAGGGGUAAAAGAAAUAAAUUUUGGCAACAAGGGGUUUGGAAAAAGAAAAAAAAUGGUAGGGAGAGCAAAAACAAAAAUGAAAGUAGGUUAGGCAACAUCUGAUAAACCCUACUCCCUUUAGGGUUUUAGUCCAACCCAAACGUCCGCAUGACUUUGCAAUAAAAUUAAUGCCACACUCACGACUUGAACUCGGGAUCUUAGGCAUAAUCCCUUGCCACUCAACCACUAGACCAACAGGCCUAUUCUGUUAAGUUCCUACUAAUAAAUUCUUAUAAGCCCACUCACCAAAAGUCAGGCUUUACCCAAAAUAAAACCCAUAACUUAGCCCAAGUUAAGACUCGAACUUGGGACCUCCCAAACACCCCAGAGCAUAUAACCUCUUAAUCCACAUAUAUUUUAUGACAAAAUGAAUCAAAAUAAAAGUUUCGAUAUUUCCAUACUCAACAAUCACAAAAGCCAAAAUUACAGAAAAUUUGGGCGUUACACCUCGUAGCUAUACUAUUUAUCGAUAGGUGCAUUUGCCUUUUUCGUAUUUUUAGUUAGUCACGUGACACAUCACAGUUUCAUUUAUUGUAAUUUUUAUGAAAAAAAUCAAAACGAGGAUAUUUAAUGUUCAAUUGAAGAACUAUUUAAUUACAUUUUGCUCCUUUCCAAUUUGGUUCUGUUUCUUGUCACAUUACUCCACACGUCUAGUACAAUUUAAGAUUUUUUCCUCCUUCUUUUAAGUAAUUGAUCACUUCAUUUACUGCUAGUUAGAUUUGGUGCAUGGGAUUUAAAUUUUCUAUCAGUAUUAACUUUCUUGCAUUUGUUGUCAGCCAAAUAUAUAAAAAAUGUUAAAAAAUUCAAAUAUAUAUAAAUCAUAAAAAUUUUUAAAAAUAGUAUAAAAUAAUAUGAAUGCCCAAAGACUCGCAAGCCACAAGCCCAAAACAAUAAUCCCAUAAGUAUUCUACUAAGCAAAAAAUAGAAAAAAAAAUGGACCCCUAACACUAAACCAAUAAUCUUAAACAAAAGCAAACAACCAAUCCAAAAAUAAGUCACCAAUGUGAGAGUAAAGUGGGGCCGCUUCGAUGAGACUACUGGGCAUAGUUCUCUCAAACUCUUGCAAAACCAGGAGAUGUUCACAGCCAUAUGAACAUAUCCAUGAGAACUAAAACCUUACCAAAAAGGUAGUUGUGUAAGGUAUAUCAUUGUUUACACAAACGACAGAGCAGUUCAAGGACAUUGUGUCUACUGGUCAGCUAGUAAAGUAAAUAUAAUAUAGUUUCACAAUGGAAGGUGCAAGGGUUGAUGCCUACCUAUCCUAUGCAACUAUCGAUCGUAGAUUCUAUCACCACAUCGAGUCAAUGUUUUUCGUUAAAACUAUCAAUUUCAUUCAUGUGGGGGAUUGUUGGAAAAAAAUAGAUUUUUGGAAGCUUUAAGGCAUAUUCUACCCCAUUAGACCUUUACAACGGUAUAUUAUAUGCUCAAAAUGGUUGAGUGAUACAUGAGAAAUUGAUGAUCAAAAUAAGUCAUUUGUGAAUUAUGUUGAGGAAAAUGGAAAGCUUAGUUCCACAUUAGUUAGAUAUCAAGUGUGGAAUAUGUUCAUAUAUAUGAACCAAGUUGGCGGUUAUUGAAUGACUAAGCUAAUGCUUUCCCUGCGCGCAACCAAUACGUAAUUUUAUUUUUCUUCAGUAGAGCUUAUCUCUUCAAAUUCUGUUUGGAAUUAAAAGGAUAGAUAUUAAAUUGAGUUUAAUGGCUUCUUUAAUUCAGACAUUAAUUUGAGUUUUUAAUAGCUCUUUAAUUCAUAAGCAUUAAUGGAUUCAUUAGUCAAAAUCAAAAGUUCUUUCAUUUUAAUUUUUUAUUUAAAUUGAAAUAACUUGCAGGAGAAAAUACACACUAAAUCUUUUUCUAUUCUUCUUGGAAGGAAAAAUUGAGAUAUUUUCCUUGCAUAUUUUGAACAUGUUUUCUGCGAUAGAAAAUAGCUAGGCUACAGUUUAUUGAUCAUUGCAGCCGUGCUCAUCUCAUUGUUGUAUCCUGAGAGACAGUCAACCAAUGUUUCUCCAGCACUAAAGGAGCGGCCGAAUCUAUCUUAAGGAAACUGUGAAAACAGGCCUCAAGUACUAGCCGGAUUUUUGCUUACCUACGAGUACACAAUUUCAAUUCAGUUUUAUUUCCAAUUUCUAUUUUUCAGAUUAUAUAUAUAUGUAUAUAUAUAACAAUAUUUUUCUAGUUCGAUCUUGUGAUUUAAAUCAAUAUUUUACAUUACUGUUUAUUUCUCUAAUGUAUUUGCAACACUGCUUCCAACAGUAUUGUCUUUGCCUCAUUUGUUUCUAAAUCAACAUUAGCUAUUUCUCGGAACUUUUCCUUAAUGCCUUGGACAUCCAGUCGCAUUGGCCAUUUCUUGCCGAGCACUAAUUCGAUAUCUGUCUCCUUGUCCUUUUCCCAAAAUAUACACACAAAAUAGGUGUUAAUAGAGACAAACAUAUUUACAUUGUCAUUACAAGGAUUAUUUGGACCAUCUACUACGAUAUAUUGUCAAUACUAAAAGUAAAAAACUAAAAGUAAAAACCAUUCACAGAUUUUGUUGAAAGCUAAUACAACUUUUAGAUAAAAAACCAAAUUUAUCAUUUAAGAGAUAUUUUCUUUUGAAGAUUCUAGAAUAUAUAUAAAUAUAUAUAUAUAACAAAGAAAUAGGAUAGUUUCUAGAAGAUUAGAUAUUAUACAUGAACAUUCUAGUUAUUAGGUAUUUGUAAAAUUAGUGGUAAGGAUGUUGACAUGUGUCAACAAUCCAACAGUCACUAAAAUCUAUAAAUAAGGAUAGGAGAAUUCAUUUUUGGUGUGUGUGUGCAAUAGAGAAGUGUGUGUCAUUUUAUAAUUAUAUUUUGCAUUAAUAAAAGUGUUAUUUAAUAUUGUAAUUAUAGGUCUCGGCUAAGCCUUAGAUUUCUAGGUACUUAGUGCACUUGGGUUAGCUUUUAUAUAUGGUCGACUCUGCCGCCUGAAUGAUAUAUGGUUGGCCCUACCGCCUGAGUAUUAUAAUGCACUAAGAAGUUAGAAAAUAAAAGGUUAACCGACUUCAGAGAGUUGGUGUAAUAUUAUUUGUACAUCCUAGGUCUUCUAUAGUUUUUGGGCUCGUCAAGUUCCCUAUAGAUUUUAAUUAGAUUUUGUUUACCAUUGAAGUUGAAAAACACUUUUCAACCCAAAUCAUGAUUUCAAACUAAAAAAUUGAGUAAACAAGCCGCUUUUCAAACCAAUCUUUGAUUUUAAACUAGGAUAUUAACCUAAGCCGAAAAACCAAAAUUUUUAACUUUUGACUUUUGUAAAACUUCUUUUCAAGGAAAUUGCUUUUUUAUCCCCUCAUUAAAACUUUUACUUUACAAAAUCACGUAUAAGUAAAUAUUUCAUUUUUUUCAAAAAUAAAUUUUAACAAAAAUGAUAAACUUUAUCAAAAUUUUUAAAAGCAGUUUUGUAAAAUAUUUUUUUGCUAACACUUUUCAAAAUCAAUUUUCAUCCAUAACCAAUUAUUAAAUUCAAUUAGGAGACCUUACUUUCUUUAAUCGGUUAAUCCGAUCCUUGAAUAUCUUCACUAUUUCCAACAUAGUUUUCCCUUUGAUAAGCUCUUCCAAGAUGUAUUUUUUACUUUUCGGCUCUGGUGGUUGUUGAGACCGAUCCAGGAAUAUUGUUUGUGCCUUCGUUUGAAAAGAACUGACUUUCUUGGGUUUAAAAUGAAGAGAAUAGAAAAACACAAAUGAUUUGCAAGUCAACGGCAUCAAAAUCUUCAUUCAAAUCAGCAAAAAAAAACCAUAGGAAAAUGAUAUUGACUCAAAGUAAAGAAAUUAUAGAAAAUCAAAGCAAGAUAUGAUACUGAAUUAGUAAAUUCAACUGAACGUACUUCUACUGCAGUGAAGAGAAUAGAGAGAAGGGUCGGGUGUCCAAGAGUAGAACUAAAGAAACAAAUGAAUUCUUCAGUGAGAUGGAAUUAAAAAUAUGGAUAACUUCCAUUAACAGAACUAAACAAAUCUAUUUUCCAGCUGCAUUAACAGAAACUAAACAGAUUAGAUUAACAGAAAUAAUUUUCUUAACUAAAAAGCUUAGAAGAUUAAGAUAGCGGUUGCAUGAGUUUUUAUUUUUUUAAAUUAUAAAAAUAUAUGAAAUUUUCUAUAAAAGUAUUUUUUUAAUAAUUUUCCAUAAAUGGUAUCGUUCAUUUCUAAAUUUAAUAAUUUUAAUAAAAUUUUGGGGGAAAACCCCUUAAAAUAUAAAAAUAAAAAUAAAAAUAAAUAUUAAAAUUUGGAAAUUUUUAUUUAUUUAUUAGGUAGAACCAUGAUGAUAAAUAAACAAUAAUACAAAGGUGAGUAAGCAUUUUUACUUGUGUUUAUAGUGACAACUCUUAUUGGUUAGCAUUGUUAAUUAUACCCUUUUAAUUGUUCAUUUCCAGUUAUAAAUGAUGAAUUGAGUUGAGAGAGAAUUUAAUUGUACAAAGGUGAAGUUACACAGUGUGUUUGUGAGGUUAUGCUUAAAUUUAUUCUUUGUACCAUGAUAUUUAUAAUAGAUCCAUUUAUGGGUAAAAGCCUCAAAAAUUUAGGACAAAUUCCGAAUUAUGUAAACAUUUUGAUUAUAUAUUUUAUUCUUCUUUACUUUUAUUAUUGUGGAACGUAUGCCAACUUUUGAAAGAAUACAUUUGUGUAUUUUAUUCUUUUAUACUUUUAUUAUUGUGGAAUGUAUGCCAACUUAUGAAAGAAUACAUUUUUGCCUUUCAGUGCUCUAUAUACUGUUUUAACAUAAGGUAGCAUAAAUGAUUAUACAUUAUUUUUCAACUUUGUUAAUCUAACCUUUUGCAUUUAGAUACAUUAGGUAGAUUACCAUUUAAUCAAAUCACUUCACCUUAAGGGUAAACAAAAAAUCCUUAAAUUAAUUAAACUGAAAUGAGUUGUGUAGGAAUAAAAGAUGAAAUGAAAGAUAAAGCAAUAGUUUGUACACCGCAUAUACUUGUGGUUUAAUAUUUAAUUAAUAGAUACAUGUCAGCAUAAAAAUACAAUACAAUGUAUUCAUUGAAAAUAUGCAAUACAAUGUAUUCUGAAGACAAAUUAGAUUAGUUAUGAAUGAUCUGCAUUUACUAAAUUACUAUUUACUUAAAUACGAUUAAAAUGUGUUAAUAAUUUUAAUAGUCAUCACACACCCACACAUUUGAAAAUCUUUCAUGCCAAUUUUUUUAUAUUAAAUUGAUUAAGUGUAAAAAGUAAUAUAUUUUAGUUUCAUUCUUAGUAACAUAUUUUAGUUUCAUUUUUAGUACAUGUUGGAUGACUAUGUAUCAUUAAUUAUGAAUUAUAUACUUCUAAUCCUUUAUAUUCAUGUUUUGAUGUUUAAUAAAGCAUUUGGGAGCAAUAAGAGUGAAAACCAUAUGGAAAUUAGAGCAUUGGAGCAAUCCGAAAGCUGAACAUGUGCAACAGAAUUUCACACGGACAAACCACAUGACUAUGUGACCCACAGGGACGUAUGGAUUUUGGGAACCAUGUGCGCUAACAGUUGGAAGUGUCGAUUUUUAACUUUGUUGACACUAUAAGAAAGUAUAAAUAAGGAAAUAAAAGAGGAAAGUAGUCGUAAAGAGAUAGCAUGAAAAUUACCCAAAGAACACCAUUGAAGUCAAUUUUCAAACAAUUCUCCAUCAAGAUUCAAGAGUUCAAGCUGAUUUCCAAGAGAGUUAUCAUGAUUUUUUUUUAUUUUAAUGGUUAUAUUGCAUUUUUUGUGUUUAUUCUUGCAAUUAUGCACUAAUUCUCUUAAUACCUAGGGGAGAUGAACCCUAGGAUGGAUUCUAUUGUUUGAUUUUUAUUUUUAUGCAAUAAAAUCUCCGUCUCUUUGUUUUCAAUUAUAAAUGCUAAAUUGUUUUUGGGUUGAUAAUUCUAAAGUGUUGGUUCAUGUUUGAUGUGCAUAAGUUUGAGGUUGAAUAGACCAAUCUUUUGAUUAAAUCUUGCAUAAUUGAAUAGAAUUGCAUGCAAUCCUAGAAAUAGAACGAUAUAAAUCUACCGGAUUAAAGCCAAAUCUAAUAGGAGAUCCAUAAAGCGAAUUAAUUGAAUAAUAGGGGUUUUAAUUAGAAAAAAAAUUUUAAUUAAUCAACCUAGAGUUAGUUGUUUAUAUACUCGAAAGAGAUAUUAGCAUAAAUUAAGAAUUUUUACUGAUCAAAUAACUAAGAAAGAAAUUGCAUAAAUUAGAUUAAGAAUCAUAGAUUAGGUAUUGUUUUGUCUUAAAUAAUAAUUACUAAUAAUUGUAGUCCCUUAAUAAGUGCAUUUACCUUAGUCAAAAAUAUAUUUUAAAGAAAAAUAUAAAAUAUAUAUUUUAAAUAUUAAAAAAUCCAUCCCGGCACGCCAAAAAAUAAGCUUAGUAUUGAAAAUAUUUCAAUUCAAACUCAAACUUAGAGCUUGGACCUCAAAGUGAAACAUGAGUUAAAAGCUAAUUUUGUUGCUUGCGAGGCAAAAGAGGAAUUCAAUCUUGGUCUCAAAUACGAUUAUUAUAUUGAAAAGCAUAAACUUCAUGAAAAGCUUAACAGUCAGGGGCAAGCACAUUGAUGCUGAUGCUUCCCCAAGUCAAGGGCAAACAAUUUGAAGUUUAUCUAACGGUAGACUUUGCAGCACGGCUUCAACAGUGAAACAAGCAUUUGCUUUCGGGGAAGCUAUUUUUUUGCAAUCGAAUCGGGCAGAUUUUGAAUAGCAAGAUAGGCAAACAAAUUCUUCUUCAACAGAUCAUCAGCAAAUCCAACUUCAAAACCAUAUUUCUUCGCUCAAUUGAGCGUCGCACCCCACUUUUGAACGUAUCCCAGUCCAAAUACUCCACCGAAAAUCUUCCAUCUCUUUGAUGGCAGCGCAGACCAAAACUUGAACAGGGAUAUGGGAAACAUUAGUAGCUUUUCCACGAGCCUUUUCAAUUCGGAGCACAAUAGGUUGGAGGUAGUCUGGAGUUUUUCCCCACAGGGUGGUCUUUAAUGCUUGUUCCAAGCCUUGGAAAUCUUUGUAUUCCACUUUGUUGUUAUCUUCGCCGUGAAGAUGGUCCUCCAAAUCAACCCAUUUGGAAAUCUAUUUGCAAAAUAUGACUAAAACAACAAACACGUAAAAAAUUCAGAGCAGUGAAAUCAAUUCUGUGCUAAUUACUUGGAAACAUGGAUAUUGAAUAUUCAAAUAUAGAUUUCAUUUACCGCAUGAAUGGUGAGACUGUUGUGUACAUGUUGUCAUAGAAAUCAAUUGAUGAGAUUUGAUGUGUGGUAACGUAUUUGAAAAAUAUUAAACAUGAAAUUCAAAAGAGAUUAUUACAUUUAUUUGUUACUCUAUUUUCGAAAUUUACGUAUCCAAAUGCUAAUUCUUUCUGUUCAACAUCUAUCAAUAUCUUCGGUGGUAGAUUCUCAACAUGGACAGUAUAACAUUAAUUUCCUCUCUCUCUCUCUCUCUCAAACCCGAAUCUUCUAAUUGCACCUCCUCAACAUGAAAUCAAACUUGGUAAAUAGAUUCUAAUCAUUGGCAUACCUCCGAUGGUCGUCGAUCUAGUUUUCCAAAUAGAUUCUAAUCAUUGACGUGCUUCUGAUCGUUGUCGAUCUAGCUUUUCAAACUUCUCAACUAGAUUCUAAUCAUUGACGUAUCUUUGAUCGUUGUCAAUCUAGUUUUUCAAACUUCUCUCCUACAUGAAGCAAUCCACGCUUCGCCUCAUCUUCUGCUAAUACAUCGUCCUUGUAUUUGGCCUCAGUUUUUUGGAUCUCCUGCUUAAUAUCUUGGAGAUCAGAUAGCACUGGCCAUUGCGUUUUGAUUUGAUCAAGAGAGCUGAAAACUUGUUGAGAAGCUUUCAGCUGGUCCGAUUCCAACAAAACCGCCAAAAAUACACACAGAACAAGUAUUAAGAAAAUAAUAUCCAGAGAUUGUCGAAUAUUAUCCAUUUUGGAAAUAAAAACCGGAUUAAGGAUUUUCUUUUCUUUUCUCCUAAAGAAAGCUUUGGUUUACUUGCCGAGAUGCAAGAAUUUUCAGAUGGUAGCCGUCAUAAGAUAUUUAUCCCUUUGGAGGGGGCAUAAGCCACCCUUACGGAGAAAAGCAGCUUAACCCUUGCAUCAUAUGGCACAGUCCCUGCUGGGGUUAUUUUAGAUUUAUUGAAACACGCACACACACACACACACAAAUGUGAAUUGAAUAUGAUCCAUUACUAAGUUCAAUUAAAAAGAAUACCUUCUUUAUCCGCCUGUUGGUUAGGAUCAAUGUGAUUAGCAAAAAAGAAAAGAGAAAAAGUUGGGUCUCUUUAAUUUGAACCCAAGUACUUGAAGAGGAAUAUAUAUGAUUGUGAAAUGAAGUUAGCAGGCCAACUCACGCGCGAGAUAUGCUACAGUAAGCCUGGGCGAGCGAGUGAGAAUGUUAGAUUUUUUUUGUUUAUAUAUUUUCACCAAAAUCGGGUGGGCUUGGAAGAUUUUUUUUUUUUUAAGGUUGAAUAUAUUAUUAGUACUUGUAAUUUGAAAAAAAUUUGAGAUUUUGUCGUUAUCCUUAAAACGGUAAGAAAUUAAAUUAUUUAACUAUGUUGAUUUAAAAAUUUCAAUUUAAUCAUUAAAAAUAUAAAUAUUUUUUGUUAAAAUUUGUCAAUCUAACAUGUUAAUUAUGUUUUCCUCUUGUGACGUAUCAUUAAUUGAUGAAAAAUAAAUAUAUUAACUUAACAAAUUUUAAUAAAAAUUACUAACGAUGGUAGUAAUUAAACUAAAAUUUUUAGAAAUCACAAAUAUGACUUACCUAUGCAUUUCUCCAUCCCAUACAACAACUUCUCACCGCAUUAAUAAUAUUCUUGAAAAUAACAAAGUUAAUUACUUUAAAAUUUUUAAAAUUUAGGAUAAAAAUAUUGAAGUGAUAUACUCUUAUUGAAAAAUUAUACAAAUAAUAUAGUAUUUCGAUUUCAUAUAAUCCUUUUUCUAGCUAUAUUUGUUCUUGCUUUAAUUAACUGAAGUGAUGAUUUCUUUUUCUCGGAUGAUUUUGAGACUUUAGGUGACAUAUUAUGAGACCAAUGUAGGCCGGAGUAUCUAAUCCUACUCUCCAACUAUGAAUUCUGUGAUGUGGUAUUUUUGUGUUUAGUGCUUGACAUAUUUUUUUUGGAAGCUUUAGUUUAUCCUUUUUAUGAUCAAUGUGCUGUUUUUUUUCUGGCAUAAGGAUUUAUAAAUUUUAUUUUUUUUCAUAAUAAGUAAAACUAUUUCUAAUUGUUAUAAGUACUAUAAAAUUGAAUACAAUUUACAAGUUUUUAAAAAUAUAAUAAGAUGAAGAAAAUAAAUGCCUAUAAUGCUCAAAAAUAUAAAUUAAUGGCUUGCUAGAAAAAAAAAAAAUUUUGACAAAUUUAAUUAUAUAUUUCAAGUGAAAUCCUCCGAUUAUUAGAAACCUUACUUCUCUUGAAAUCAUUGAUUUUUCUAUUAACAAUUUAACAGGUAUUAUACCAUUUUUCUUCUCCUUUUUAUUGUUACAAUUCAGCAAUCUCUUCUACUUGCAAUACAACUUUGUUAUAUAUUAUUAAUUACCUUCACACUCUUUUAGUUUCUUAAUAUAAUAUGACUUUAGAAAAGAAAGAUUUAAUGGCGCAUUCAAUAUUUUAACCACUUUAACAUUAGCAAAAUAUAGGAAACAUUGGUACAAGAAAAAACAAAAAUUUGAAUUAAAAAUUACUUAGAAUUCAAUGAUUUAAAAUUUUGAAAGUUCAACUCAAAUGAAUGAAUCCUGAACUGGGAAUUUUUUAUUGUUGUUGCUGAGACAUAUUAGAUUUUAUUUAAAACAUGAAUGAUGCCGAGAAUCACAUGUCCAUAAUCUGCCUACCCAAUACAGUAAACAAAAUUACAAUACACCAAUGAAAAAACAUAGUGAAGUAUUAAGUAUACUACCACCAUACCUAGAAAAAGCUUGAUCUCUCACUUCUAGCUUUGGCCAUUGCCUUUGCAAUGACAAUACCUCCCUGUCACUUUAAUAACACUACCACUGCUAAUAUUGGGUGGAAAAUGUUCACAAAAAGCAGGGGUUCUAGGGUAAAUUUUACCAUUAUAUUAACUUGAAAUCUUAUAAUUUCUAAAAAGAUUAAAUUAAAUAUUUUCUAUUUUGAAGAGAUAGAAUUAAAUUUUAAAUAUUUGAGGGUUGAAGUGGAAUUUGACAAUUCUAAUGACUUAAGAUUUUUCAUACCUCAAAGGGUCUAAAAACAAAAUUUCCAUUUUUAUUAUUAAUAAGAUUUAUCAUGAUAAGUAAGAUAAAAAGAAGUUAGAUUUUACAUUAAUUUAUUUCAUAUUUUGAGUUCUAUUGUAUAACUAAUCUUAAAAUGCAUCAUUGCAUUGUUGUCCUACAAUUCAAUGCCUUAACCAUUAAACAAAUAGUACGUAUUUCUUACCCAAAAGAUAAGUCACAAGAUGGAUAUGAGAGAACAUUGAAAGAAUAUUAAUUAACAUUAGACUUGUACCUUACUAUUUCUACCAUUUUAAUUUUCCUUAUUAUUUAUUUGUUUAAGUAUUUUUUUUCCUCCAUCAAUUGAAUAAGAGAGAAAAGAGUACAUGAGUUUGACUAUAGACCAUACAUCAAAGAUAUUGAGUGUGCUUCACAUUUUAGACGAAAACUGAGUUGACGUUGCCACGAGGAAAAGCCAACAUCCCGAUGAGAAGAAACCAACAUCUCGACGACGUGACAUGUGACAUCCCAACAAGCUGAUAAACAACGCCACGAUGUGGCGACGUGUUCCCCACUUAAUAGGGUUUUUUUCCUAGUUAAACUUUGCUAUCUUUUUCCAGUCAAACUCUAAUAACUCUAGGGAUUUUUUAAUCAUAUUAGCCCAUGAAUUUUAGCCUAUAAAUAGGGUUUUAGCAAUUCUAGAAAGAUUGGUUAAAUAACACGAAAAAAGAGAGUUUAAGGGAAUUUUGUGUUUUAGCCAAGGGGCUUUGUAUUUUUCAGGAUUUAGGGACAUUUUUUGUUUGUUCUCCAUCUUGUACUUUUUUUCGGUUAUUUUUCGUUAAGUAAGUUUUUUUUGCCCAUGAUUUUUUACCCUCUUCAGAGGACUUUUUUCACGUAAAUAUUUGUGUCAAAUUUUCUCUAUCCAUUUUUAUUCGUUGCUUAAUACGAGUUUAUCCCCAACAAGCAGGUAUCAUAGCUUAGUUUAGAUUCCGUAUUCAAUCGAUUUAGAGAUGGUGACAAUGAGGCAUGAUAUCGAGAAGUUUGAUGGGAUCACAAAUUUCAGUUUAUGGCAAGUUCGAAUGACAAUAAUUCUGGUUUAGAAUUGUCUGAAGAAGAUCGUUAUAGAGCAAAAGCCCACAGAUGUGAAUCAGACAAAUGGCAGGAGCUUGAUGAGAAGGCAUUAUUUGCAAUUCAGCUAUGUCUUACAAACAACGUGUUGCAAGAGGUGCUCAUGGAGAAACGACAUUAGCCUUAUGGAAGAAAUUAGAAGCCCCUUUUAUAUUUAAAAGUCUCUUGCAAAUUGUUUGGUAUUGAAACAACGAUUAUACACGUUCCGUAUGGCCAAAGGUAAGUCUAUUAGGACUCACAUCAGUGAAUUUGUAACUCUCUUGAAUGGCAUGAAGAAUGUUGAGCCCAACAUAGACGAUGAAGAUGAAACUACACUAUUGUUGUGUUCUUGGCCCUUUCAUAUAAAACUUUCAAAUCGUAGAGAAAGACUCUCGUUUGAGGAUGUAAAAGGAAACUUAUUGAGCAAGGAUAAACUUGACAAUGGGUUAGGUUCAAAGAACAAGUCAAAUGAGCAAGCCUCGGUUUUGGCUACAAGAGGAAGGCAACAGUCUAAGGAUUCAACUCAGAGAAGAUCUAGGUUGAAAUCAAGGUCAAGGAAUCGAGACAAGACCUGUAACUACUACAAAAAGAUAGGUCAAAUUAAGGAAGAAUUUUAUAAACUGCAAAAUAAAAAAAGGAGGGCUAUCGAAAAUGAUGAGAAAGAGAAUAAGAAGAUUGAUAUAGACAAUAUCAGUAUUGCCGAGGACAAUGGAGAUGAUUUGUUGAUGGUGUCUACAACUGAAAGGUAUAAGCUUACAUCUACGUGGAUCUUGGAUUUAGGGUGCUCUUACCAUAUAUGUCCCAACAAGGACUGAUUCUCUACUUAUAGUCCAUUUGAAGGUGGAGUUAUGCUUAUGAAGAAUAAUUCACCCUAUAAGAUAAUUGGCAUCGACACAGUUUAGAUCAAGAUGCACGGCAGAAUUAUGAGGACAAUGUCAUAUGUCAAGCAUGUGCUUGAUUUAAAGAAAAAUCUCAUUUCUUUGGGUAUUUUGGACUCUAAUAGUUGUAGGAUUAUUAUUGAAUCAAACGAUAUUAAGGUAUCUAAUGAAGCUCUCGUUUUAAUGGGUGGUUAAAAAGUCAACAUCCUAUAUAUUUUGCAAGGAUCAACUGUGACCAAAGCAGCAGCAAUUUCCUCAUCAAUUAUGAAUAUAGAGCAAAAUCGAUACGAUGUCACGACGAAGAAGCACAGAUGUCACAACGUGGUGACAAAUUCUAGUAGAUUCAAAAUCGGUUCCAACCCAAUUAUGGCAUAUGCGACUUGUCCAUAUGAGCGAAAAAGGGAUGAUCAUUUUGGAUAAAAAGAAGUCUUCUUUUGGUAGUAGGAGUUGGAAAAUUAGAUUUCUGCAAACAUUGCAUUUAUGGGAAGUAGACUCAAGUCAGUUUUAGGUUUAUGAAGUAUAGGACGAAGGGCACCCUAGACUACAUUUACUUCGAUUUAUGGGGUCCAACUCAAGUAACUUCCAAAUGAGGUAGUAGAUAUCUUCUUACCUUUAUUGAUUACCACUUCAGAAAAGUUUGGAUUUAUUUUCUAAAAUUCAAUAGUGAUGUUUUCAGGACCUUUAAGUAGUGAAAGACCUAACUAGAGAAACAGACUGGAAAGUCCAAAAAAUCAGUUAAGAAUUAAUAAUGGUCUCGAGUUUUAUUUAGAUGAGUUUAAUGAUUACUGCAAACGAGAAGGAAUUAAAAUACAUAACACAAUUAAUGGUACCCCGUAGGAGAAUGGUGUUGCUUAAAGGAUGAACAAAACUCUACUUGAGAGCCCGAUGCAUGCUUUUAAACACAAGUUUAAAAAAUGAGUUUUGGACAAAAGUUGUUAACCUGUCAAGUUAUUUAGUGAACCAAUCUCCACAUCAAGCACUGGAUGAAAAGGUUCCUGAAGAGAUAAGGUUGGGUCAUUUUGCAACUUACUCUAACCUUAAAGUAUUUGGUUGUCCUGCUUAUGCAUGAGUCAGUUAAGGAAAGCUUGAACCAAGGGCUAUGAGAUGUAUUUUUAUGGAUUUUGCCACUAGUGUUAAAAGUUUUAAUUUAUAGUACCCAUGAACAAGUAAAACAAUCAUUAGUAGAGAUGUUACGUUUGAUGAAACUGUAAUGUUUCAUCCAGGAAAGAAGUUCCUUGUUCUUAACAACAAAACAAAACAAAGUGUCCCAGGUAAGGUGGAGCUAAAGCCGAAAAAAGACGAUGACAUCAGAACGUCACAAACAGUAAUGUCAUGAUGACACAACGAGCAUAGUUGAUGUCGUGACGAGGUAUUUUUUGACAUCGUAAUGUCAUGACAAAAUCGCGAUAUAUUGAGGCUGAAGUUGUUUCGAAAUUGCAGAAGGUUACUAAAGUUACUUUAGAUUAAUUAGGAGCUCCUUUUGACUCUCAACUCCUUCUACAUCUCAAUUACAAAAUUAUAAGUUAGCCCGGGAUAGGAAAAGACGAGAAAUCAAACCAUCACAAAAAUAUUGUUACAAAAAUUUAGUGGCUACACUGUAACGUCCCCUAACCCUAUACCGUCACCGGAAUAGGGUUACGAGACAUUACCGGUCAGUACAGUCCAAUUUCGAUCAUUAAUUAAAAUAAAUAUUCACACUCAUCCUAGUUUUAAGAUGUCGUCCCUUUAAUGGGCUCUCGCAGUCCAAUAUAAUCAGUAAAUUCAAUUUGGAACUAAUUUAGAAUCACUACGAAUUUUAGAAUCACAAUUUUCUAUCAAUUUCAUUACACUUCCAACUACAUAUAUUUUCCAAUAUAAAAAAUAUUUAUUAUUCAAUUUCCACAUCAAUAUUCAUUUCAAUUCAAACAUUCAUAUAUAAAUAUUCAUAAAUCAAUUCAAUAUAAUCAAUAUUCAAUCCAAUUCAAAUAAUCAUCUCAAAACACCUACUACAUAUAUAUAUUAAAUAAUAAAUCCAACAAUUUAAAUAUUAAGUUUGGAUUAUAGAAAUACAAAUCGUAGUUUCUGAGCUAACUCCCGUUGACUUUGUCUUAUCCUUUCUUAGCCGAGAUUUCCGGUACCAUAUUGACUACGAAAUUAAUACAAUUCAUAAUCAUUAAUACAUUACUAAUUUAUAUCUUGAGUUACAGAAUUCUAAAUUAAGAUCCGCUAAAUUCUCCUAAAACUAUACUCACAAAUCUUCUUACCAUAAAAUUUUCAGAAUUUUUGGUGUAGCCAUUAAGUACAGUUUAUUCUUUAAAUUCACCCCUAUUCUGCUGUCUGACAGUUUCGACCCUUCUUCACUAAAAAUUAAUUAUCUCACAGUACAGAACUCGGAUAAUAUUCCUGUUGAUUUAUCCUGAAAAUAUACUCAUUAAAUAUUCUAAAAAUAUAACUUUAAGCCUAUAAUUAUUUUUCUCCAAUGCUUGGUGAUUUUCCAAAGUCAGAACAGGGGAACCCAAAUUCAUUCUGACCUUGUCUCACAAAAUUUAUUAUAUCUCAUAAUUUACAAUUCAAUUGCUAAUACCGUUUCUUCUAUAAGAAACUAGACUCAAUAAGAUUUAAUUACAUAUUUUAUUCAUCCUCUAAUUCAAUUUAUAAAAUUUUUGGUGAUUUUUCAAACUUAAACUACUGCUGCUGUCCAAAAUAGUCUUAGUGCAAAAUGUUGAUUUUCUACUUUUAAUUUCAAUUUAAUCCUAACUAAAUUCACUUACUUUUCUAUCUUAAUUCAUACUUUAUUUCUACUCAAUUUUUAACCAAACUUAGACAUAAUUAUCUAUUUUUCAUCAUAAAACCAUAAAUUUGAAAUUCUUUCAAUUUAGUCAUUAAAGCAUAAAACUUAUGAAUCACUUUACAAUUCAAUCCUUAUUUCAUUUCUAACUUGAAUUUCUAUCAAUUUAACCCCUAAUUCAUCUUUUUAUUCAACAUGAACAAUAUUUAGAAAUCUAAUAACUUGCAAAAUAUUAACUUAAUUUUAUCAAAACUUUGUUCUAAAGCUUUUAAAACAUCAAAACUAAGUAAAAAGGGCUAAAUUGACAUACCUAUUUAACUUUCAAGACUUGAAAUCUAAAUUUUCCCCUUUUUCCUUCUUUCUUUCUUCCUUCCUUCUUUCUUUCCCCUGCUCUCUGUUUCGAUUCAUCCUUUCUUUCUUUUCUAUUCUUUUUCUUUUUAUUCAUUUUACUUUAUUUAUAUAUAUAUUAUAAUAACUUAAUAAUAGUUAUAAUAAAAUAUCUAUUUAAUAUCCAAUAUCUAUUUUACAUUUGUAUACACACAUAUUAUUACAUUUGUCUUUCUUUAAUCUCUUUAUUAAAUAAAUAUCUUUUACUUAAUACUAAUAUAUAAUUUAAUAAUAUACUUAUAUAAUAAGUAAAUAUACAUGUAUUUUACAAAUGUACAUAUACUAAUAUUACACAUGUCACUAUACAACCAUACACUUGUCAACUUUUUAUUUAUUUUUCACAUAAAAAUCUUAUAAUAUAAUUAUUUAAUUAAUAAAUAUCUUUUAUAAAUAAUAAAUAUCUAUUAAUACUUAAAUACAAGCAUUACAAGUGUAUGUAUUUUUUAUUAAUACACUUGUACCCAAUCAUUACCACACAUUUGUCUUACUUUUAUUUAUUUAUCAUAUAAUAUCAAUUUAAUAAUAAUAAAUACACUAAUAUUUACUUAAAUAAUAAGCAAAUACAUACAUGUAUUACAAAUGUGUGUAUUAUAUUUAUUGCACUUGUAUUUUAUUUUUGUCAUAUACUUGGCACUCUUUUUAGCUUAUUUACUUAUUUAGUCUUUUCAAUUUUCUUUAUUAUAUAAUUAAACUUUCACACUUCAUUCAAUUUAAUCCUUUUAUCCAAUUAUCCUUAAUUUAAGCUAGUUUACUUAAUUAAACUGAUAAACAUGUCAAAUUGCAUAUUCUUUGUGCUUAAUUUGGUUUAUUGAUGAACUGAACCCUGCUAAUUAAGUGUUUUUAUGAUUUAAUUCUUGUCAGGGAUGCAAUUGAUCAAAGGCAAGCUGAAAAGGGGCCAAAUUAGAAGAAAAUUAUUGGAAUGGGCCAAAGCGAAAAGAUGGAGCAAGCCAAGGACUAGUCAUAAAUUUGACUUUGUAAAAAGCCAAAAAUAGGAAAUUCUAUUUUAAGUUUAUUUUAAUUUUAUUUAUUUUUAAUUAUUAUUAUUUUAGAUUUUAUAUUAAUUUUUUUAAGCUAUUUUUAGUAAACCCUAUCUAUAUAAAUAGGGGGUUUUAGUUCUUAGGAAAUCAUCCAUUAAUCAAUUGUCUUUACAUUCCUAUUUCAUUUUGGAAUUCCAUUAUCCACCUUGUUUUUCUUUUUCUUAAUUCAAUUGAGCAUUAGAUUAUUUUUUCUUCUUUUUACAAAAUUUGUCUAAUUCUCUUUGCAAAUAUUUUUCCUAUCCAUUUCCACUACCUUUUUCAUAUAAUUUCUAUCAUUUCCACAACCUUCAAGCAUGAUUAAAUUCAUGCCACACUAAACCCCUUCCAACUUUAAGCCGGUGUUAACCCCGUCAAAAUACCCGUGAGUUACGAACCCGAGCUGUUUAACUCCCAACGUUUGAUAUUUAUUAUUUCUCCGGAUUAAGAGUAUGACUUCGUCAACUCACAAAGUCUAGACAACACUAAGUCAAAAAAGACGUCGUUUGAGUUAGUAUGGUUAGACGUACAAUUGGAAUUCUGAAAGGAUCGAUUGUCUAAUUGGUCUUCUGUGAACACAUUGGCGUGCCAAGUGGGGACUGCUGUUUGGUUCCGUCAAGAGAAGUAGUAACCGGAUUUAAAUGUCCCAAACGUUUGAGGGCAUUGGUUCGAGCUAGGCUCUUCUAGAACGCAAAGCUGCCGGAGUUCUAAAUCACGAACGUUUCGUAGGUUGUUCGAUCGGUAAGGGUUAGUUAUAGGAUGUUCCAUAACUAAUUUACACAAGGAAGAGUUGGUGUCAGAGGCGUCCUUGGUAGCUAUAACUAGCUUAUCGGAAAAGAGGAGUUCACCUAAUUUCAAGGAUCGGGUCAAAGACGGGAAAACCCGUGCUUAAGGCUGAGCUAAGUUUAAUUGAUUUUUCUUAAUAUUACUUCGUUGUUUUUUUAUUUCAACUUUUACUUUUUACUUUUUACGUUUUCUUGUGUUUAUUUCAGGUUUCAUAUUUUAUUCCCCCCCAAACGUCGCGGGCACGACAACUGCCCAGACACUAAUCUGGUCAAGAAACAAACAAUUUUUAGUAAUUCCAGUCUCUGUGGGAUCGACCCUACUCCCUAUACUGCUUUAAUUUGCAAACUAGCUGUAGGUUUAUAUUGGUGGAAUCGACAGCCAUCAUAAACUCUAAUUAACCACUCGAUUAACUUCGUAAAUAUUUUUAAUAAAUAUUUACUAAUCCAUUUUUCAGAAACGGAGACUCGAAAAUACACUUUUUCGGUAACGGUAAAAUUCGGGUCAUUACAUACACUCUAAGUGUUGCUAAGAGCAUUGAUUCAUUCGAUCCCUCUAAUUACUCUGAGGUAGUUCAGGCUCUUGAUUCAAGUAAGUGGCUUGUGGUGAUGGAAGAGAUGAUGGAAUCUCUUCAAAAGAAUAAGACUUGGAAACUCGUGAAACCACCCACAAAAAAGAAGAUAGUUGGUUGCAAGUGGGUGAUCAAAAGGAAGGAAGGGUCGAGUCUAAGUGACUCUAGAUAUAAGGCACGGUUGGUCGCAAAGGGCCACAUUAAAAUAGAGGGGGUUGAUUUUCAUGAUGUGUUCUUUCAUGUUGUGAAACACACAUCCAUUUGAGCGCUACUAGUCCUUGUUGCAUUAAACAACCUUGAAUUGGAAUAAUUAAAUGUGAAGACUGCAUUCUUUCAUGGUGAUCUAGAUGAGGACAUUUACUUGCAGCAACCUGAAGGCUUCAGGAUUAAAGGCAAAGAAGAUCAUGCUUGCUUUUUACAGAAAUCUUUGUACUGCCUGAAGUAGUUUCCUCAUCAAUGGUAUAAGAAGUUUGAUUCCUUUAUAUCAAGCAUUGGUUUUGUACAAAGUAAGUAUGAUAGUUGUGUGUACUUGCAUCGUCUCGAUGAUGGAUUGUUUAUAUACUUGUUUUUCCAUGUUGAUGAUAUGUUAAUUGUGACUAAGGAUUUAUUUGAAAUUGUUCGAUUAAAAACCAUGCUUAAUUAUGUUAAUCAAUGAAUGAUCUUGGUGCGACUAAGAAUAUCUUAGGGAUGAAAAUUUCUAAAUAUAAAAGUUUUGAGAAAAUAUUUUUUAUCUUUACAGUGGUACAUCAAAAGAAUUCUCAAGCAGUUUGGGAUGCAAAACUCAAAACUGGUUAGCACUCCCUUAGCUGCACACUUCAAACUUUCGGCUUCAGAGUUUUCUCAAACUGAGGAUGAAAAAAAGUAUAUGUCAUCGGUUCCUUACUCUAGUGCAAUCGAAAGCUUAAUGUGUGCAAUGGUUUGCAUUCAUCCCAAUAUUUCACAUGUUGUUAGUGUUGUAAGUAGAUGCAUGGUUAGACCUGACAAAUUACACUGGCAAGCAGUUAAUGGAUGCUCAGAUAUUUGAGGGGGACGUCAAAUACUCAUUUAGAGUUUGAAAGAAGUUCAGAGGGUCUUCUGGGCUUCGUAAUCUUAGAUUAUGUAGGAGAUUUAGACUAAAGAAGAUCUCUCACGGGCUAUUUGUUUGUUUUCGGCAAAUUUGCCAUUAGCUGGAAAGCCACGCUUUAAGCCACUGUAGCUUUAUCGACUACUAAGCUGAAUACAUAGCACUCAUAGAAGCUGUGAAAUAAGCCAUUUGGUUGAGAAGUCUAUUCAGGGAGCUGGUGAAUAAGCACAACGCGUCUGCUAUAUAUUGCAAUAGUCAAAGUGCCAUACAUCUCAGUAAGGAUCAAAUGUAUCACGAAAGAAUGAAGCACACAAAUAUUCGAUAUCACUUUGUUCAAGAAGUGGUUGCUCAAUGAGAUGUUUAGAUUCAUAAAAUCGACAAGAGAAUAAUCCAGCCGAUAUGAUGUCCAAAAGCCUUCCAGUGUUUGAACUUGGUCAAUAUCCUACAAAGAACGAGUUACGCCCCUGCCAAGGCUCGACAAAGAAGGCAUUGCAGAAAUAUGAGUCAAUGUGGAGAUUUGUGAAAUGGCCCUUUUGGGUGAAAACAGAAUUGACAUCGCCACGAGGAAAAGCCGAUUUCCGAUGUCCCAACGACGCAACAUGUGAUGUCCUGACGAGCCAAUAAACGAUGACACGAUGUGGCAACAUAUUCCCUACUAAAUUGGGUUUCUUCACCUAGUUAAACUCUACUAUGUUUUCUAAAUCAAACUCUAAAAUAUAACAUAACAAGUAUAAUAUUUUCUUCUCCUUUUUGUUGUUGUAUUUAUGCAAUCCAUUUUAAUUCCUGUAGCACCUUGCUAUAUAUUAUUUGUAAUGGCCCAAUUUUGUCCAGGCUCAAAUUACAAAAUUUAAACCAAAAAUAAUAAUGUCCAAAAAAAUGUCCAUUACACCAGGCCCAAAACAACUAAAUCCAAAUAGGCCCAAAAUAAACCUAACCUUAGAGCCCAAACAGCCCAAAACUAAACUAGUUUUUCAGUAAAAAAGAAAAACCCUAGCCCUAGCCGCCGCUCCCCUUGUACAACCUCCACCACCGCGUGCCAGCAUGACCUCCGUACUUGCAAGGACAAUAGGCACAAAAGAAAACAAAGAAAACAGUAGCAAAACAAGCAGAAAAUUUGGUAGCAAAGAAAACAAAAAUAGAAAUGUUGUAUUUUUUUUCUUUCGGCUAUAAAAAAGCCAUGAACGCAAUGUAUUGGGGCUCCCUUUUUUUUACGAAUAUACACAAAGAAAUUAAAAGAGAAAAAAGAAAAAUAUGGUCUUUUAUUCUGUGUUUAUUUUCAUUUUUUAUUUCAUUUAUUUUAUUUUUUUUAAAAAAAAAGAGAAAACAAAAAAUAGAAAAGGAGUCAGAUCUUAACUUUUUCGAGCUUGCGCCGUCUGAGGGGAGUCGAGGUCACCAUCUUCGAUGAAAGAUGGCAUUUUGAGAGUGGGGAAGUCGAAAAGCAAAAAAAAAGAGGGACUUUUUACUUUUCCGGCCACUGUGGACGGCGGCAGCGACGGCGGCCGCCAUGGUGGUUCGAUAACCAGAGCCCGAUCGAAGAGGGGAGAAGGUGAGAGAGUUUGAGAGCUCUCAAAAUUUUUUUUUGAAAAAUGAAAGAAUAAUGAUUUUUUUUUGAAUUUUUUUAGUUUAUAUAGCAACGCUAAAACGAGGUCGUUUUGGUGUUCAAAUUCAGACACCAAAACGACAUCGUUUUGGGCCUUACUCGUUCGACCCGACCCGCUCUAGCCUAGGAUCCGUGUGUUUUUAAUCGGAAGGGCUAAUUACGCUUUUAGCCCUUCCGCUUUUUUAUUGUUUUGCAAUUAAAUUUUUGUUUUUUUUAAUUUUCGCCCAUUAGUUUAUUUCGUUUCCAAUUUAGUGUCCCAUGCAAUUGUGCGUUUUGGAUGGAAGGAAUAAUUUCCCUUUUGGUCCCUCCUUGUUAUUCGUGCAUGCAAAUUGGUCCUUUUCUUUUUAUAUUUAUUUUGGAUUUGCCCUGAAUUUCUAUUUUAAAUUCAAUUUAGUCCUUUUUUUAGUUAUUUUGCUAUUUUAUUACUAUUAUUUUCUAUUAUUACUAUUAUUAUUACUAUCAUUAUUAUUGAUGUGUCGUUGAGAGCACCAAAAAUAUCCUAUUCCCUAUAAAAUAGUAAAAAUAACAGUAAAGGGGAAGUAGGGUCGAAUCCUCAGGGACUGGAUAGUACGAAUGCUCAUUUCUUGAAAUCCUGGACAAUUUCUUGGCCAAGAAAACUUGCGUUCCUGAAAAAUAAAAAAUAGAAUUUAGAAUCUGGAAAAAUAAAAACAGAAUUUAAAGUGAAUUGAAAUUGCGAAAUUAAAUAAAUGGCGGAAAUUAAAAUGAUGACUAUAAAAAUAAACAGAGUUUGGGGAAGAGAAAGUUUCUUAUGUGGCGAGAUUCUAGCUUUCGGUUGUCUCAUUCUGCCUUGGGUUCAAUCCUUGGCUUUUGAGUAACCCUUCUCGAGCAGUAUAAGCCAGUUAUAGUGGAAGAGGACGCCUACGACCACCAGCUCCAAGGAUUUAGACUUAAAAUUUGGCAGAGCCUGACUCUAGCCAAUAAUCGCUUUUGUGGGACUAUCUUCUGCUAGAUCAUCACUUCCCAACGGCGAAUACCACGCCAUUUUGUCUCUUGGAUUCACCAACCUCUGACGUAGAAAGCCAACGAACCGACUGUGCAAUCUUCCCAAAACGUACAAAGCGAUCGUUCCUUGCACAAGUUGAAAAGAUCACCUAUUAAGGGAUAUGGACGGAAGUGUCAGCCUCGUAAUGCGGAGAAGUGAUGAAUACCUUGUUGAGAAGGCUAAGCGCGGGUUCUAAGCCUCAUGAACCAUUUUGGGGAAUUUUGACAACCUUUGGCUAGAUUUGUUUAGUGGCUCAUGAUUUUUGGGAAAGAAAUAUAUAAAAUAUAUAUGAGAUUUUUAUUGAAGAAAAUAUGGAGAGAACAAAAGACAGAGUUUUUGGAAGAGGGAGUGAUUACAGAAAAAGAGAUGUCAAAUAUGUGCCACUCCAUCCCCUAUUUAUAGUCCUAGAAAACCUAGUACAUUCCUAAUGAAAUUCUAAAAGAUAAAUACAAAUAAACAAAGAUAAUUAAAGAUAAAUAAAGAUAAAUGAAAAUAAAUCCUAAAAUUAAAUCUAAAAAAAAAUCCUUAAUAAUUAUCCUAAUAUAAUUGAAAUUAAAAUAGAGUCUUGUGCUAUAAAAUCUCUUUUUUUGCAUUUUAGUCCUUGGGUCUUCCAUGUUUGCAUUUUUGGCACCACUUCUCUCUUUCUUUGCAUGUUGGCCCAUUAUAUCUUCAAAUUCACAAUUUUUGCCUUUAAAUUUCUUUUUGCCUCCAAUUUAGUCCCUAAAAGAUUAAAUACCAUAAAAUAACCCAAAUUAGUAGGAUCAUACUCAAAAUAAACAUGCAAUUAGCACAUAAAAUAUAACGUUCUAGAGUAUUAUCAAUUAUUAUUAUUACUAUUAUUGUUUUUUUAUUAUUUAUAUUAUUUUUGUUAUUAUUAUUCCUUAUUUUAUUAUUAUUGUCGAAACCAUCUUUUUGAAAACGGGGAUCGACUUUGUUUGAAAGUGAAAAUUAGAACGGGAGUCGCCACCAAUCUUUUAUCAGGUGUGAUCGGAUCACCUUUGAUUUAAUAAAUCAAUUUUAGUUUACUAAAACAGGGCCUUUGGUCUACGAAACUUGAGAGAAUGAGUUCGGGAGUCGGUUACGUGCGAGGAAGGAUUAGCACCCUCGACACGCCCAAAAAAUUGGUACCGAAUUGAUUAGUUAGUGUCUUAAUGUCGAAAAUUAAAAAUCGGGAAGGGACUUGAAAUACGAUCUUUUCUAUUAAUACUGAUUUUAAAAUUCUUGAAUUAGCUUAAAUUGAUUUGUUUAAAGAUUUCCUUAUCUCGAGAUAUCGGAGUAUCACAUCCCGUAAGUUAGGACACAAUACCAUGAAUUCCCGAGCACAAGGUCGUAUUUUAAUUUAAAUUGGAAAUCCGUGCAUUUCAAAACUCAAAAUGAUAUUUAGCUAUUUAGAACCAACAAGAGAACCGAAACCCCGUAAGCUAGGGCACAAUUCUUCGAUGUUUCAAAAUGCGAAACAUUGCCUUAUUUAUUGAAAUUAGUAAAAACAUGAAUAAAAAUCUUUAAAGUAAUGAACAACAGAAUGAUAUAAAAUAGGCGGGAGACAAAAAUAAACGAGUUGGAAAUACAUUGAAACAAAUAAUAAAUAUGACAACAAUAUUAAAACAAUAACAAUGCAUGCGAUAUAUUAAACGUAAUAAUAGUAUCCAAUGUGAAAUAAAAACAACGAAUAUAUACAUAAUAAAGAUAUUAAGAGUAUGUACGUAAAAUAUAUAUUUAUAAAUAGUAAUAGUGUUAGAAAUAUACUAUAUAUAGUGUUUGAAGUAUAUACAUAAAAUAGUGAAAAUAUAACUAGUAAUGUUAAGAUAUAUAUAAUAUAUACAUAUGUAUGAAAUAGAUAUAAAAAAAAUAUGUACAUAAUAUAGUGUAAAAAAUACAUACAUAAUAUAAUUAAAAUAUAUACAUAAGAUAACAUGUAGAAAAAAAAUAUAAAUAAUAUAGUAUUAAAGAUAUAUACAUAAAAUAGUAUAAUAUAUAUACGUAAUAUAGAAUUUAGAAUAUACCUAAUAUAUUAAAAGAAUAUAUAUAAUAUAAUAUUAAAAAAUAUAAUAAUAACAAAAAAAGGGAGUGAGUGGGUGAUUUCCGGCCACCGUCGGUGCCACCGUACACGGCAGCCGGACCUCAAAAAAACUUUUUCGGUAAAAAUGAGAAAGCUUCCUCCUUUUAUUUUUACUUUCGUAUAAAAGAAACAAAAUAAAACUGAAAGGAAUACAAUAAGCAAACAAAGAACUUAAAAUGAGAAUAGACCAAGAAACCUCUUUUGCUUUGAUAUUUGAUUAAUCUCCAAAAAAAAAAAAACUAGCCUCUCCAAAAACUAGCCUUUACAAUAACUCUUCUCCUUGAUUACUCUCAAAAAACCUCUCAAAAAUCUUUUGCAAUAACUUUCUCUCCCAAGACUUCUUCCUCCCCUAAAUACAAAAUAUGAGAAGGCUUAUAUAGCCAUUUACCAAAUAUUUUUUAUUGUUUAUGUCUUUAUUUGUAGGUACAAGUGGUGGUGGAGCAAGUGUGGCUAAUGGAGUAGGUGGUGGAGCAAGUGUGGGAGCAAGUGUGGCUAGUGGAGUUGGUGGUGGCAAAGGCUAGGAUUUAGUUGAGAAAAGUUUAGGUUGUGGGCUAGGGUUUUUUUAUUUUGAUUUGGGCUUAGGGUUUGGGUCAUUGGGGUUUUGAUGUAAAUUGGGCUUUGGGUAGUUAAGAUUUUGGGUUUUGGGUUUAAUUUUGGUGGGUUAGGUAAGGUUAAAUUGGGUUUUGAUGUAAAUGGGUUAAAAUUGGCCUACAACAGCUGCCCCUCUUUACUUAUUAUCGUUUAACGGGAAUAAAGCAAAGACACAAAUAAAGGCCAAUUUUGCCCGGUCUUACUAAGUAUGGACUUCUUUGGUGCUCUUCUCAUCUAGGUAGUCUCUUUCCAAACCACUAUAUCUUGUUGUCUUGAUCAAAUCCACUGCAUCUUCUGAUAUAUGCCUUGUAGCUUCGAUUUACUCCAAGGUGACUUCAAAAAGAUAAGAUCUACAGCUUCAAUCUGCUCUUCCAUCGCUUUAGUCAGAUAAAAUUUGUGGUCUUCUCUUCUGCAACUUUUAGAAAGGUAAGAUUUGAUAUCAUCGAUCAGCUCCACUGCAACUUCAAUUAGCUUCACUGUAACUUUAGGGAUAUAAAAUCUGUGUCUUCAAUUAAUUCCAGUCUUUAUUCUUUACUCGGCAUGUGAUCCUGAGCUUAACUCAUUUCUCGCAAUAUGAAUUGACUCUUUAAAACUAAACAUUAAAAAUAGAAAUUGAAAAUAGCUCAGCACGUGAGCCAAGGCUCAACUCACUUCUCGUAAUAUGAGUUGAUUUUUAAAACAAAAUUUGUAAAACAGAUUUUGAAAAUACCUCGGUAUGUGACCCGAGGCUCAACUCACCUCUCGUAAUAUGAGUUGAUUUUUGCAAAGCAUAAAUUGAAAAAAAAUAAAAAUAAAAAUCAAUUGAAAAUACCUCGGCGUGUGAUCUGAGGCUCAACUCACCUCUCACAAUAUGAGUUGAUUUUUUUGACAAACAUAAAUUGAAAAAAAAAAGAAAUUGAAAAUAUCUCAGCGUGUCCUGAGGCUGAACUCACCUCUCGCAAUAUGAGUUGAUUUUUUGGAAAAACAAAAUUUGAAAAACAGAAUUUGAAAAUACCUUAGCGUGUGAGUCAAGGCUCAACUCACCACUCGCAAUAUGAGCUAAUUUUUUUUGAAACACAGAAAUUGAAGAACAGAAAUGGAAAACAUCUCAGCGUCUUGAGGUUCAACUUACCUCUCGCAAUAUGAGCUGAUUUUUUUUGAAAGACAGAAAUUGAAAAUACCUCAACGUGUCUUGAGGCUCAACUUACCUCUUGCAAUAUGAGUUGAUUUUUGACAAACAAAAAUUGAAAUUACCUCAGCGUGUCCUAAGGCUCAACUCACCUAUCGCAAUAUGAGUUGAUUUUUUUGAAAAAUAGAAAUUGAAAAUACCUCAAUGUGUCUUGAGGUUCAACUCACCUCUCGCAAUAUGAGCUGAUUUUUUUUUAAAGACAGAAAUUGAAAAUACCUCAACAUGUCUUGAUCUCAACUCACCUCUCGCAAUAUGAGUUGAUUUUUGACAAACAAAAAUUGAAAUUACCUCAGCAUGUCCUGAGGCUCAACUCACCUAUCACAAUAUGAGUUGAUUUUUUAAAAAAACAGAAAUUGAAAAUACCUCAACGUGUCUUGAGGCUCAACUCACCUCUUGCAAUAUGAGUUGAGUUUUGACAAACAAAAAUUGAAAUUACCUCAGCGUGUCCUGAGGCUCAACUCACUUCUCGCAAUAUGAGUUGAUUUUUUUAGAAACAUAAAUUAAAAAAACGAAAAUUGAAAAUACCUCAGUGUGUCCUGAGGCUCAACUCACCUCUCGCAAUAUGAGUUGAUUUGAAAAGCAGAAUUUGUAAGGCAAAAAUUGAAAAACAGAAAUUGAAAAUACCUCAGCGUGCCCUCAGGCUCAACUCACCUCUCGUAAUAUGAGUUGAUUUUUGAAAAACAGAAAUUAAAAGUAGAAAUUAAAAAAUAGAAAUUAAAAAUACCUUGGCAUGCCCCGAGGCUCAGCUCACCUCUCGCAAUAUGAGUUGAUUUUUGAAAAGCAUAAAUUGAAAAAACAGAAAUUGAAAAUACCUCAGCGUGUGACCUGAGGCCCAACUCACCUCUCGCAAUAUGAGUUGAUUUUUUUGAAAGAUAGAAAUAAAAACAUCAAAAUACCAAAAGAUGUCAUCUGGUGGAACUCAGGUGUCCUUUCCUUUGAUUCAGUACAGCUAUCAUCGAAAUCUCUUGUUCUGCUGAAAUACAUGUAUAUGUCAUGCAUGAUGUUAUCAUGAAAUGUACAUGUUUGCCUUAAAUGCCUUUAUGCCUACAUGAUCAUGCUAUGUGCCUUGGGCUUGCUUGUCAUAUGUCCCUUUCCGUCAUGAUUUUUGAUGAUUUGCGUUCAUUGCUUUGACUCUUGACUUUCUCUUCAGGCCCUAUACCCAUCCUCUAGCUUCACGACUAAUCUGUGUUUCUCAGAUAUCGCUCUUUUGCCCCUGGUUGAACUUUGUCCUUGCUUUGAGGCCAUUGUACUUAUCAAAUUCUUAUCCGGGUAAUGCUUAGCACUUCUUUUGUUUAGAGUAUGUCAUUUCACUAUUUAUUAUGUAAAUGAACCACAUAAUGAGAUGCAUGAAAAUGGUCAGGUAGGGACAAAAGGAUACCUCACAUUUAUUCAUUUCAAAUGUAGCAAACAAAGAAAGUUAAUCAAUGAUAGUAAAAAAAGUGUCAUAAAGAGAAGGGGAUCACAUUUUAACAAAUACAAAUGCUCUAGAUAUUCAACACAUGAACUCUUCCACGUUCCUCAAUCAAGAAUCUUUUCUAGCAUGGCUUUCUUGUGUAAGAGAUUUCGAGUUUUCAGAAAUGCUUCAAAUACUGUAGUCUCUCUGUUUGACCCACCGUUCAAAAUGCCUUGCUUUUUAAGCCAGUGCUUGCUUCAUUAGAACGCCCUUUAGGGUUUUCAUCCUAAUCUUUUGUGUUAAUCAAGACGCCCUUUUCGGGUUUUCACCUUGAUCCCUCUCUCUUUUUCUUUUUUCUUUUCUUUUCUUUUUUUUAAGAUGCCCUUUUUCGAGUUUUCAUCUUGAUUUUCAUUUUUUUAAGCAUAAUAUUUCUUCACAGCAUCUGAAUUCACUGGAUUCGGUAACUCCUUCCCAUCCAUCUCAGUGAGAAUCAAAGCUCCGCCCGAGAAUGCCUUCUUUACGACAUAUGGUCCUUCCCAAUUUGGUGUCCAUUUUCCUCGUAAGUCCUUCUGUAUUGGAAGAAUCUUUCUCAGCAUGAGUUCUCCUUCGUGGGAUUCUCUUGGCCGUAUUUUCUUGUCAUGGGCCGCCAUCAUUCUCUUCUGGUACAUCUGUCCGUGACAAAUUACCUUUAAACGUUUUUCUUCGAUGAGGUUUAACUGGUUAUAUCGAGCUCGAACCCAUUCUGCCUCCUCUAGUUUCGAAUCCAUUAAGACUCGUAAAGAGGGGAUCUCAACUUCGAUAGGUAGCACAGCUUCUAUUCCAUAGACCAGAGAGAAAGGAGUUGCCUCCGUAGAUGUCCGUACAGAUGUGCGAUAUGCAUACAAAGCAAAUGGUAGCUUCUCGUGCCAAUCUUUAUAUGUCUCAGUCAUUUUCCCAAUAAUCUUCUUAAUAUUCUUGUUGGCUGCUUCAACAGCUCCGUUCAUUUUUGGGCGAUAGGGUGACGAGUUAUUAUGCUUUAUUUGAAACUGCUCACACACUUCCUUCAUCAUUUUGUUGUUCAGAUUCAAGGCGUUAUCUGAAAUGAUUCUCUUAGGCAAACCAUAUCAACAAAUGAUUUCAUAUUUCAAAAACCUGCAAACUGCAGUCUUUGUCACAUUGGAAAACGAAGCAGCUUCUAUCCAUUUUGUGAAGUAAUCAAUAACCACAAAAAUGAACCAGUGUCCAUUAGAAGUUUUUGGGGAAAUUGGCCCUAUAACAUCUAUGCCCCACAUAGAAAAGGGCCACGGAGAAAUCAUGACAUGAAGGGGCGAAGGGGCUACAUGAAUCUUAUCGCCAUAAGUUUGACAUUUGUGGCAUUUUCUUGCAAAACUAAUACAGUCGCUUUCCAUCGUCAGCCAGUAGUAACCGAGUCUUAUAAUCUUCCUGGCCAUAGUGAAACCAUUGGCAUGUGUCCCACAAAUUCCCUCAUGGACAUCUUCAAGUAUUUUUCUGGCUUCAACAGCAUUUACGUAUCUCAAGAGUACUUGAUCUUUUCCUCUUUUGUACAGGAUGUUCCCAUCAAGAACAAAUCCCGCUGCCAUUCUUCUGAUUGUUCGUUUGUCAUUCUCAUUUGCUUGUUCGGGAUACUUUUGGUUCUUGACAUAUUCUAAGAUAUCAUAGAACCAUGGCCAUCGAUCUGGCUCUUUUUCAAUGCUGAAACAAUGUUCAGGGACUUCAUAUAUGCUCAUUUGAAGAGGCAUUAUUUCUGUUUCUCUGUUUGUAUUGAACAUUGAAGCCAAAGUGGCCAGGGCAUCAGCCAAUUGGUUUUCUUCUCGUGGGAGGUAAUUAAAAGUUAUUUCUUCAAAUUCUUUAAUCAGCUCUGCCACUAGAUCACUGUAUUUGACCAGUUUUGAAUCUUUCACUUCCCAAUCUCCAUGGAUUUGGUAUAUCACUAAGGCUGAGUCUCCGUAUACCUCUAAAGUUUUGAUGUUUUGUCCAAUUGCUGCACGAAGUCCCAUGAUACAAGCCUCAUAUUCUGCUAUGUUAUUGGUACAGAAAAAGUUCAGCCUGGCAGUGAGUGGGUAAUGGUUUCCUUCUGGUGAUACUAAGACUACUCCAAUCCCAUGCCCCAAUGCAUUCGAUGCACCAUCAAAACUCAUCUUCCAUGAAUUUUCUUUUGAUGACUCACAUUCUUUUUCUGUAAUGCACAUCAAGUCUUCAUCUGGGAAAUCAAAUCUCAAUGGCUCGUAUUCCUCUGUUGUUCGAGUUGCUAAGAAGUCAGCUAUUGCGCUCCCUUUUAUCGACUUUUGACUCACAUAGACGAUAUCAUAUUUUGAUAGUAAGAUCUGCCAUCGUGCCAUUCUUCCUGAGAGUGCAGGUGAUUCCAUCAUGUACUUUAUUGGGUCCAACUUUGAAAUUAGCCAUGUCGUAUGAUACAACAUAUAUUUCCUGAGUCUUCGAGCUACCCAAACCAGAGCGUAAUAGUAUUUUUCUAUGGACGAAUACUUUGCCUCAUAUUCAGUGAACUUUUUGCUGAGGUAGUAGAUCACUUUUUCUUUCUUUCCAGACUCGUCAUGUUGGCCCAAUACGCAACCCAUUGAAUUCUCGAACACAGUCAAAUACAAUAUCAAUGGUCUUCCUGGCAUUGGUGGUACUAGCACUGAGGACUAGACAAAUACUAUUUUAUCUUGUUAAAAUCCACUUGGCUCUCCUCGUUCUAUUCUCCAAGAUUAUGUUUUCGAAGGAGUUGAAAGAUUAGGUUGCAUUGGUUGGUAAGUUGAGCGAUAAAUUGGGCGAUGUAGUUUAAUCUCCCUAAAAAUCCUCUGACUUCCUUUUGCGUGUGCGGAGGUGGUAACUCUUGAAUGGCUUUUAUUUUAUCUAGAUCAACUUCAAUGCCUCUCUCGCUGACAAUGAAGCCAAGCAAUUUUCCUGAGGUAGCCCCAAACGUACAUUUGGUCAGAUUGAGCUUUAACUGAAACUUUCUCAGUCUGUCGAACAACUUCUUCAGGUUCACAACAUGCUCUUCUUCCUCUCGGGAUUUAGCAAUCAUAUCGUCGACAUAGACCUCUAUUUCUUAUGCAUCAUGUCAUGGAAUAACGUCACCAUAGCCCUCUGAUAUGUUGCCCCAGCAUUCUUUAACCCAAAUGGCAUCACCUUGUAGCAGAAUGUUCCCCACAUUGUUAUGAAUGUAGUUUUCUCCAUAUCCUCAGGGUCCAUCUUGAUCUGAUUAUACCCCGAGAAUCCAUCCAUGAAAGAAAACAAUGAAUGUUUUGUUGUGUUAUCCACCAACGUAUCAAUGUGUAGUAAGGGAAAAUUAUCUUUGGGACUUGCUCGAUUCAGGUCACGAUAAUCCACGCACAUUCGUACUUUGCCAUCUUUAUUUGGUAUCAGAAUUAUGUUGGCCACCCACUCUGGAUAUUUGGAGGUUUGUAGGAAGCCAGCAUCAAACUGCUUCUUGACUUCCUCUUUUAUUUUCAACAACAUUUCAAGUCUCAUCCGUAUUAGCUUUUGUUGAAUGGGUUUGCAUUCUGGCUUCAAUGGGAGCUCAUGGACCACUACAUCUUCAUCCAAUCCUAGCAUAUCCUGAUAUGACCAUGCGAAUACAUCUUUGUACUAACGGAGCAAAGCAAUCAAAUUAUGCCUGGUGCCCCCUGAAAGAGAGGUCCCAAUCUUCACUUCUUGCUUCCUUUCUUCAUCUCCCAAGUUUAUUGUUUCAACAAAUUCUUGAUGAGGCAAAAUCUGUUUAUCCUCUUGUUCCACCAUUCUUAGCAAGUCAGGAGAUGAGACAUAGUCUUCAGCAUUUUCUUCGGCUUCGAAUUCUCCUAAACAAACAGCCUUCUCAAAAUCGAUUUCAGAACUCGUAACGGGUUUGUUCAUGCAAUUGAUAUCUGAGCACCUGAAAGUUGAAUGGAAAAGGAAACUAUAGAGGGGAAUCCAAGUAUUGAAACCAACAAACUGAAUGUUAUGGUAUGGCAUGAGGCAAAUGUAAAGAUAGGCUACGAAAUGAUUAUGGAAUUAGUGAUAAUGCGAAAAAUCAUGACAAAAUGCAUCUUCAUUAAUAUUCAUUUAAAUGAUAAAGAGCGAAUGCAAGCUCUUACAAAAGAAUUCUAUUAUAUCUAAGGGCAUAACAGAAUGUUAACGUUUGAGCAUUACUCUGAAGACUUAUAAACUAUAAGAAGAUCCUCGGCAGUCUAAUUGUUCAACUUGAAACCCGGGGGACAUGGGCGUAUCUUUGAGACAUCUUUAUUCGCGUCAGCUCCUUUGUCAAUGACAUUUAUACUGAUAAUCUGAAAACCCUCUUCGAUCAUUAACAUUGUGCUUUGUGCACUAUACUGCCCUGGGUAUAUCAUUCCCGCAGACGUAAAUAUUCUUGUCAAAUGAGGGAAUUCCAUGGGCUCCCAUUCUGGUUCUCGGCCUAAUAUUCUCGCGAUCCUUCUUUCCUAAUCUUUCUUCCACUACUUUCUUCUUUGAUGCAUGUCCGGCUGGAACCCUAAAUUGUAUCGAGCCUUGUGGUGUACUGGCUUUAGAGCCCUGACUAUUCCUUGCAGAUAUCUCCCUAAACCUCUUCUCGCUCGAGCUCCCCUUCCUAUAGUCAACUUGACACCCAUUCUGGUAUUUCUCGACAGUUUUGGCACCGAAAUUCUAUUUCCCUCAGCGAAAAAAGUGGCAUUGACAAAUUCAAAGGAUCGGAAGGAACAUUCCACUGUGUCUUUGCUUACUUCAAGAUAUGGCGCAUCAGCAGAGAUAGAUGCAAUAAUGUCUUCUUCUCCCUCGACAGUGACCAAACAACCAUCCAUGAUGAACUUUACUUUUUGAUGGAGAGAGGAUGGAACUGCUCUAGCAGAAUGGAUCUAGGGCCUUCCCAGAAGGAAGUUAUACGAGGGUGUGAUGUCCAUGACUUGGAACUCGACAUUGUAAAUGUAAGGGCCCACUUCUAAAGGGAUAUCAAUCUUUCCCAUAACGUCACACCUUGUCCCAUCGAAUGCCCUUACCGUGGAAUGACAGGGCCUUAAAUAGGACAGAUCUAUCGAAAUUUUGGAAAGCGUGGCCAAAGGUAUAAUAUUGAGUGCCGAGCCAUUAUCGAUAAGCACAUUCGGUAUUAUGUAGCCCUUGCAACGUGUCAUAACAUGUAGUGCUUUCACGGAGCCUCUACCAUUGGGUGGUAUUUCGUCAUCACUAAAAGAAAUGCAAUUAUCCUCAUUCAAUUUGUUCACCCAUCUGUCUAGCUUCUCCACGGAUAUAUUGUUUGCCACGUAAGCUUGAUUCAACACCUUCAGCAAAGCGUUCUGGUGUGGCUCCGAAUUUAGCAGCAGAGAUAAAACCGAGAUUCGUGCUGGUUGCUUAUUCAAUUGUUCCACCAUAUUGUAUUCACUGUGUUUGAUAAAUUUCAAGAACUCUUGUGCUUCCUCCUCAUCCACAGGCUUUUUAGUUUCUUGCAAGGGUGGAAUUUCUUGCUCGACUUCGGCCUCAUGCAUCACUGCUUUCCCGUUUUGCUUCCAGUCACUGUUCUUCUUCACUGGUUCGACCUCUUUCGAAUAACAUCUUUCACUUCGGGUAAAAUGACCUACCUCUCCAACAUCUCCAGUUAUGGUUUUGAGCUUUUCAUCUUCUGGUGUGACGAUAUUGAUGUCAUAUUUCCAUGGUACGGCUUUGUCGUCCUUGUACGAGAAAGGAGACGGUACUUCGAUUAUCAUUUUUAGUUUCAUCGGCUCUUUUGUCACGUCGUAAUAAAUUAUUAACGGUCGAUCUGUGCUAUAAGAGAAACCUGAUGACUGGUUGUCAGAGGUGCAUACUUCUCUUUCGUUGGUCUCUUCCCUCUUGUUAAGGACCUUAAUCUCCUUAUUAUCCAUCCGGUCUUGAAGCAACCUUUUAAAUUCCUCACACGACUGAAUGUUGUAUCCUACAAUUCCAUAGAAAUUGCAAAAACUUUGACCUUCUUCUUCGAGAAUUUUAUUAGGGUGACAAAGCAAUCCUUUCUUAACCAGUACCUCCCAGAUUUUCUGCAGAGGCGUCCUUAUUUUCGAAACACAUCUUCUGACUUUCCAUUCGUCUUCUUUCCCCACUAUGCUCACAUUCCCUUCAGCAUGGUUAGGGAACGGGUUCCCAGUUGCGUUACUGGCACUAUUGAACUGUAGGAUACCCGCGUCAAUGAGUCAUUGAACUCUCCUCUUAAAGGCUAGGCAAUUCUCCGUGGAAUGCCCCUGGUUCCCCGCGUAGUAUGCACAACUAGUGUUUAUAUCGUACCACUUUGGAUAUGGAGGUUUAAGGGGUGCCAUGUAAUGGGGAGAAAUCAGCUAUUUCUCCAGAAGUUUUGGGUACAAUUUCGCAUACGACACAGGGAUAGAAGUAAAUUGCGGUCUCUCGGGAUUAGGCCUUGCUGGUCUUGGUUCGUUUCUGGGCUGGCUUUGAGUGGGUACCGUGUUUUGUGGGAAUGUGGUGACGAGUCUUUGGUUGUUCGUGGCGUAUAUAGGGUAGGAAGGAGGUAGUACUUAGUAGUAAGGGGUUUGAGGGGGAUAAUAGAAAUUUGAAGGUCGAUAACUUCGAGGUCGGGGUUGGUUUGGAUAUGGAUUAGGGGCAUAACGACUUCCCAUUCCAACUAUGUAGGCUUCUGGUUCUUUUUCUUCAUGGGUGCUACCCUUCUUGAACUUUCUUGACCUUUCAUUCUAUCGCUUUUGACAGCGUUCUCUAUAAGCUCACCGGAUAUUACAAUAUCCGCGAAGUCCUUCGUGGUGUUUCCCACUAGUUUGUCAUAAAACGGCGUCUUUAAGGUGUUGAUAAAAAGGACGGUUAUCUUCGUUUUCGUUAGUGGGGGUUCCACUUGGGCUGAGACGUCCCUCCAUCUCUGCGCGUACUGUCUAAAAGUUUCUAAUGGCUUUUUCUCUAUCAUUUGUAAAGUCAUCCGAUCAGGCACCAUAUCUGAUAUAUGCUUAUACUGCUCACAGAAUGCCGACGCCAAGUCUUUCCAAGAUCGGAUCCUUUUCUUACUGAGCUGGUUGUACCACCGAAGAGCCGAUCCUACUAGACUGUCUUGAAAACAAUGUACAAGUAGCUUAUCUUCGUUCACGUAACCGGUCAUUUUUUGGUAAAACAUGACAAGAUGUGCUUUUGGACAUCUUGUCCCAUCGUACUUUUCGAAAUCAGGCACUUUGAACUUCGGAGGCAGGAUUAGGUAAGGCACCAAACUGAGUUCUUUAGCACCUAAUAUCGAGAAGACUUCAGUGCCUUCUAUUGCCUUGAGUCUUUCUUCCAAAUUCCUAUACUUUUCUUGAGCCUCGUGAUCAUCUAUUUUCAACUUGGCUAUUUUGACUGGAUCAUGUAAAUCUGGAACUACAGGAUUGGCAGGGGUUGCUCUGGGAUUUGACAUAAAUGUUCCUUGCCCUAGAUGAGCAAAUGGCAUAGGUCGUUGUUCUAAGCUUGUGGAUUCCCCUUAAGUAUACCUUCUUUGUGCUACGUGGGCAUGUGGUAGAGUGAAUCCUGAGGGAUAGAGUGGAUCCUGGUCAUGAUUAAUUCUUGAUUGAAGUUCCAUACUGUCGGGGUUCUGCAUGGGUCCUUUUUCUUUGACCAAAACUGAUAUCAUCUCCAUCAUUCUAGCCAUUUGAUCUUUUUGUUCAAGUGAUUCCUCUCGAGAUCUUACUAUCAAAUCCCUUGUUUCUUGCUGUGACUUAGCUAGUUGUUUUUGUAAUUCAUUCUGGACUCUUUCCAUCCUUUCGGUUCUUUCAUUGAACUCAGCCUCCAUUGCUCUAGCUUGUCGACGCGUUUUAUACAAAUGACGUGGUUCCAGAUUUGAAGUGUUGCAACUGCGAAUUAUAUGAUUCUAACCUUAGCGAAUGAUUAUGGGAUAUGUAUAUGCAAUGAAUGGAUGAAUGGAUGCAAAAAGAGGCGUUAAUUCCAAUUCAAUUUCAUUAGAAGAACUUCACUAGAAGAAAAAUUUCUUUAAAUAGAACGGAUGAUUACAAAUACAACUUUGCCCUAAUGCCCAAAGUCUUAACUUUCCUAAGAAGCCAAGCUAAGCUUCAGCCUCAGUCUGAUUCUGACUCGUACUUUAAGCUCAAUAUAUCAGCCUGAACUGCCAAGGUUUGCAAGUGAUCAGCUAUCUCCCGAACCUAAGCUAUAGCUUCGCCCAUGACAUAGUCUCUAUCUCUAAUCUGGUUUUGAGAGUGGUGAAGUUGUUCUCUGUAAUGGUUGUUGUUUGUCUCAAGAAGUUCCACUCGAAUUUUGCUAUCUCGUUGUGCGGUCUCGAGUUCUUCUAUUUUCCCUUUCAACUCUUCGAUCCUGCUCAGACUAGCCUUUAGCUUAAUUAUCGAAUUAUGGCUACGAUACUGCUGAAGUAAUCUUUCCAAUUCAACCACCCGAGCUCGUAACUUCUCUUUUUUGUUUUGGGUUUCUAACAAACUCUUCUUCAGAGUGUCCUCUCGUACUCGGGCAUCUUGAAAUCUUUUCUCCCAAUGGUCGGCUCUAGUCUUUUCCUCUUUAAUCUCUUGACGCCAUUGCUCCGAUGUUUUACCUAAUCCGGUAGUUUUUAUCGUUAUACGAAGCUUCUUGUAAUCAAUUUUCAGACUAUCUAAAUCUUCCUCGGCCUUUCUUUCCUUUCUUUAACUUCUCGGCCUCUAGCUUGUGGAUAUCAACGUCUAACCCCAACUUCAUUUUAUCUUCUUCUAGCUACUCUAUCUUCUUCCCCAACUCUGAGUUUCUUUUCUCAAAAUCUUGCUUAAUGAUCUCUAACCCAGAUGGGAUGACCCGUAAAUGCUCCUCUAUCAGUUGUGUGUUCCCUUGAUUUUGCCUAGGGAUGUUGUCAUUGACUUUCCUACCCCACCACCAUUCAUACUCGAGGGUCGUCAUCGGGCCUGCAGUGAAUCUUUUCAUUCUUCGAGUUUGGUUUCAUGCAUCUGAUAUCUCACGAACCCUCUUUUUAUAAUUGUUGUCUUUAUAGGGGAACUCACAUUAUGCCAACCCUUGUGUCACCGGUAUAAACUGCCUUUAUCGAUACUGCCUUAACACCAUCAGUGGAGCGUAUCCAAUGGCUCCUCAUAUUCCAGCCAGAGGGACCCAGUCAAAAUCACCGCACCUAUAAAAGAUCUCGUCAGGAAUCAACCACAGAGCCCUCCAUUCAACGUCUUCGGUCCGUAAAUUUUAGAGAAUAGUUAUCCACCUCUCUUCAGAGAUGUCGUCCCGCCUCGAUGUGGCCACUAAUUCUCUUAAUGGGGAAUAAUCCUUAGAGAAUACCCGAUAGGAGACCUUCUCCACCUUCCAAAAAUGACUGUGGAACUAAGCCAAAAGAAGCUGUGCGCAACCAAUAAAUCUUCCCUCGCCCGCUCUCCGGCAUGUAUUCAAGGAUCGGAAAGUUUCUGCUAAGAUUGCCGGGACGGAUGUGGUACCUUUAUCAAGUCGAUCAAAUAAAUCUGAGACGGCUUCAUCUAUGUGUCCAAGUGCUUUAGGAAAGACGAUCAAACCGUAGAGACUUAAGGCAAAAACAUCAACCCUUUUCUUCGAAUCCGGGUGCGCAAGAAUAAAAUCCCUCAAAUUCCUCUAAGGAAUACAUUUACUAUCCCAUUUUUGCUUGAUGCAGGACGCAACCCAUUGCUCACUCAUCCCCAUGAUAUUCAUCAAUUUCUUCAAAAAGGGAGGGACAUUAACAGGUCUUGAAUAGGCCCUAUCGGCCUGAAUUUUCGGGCAAUUAAGUAACGCAAUGUAUUCCUUCACCGUAGGUACUAAAUCAACUUCUCUGAAAGUGAAGCAACUGUAAGCGGGGUUCCAAAAUUGCGCGAGGGCCUGGAACAAAUACUUGUCCACCUUUACAUCGAGCAAAUAGGGUAGGUCGUCGUAGUUAUAGUAAAAGAGUUGUUUGACUUCGCCAUUCCAACUAUUCCAUAUAUCCCUUAACUCUUGCAGGUCGUUCUGAGUCACACUAAUGUGAGUGAAAUCCCACAACUCCGAUUCAUAUCCCUCGGUCAAACUAUCUCCUUUCUCCUAUUGCGUUCUCUCAGACCACACUCGGACGGCCGCAUUAUCCUCCAUUCUAUCAAGAAAUCUUUUUUCCAUGCUAAACUCUUCUAAUUAGUAACCGAACGUAAAUCAACACCCUUUUAUGAUGAAAUGUUAUGCGAAAAUGAUCAAAAUACAACAAGUUAGCAAUAUAUACAAAGAAUAGAAUUCAAAGCAAAUAGUGAGUAAAUAAGCACUUAAUCAGGUAACCACUAGGGUUUGGUGUGGUUCUACCUAGGGUAGGCUCCUAAGGCUCAUUACAUGUAGUUUGGUUCUAAAGUAAAGGUACCUGAACCAGCAGAUUCCUCGAUCCUCACCCAUUAUAGGUUCAUACAGACCGAGUUCGAUUCAGGGGAAUACAUUUCCCUACGGCUAUACGGAGGUGAAAACCUCACGAAGACGCAGGUACGGAUGUAUCCCGAAAGCGAUCCACUAUCCUAUACGGAGGUGAAGACCUCACGAAAGAGUAGUUUUUCACUUCCACUUAAGAGGGUGAAAUUGACCAAUAAUGCGAUGUGAUAUGCAAAAAUACCUCAAAGAAUUAAAUCACUUAAAGCAAGCAUAUUAUGAAGAGAGUCGCGAAAAUAACCGACAACAUGCAAUGCAGUAAAUUUAAAAUCGAUUUUCGAUUUUUAACAAAAGACAAAAAACAAUCAAUUUAAGGCUUGACUCUCGAGGUCCCCAGUGGAGUCGCCAAGCUGUCGAAACCAUUCUUUCGAAAACGGGGAUCGACUUUGUUUGAAAGUGAAAAUUAGAACGGGAGUCGCCACCAAUCUUUUAUCAGGUGUGAUCGGAUCACUUUUGUUUUAAUAAAUCAAUUUUAGUUUACUAAAAUAGGGCCUUUGGUCUACGAAACUUGAGAGAAUGAGUUCGGGAGUCGGUUACGUGCGAGGAAGGAUUACCACCCUCGACACGCCCAAAAAAUUGGUACCGAAUUGAUUAGUUAGUGUCUUAAUGUCGAAAAUUAAAAAUCGGGAAGAGACUUGAAAUACGAUCUUUUCUAUUAAUACUGAUUUUAAAAUUCUUGAAUUAGCUUAAAUCGAUUUGUUUAAAGAUUUUCUUAUCUCGAAAUAUCAGAGUAUCACAUCCCGUAAGUUAGGACACAAUACCAUGAAUUCCUGAGCACAAGGUCGUCUUUUAAUUUAAAUUGGAAAUCUGUGCAUUUCAAAACUCAAAAGGAUAUUUAGCUAUUUAGAACCAACAAGAGAACCGAAACCCCGUAAGUUAGGGCACAAUUCUUCGAUGUUCCAAAAUGCGAAACAUUGCCUUAUUUAUUGAAAUUAGUAAAAACAUGAAUAAAAAUCUUUAAAGUAAUGAACAACAGAAUGAUAUAAAAUAGGCGGGAGACAAAAAUAAAUGAGUUGGAAAUACAUUGAAACAAAUAAUAAAUAUGACAACAAUAUUAAAACAAUAACAAUGCAUGCGAUAUAUUAAACGUAAUAAUAGUAUCCAAUGUGAAAUAAAAACAACAAAUAUAUACAUAAUAAAGAUAUUAAAAGUAUGUACGUAAAAUAUAUAUAUAUUUAUAAAUAGUAAUAGUGUUAGAAAUAUACUAUAUAUAGUGUUUGAAGUAUAUACAUAAAAUAGUGAAAAUAUAACUAGUAAUGUUAAGAUAUAUAUAAUAUAUACAUAUGUAUGAAAUAGAUAUAAAAAAAAAUAUGUACAUAAUAUAGAGUAAAAAAUACAUACAUAAUAUAAUUAAAAUAUAUACAUAAGAUAACAUGUAGAAAAAAAAUAUAUAUAAAGAAUAUAGUAUUAAAGAUAUAUACAUAAAAUAGUAUAAUAUAUAUAUACGUAAUAUAGAAUUUAGAAUAUACCUAAUAUAUUAAAAGAAUAUAUAUAAUAUAAUAUUAAAAAAUAUAAUAAUAACAAAAAAGAGAGAGAGAGUGGGUGAUUUCCGGCCACUGUCGGUGCCACCGUACACGGCAGCCGGACCUCAAAAAAAACUUUUUCGGUAAAAAUGGGAAAGCUUCCUCCUUUUAUUUUUACUUUCGUAUAAAAGAAACAAAAUAAAACUGAAAGGAAAACAAUAAGCAAACAAAGAACUUAAAAUGAGAAUAAACCAAGAAACCUCUUUUGCUUUGAUAUUUGAUUAAUCUCAAAAAAAAAAUAGCCUCUCCAAAAACUAGCCUUUACAAUAACUCUUCUCCUUGAUUACUCUAAAAAAACCUCUCAAAAAUCCUUUACAAUAACUUUCUCCCCCAAGACUUCUUCCUCCCCUAAAUACAAAAUAUGAGAAGGCUUAUAUAGCCAUUUACCAAAUAUUUUUUAUUGUUUAUGUCUUUAUUUGUAGGUACAAGUGGUGGUGGAGCAAGUGUGGCUAAUGGAGUAGGUGGUGGAGCAAGUGUGACUAGUGGAGUUGGUGGUAGCAAAGGCUAGGAUUUAGUUGAGAAAAGUUUAGGUUGUAGGCUAGGGUUUUUUUAUUUUGAUUUGGGCUUAGGGUUUGGGCCAUUGGGAUUUUGAUGUAAAUUGGGCUUUGGGUAGUUAAGAUUUUGGGUUUUGGGUUUAAUUUUGGUGGGUUAGGUAAGGUUAAAUUGGGUUUUGAUGUAAAUGGGUUAAAAUUGGCCUACAACAAUUAUUAUUUUCUAUUAUUAUUACUAUUGUUAUUUUUGUCUUUACUAUUAUUAUUGUUAAUGUAUUAUUAUUAUUAUUUCUAUUACUAUUAUCAUUAUCAUUAUUAUUAUUAGUAUUAUUUUUUUACAAUUAUUAUUUCUUGAUUAUUUUUAAUUGGCUUAUUUAUUUACUCUUCUAGUUUUAUUUAUUAUUUUUCUUUUUACCAGCUUAUUCGUUUUGUUUAUUUUACUCUAUUUUUGUUUUUAUUAUUGUCAUUCAUAUUAAUGCAUCUAUUGUUAUUCUGUCACGCAUAUUGACAUCACAAUUUUUUUUAUAUCGUAUUACAUUUUUACCCGAUACAUUUUAAAAAAUGUUGUUUUUUAAUAAUUCGUGUUUUAAGAUUCGAGAGGUCGUAUCCUACUUUACGGGGCUUCAAUUUUCUCGAUAAACCUAAACCAAGUAAAUGUUUUUAAAAUUUUUAAUGUUCUCGGGAAUUAAGAAAAGAUUGUAUUCUAACUUACGAAAUAUAAUUUCUUUCUAAAAUCAAGAUAGUCAAAUUUCUUUCAAAAUAAACAAAAUUUUCGAAGUUUAUUCUCAAUUCGAGGGUUUAAGACAUUGUGUCCUAACUUAAAGUGCAUAAUUCUUUUCCUUGAUUAACGUGAAAUACGUCAUUUUUCUCAGAAAAUUUUUAGUUAAAUAACUUUUUAACAAAGGAUAGUAUUUUAAAUCUCUUCAAAGUUCUCAAUUUUCGACACUAAGACAUUAAUUAAUCAAUUAUGUACCAAUUUUAGACGUAUCAAGAGUGCUAACCUUUCCUCGUAUGUAACUGACUUUCGAACCUGUUUUAUGCAUUUUGUAGACCAAAAAUCAUGGUUUUAAUAAAUUUAAAUUUUUGUUAAAAUAAUUGAAUUACUAGGUAAUCCGAUCACACCUAAAUAAAAAGGAUUGGUGGUGAGCCCUGUAAUAGGCCCUUUUCGCCCGGGCCUGUUAGAAUUAAAAAAAUCAAAAAUCAAAAAAACAAAAAAAUAAACCGAAAUAAAAACAAUAAAACUCCAUUAGUCCAAGACAGUCCAUGACUCAAUAAACUUAAUCCCUUAGCCCAAUACAUUAAACCCAAACACUAAAUCUAACCGAUAAUCCCCAUCCCAGAACUACCCCAAAUGGCCCAAAAUUUCUAUUCCAGAAACUGAAACCCUAGCCAAACAGCGCCGCAAUUCUCACAAACGUCUCCUCACGCCGCAAGCAACCACCAGUGGCCUUCACAACAGCCUCCAGCCAGCCGAUCUCAAAGCAGGCUCAGAGGGCCCAAACAGUGAAGCUUCUGGAAACCUUCGCGCUAUCGCCCAUGAGCAGUUUCUCCAUGCACAGCUGUACCUGCAACAAACCCACAAGCCAUAGCAAUAGAGAAAUAACAGAAAAUAAAAAUCGUUCUGUAAUUAUUAUUGUUAUUAUUUUAUUUACUUAUUUUUCGACUAUAAAAACCGAAUGAAAGGAUGUAAAAAGGGGAGGAUACUGAAAUAAAAAAACCACUGAAAUUAAAAGGUGAUUUCUGAUUCAAAGGAUCUUUAGUUUUUCAACUCUGUUCAUUUUGUUUUUCUCAUGAGAGUUUGAAAGGAUUUGAAAAUAAAAAAAGGAAAAGGAGCGAUUUACCUUGUGAUUCCAUUUGAUUUGUUGAAAUCGAUGUUGAGAUAAGAUCUUAUGGCCGAGAAUGUCGUCCCUCAAGGCUUGAACCCGCUGAACGCCGUCUAUAGUGGCGGAUCGGCGUUUCAAAGUGUGGUGUUAGGAUCGGUUGAGAGAAAAUCAAGAGAGGCUAGGGUUUUGAUUCAUAAAAAACGGCUGAAUAUUGUUUUUUUUUUUUGCUAUGCAUAAGCUUUUAUAAGGGGCAGAAAACGGCACCGUUCAAAGUCAAUUGCAAUGGCUUCAAAACGGUGCCGUAUAGGGCGACCCGUUCCAACCCGAUCCACUACCGUGAGGAUCCGCGCACUUAAUCAUUUUGGAGUGAAUUGGGCAUUUGAUCCUUCAUCGUUUGACUGUCAUCUGAUUGAGAUCCAUUUAUGUUUCUUUUAUUUUUUAAUUAUUCCCUAAAAUUUAUGCGUUGUUUUGAUUUGAUCCAUGUUUACAGAGUGCGUUCAGAAGCUUGGAAUAAUUUUGUUUUUAAUCCUCACGCAUUCAUGCGCAUCACGCUUUGGUCAUUUUUCUUAUUUUAAUGAUUUAUUUUGUUUAUUAAUUAUACCUUUUAAUUUGAUUUUAGUUCAAUUAAGUUUUUAUUUCAGUUCGUACAAUUCAUUACGUUUUCUAUUCAUUUUAACAUCUAUCUUGUAAAUCUUAUUUACAUGCAUUCUAAGUUACUUGGAUAAGUUUGCUUUGUUUUUAAAAGUAUAAAAUUAUUAUUCUAUUUUGUAUCAUAUCAUUUUAAACUUUGGUAUAAUCUUUAAUUUAAAUUACCCUCAUAUUAUUUAUAUAUGUAAUUUAUGAUAAAAUUAGUUUUAUUCUAUGUAUAUUAUUAAUAUUGUAUUAUUUUAUACACAUAAUUUCUUUUAAAUUUAUUCCUAUAUCUUAUUAUACAUUUAUGUUGUUUAAAGGAAAGUCCUACAUAUCUUGUGUAUUUUUUUUAAAUUACUAUUAUACAUAAUUCAUGUUAAAUUAUUUUUAUUAUAGUCCACGUUAUUGAUUUCAUAUUAAUAUUUUUUUUAUGUAUAUAUAUUUUUCUUUAAAAUUAUUUGUGCAUAUAACGCGUUUCUUUUAAACUAUAUUUUAAAUCAUACGAUUUAUUUGUUGUGUACUCCUUCAUAUUUUAUUAUCCUUAUGUGUGUAUUAUUUAUAUGUACCAUCAAUUCAAAUUCAUUUGUAUAUGUAAAAUUAUAUUAUAUAUAUUAUGUGUUUCAAAAUUCCCUUUAUAAAUAUAGUUUUAUAAAUAUACAUCACUAAAUUUAUGCAUUUUGUAAAUAUAGUUUUUUACCUCUUUGUGUAUAUGAUUAUAUUUUUAGAAUUUGUUAUAUGUAUCAUUUAUAUAUUUACCUAAUUUUUCAUACAUUAUUAAUUUCAUGCUUUUUUUACAAAAAAUUAUUUCCUGAUUUAUUUAUAAAUACAUGUUUUAUGAGUUUGUUAUGUACACUAUAUCCUAUCAUGCUUUUUUCUUUUAUAUUUUAUAUGUUAUUUAAGCAACCAUGCAUAUUAUCAAUUUUUUUUUAAAUUUGCGUUUGAAAUAUUUUGCAUAUUAUUUGAUUCAAAUGUUUUAUUCUACAAAAAUUAUGUUAAAUAAUUAUAUAUUCCUAGCUUUCAUACCAACUUGUCAACUUAUUUUAUGUGUUAAUUAAUUCAUCAUUGUCUUGGAAAGUGUCUUGUACUAUAUAUUGAUUUCUAAUUCCAUGUUAUUUUAUACAUAUUUGGUGCGUUGUUUUAUAGCUUACUAUGUUAACUAUUGUUGUAUAUCAUUUUUGUAUUGAUUGUUCAUCAUCCAUGAUUAAGAAUUUGGUCACAUUUUACUUAGAAUAGCUGUACAUAAUUGUUGGAUUUGUUAAUUGUAACUUGUUGUAUUCUAUUAUUUCAUGUUCAUUACCCCUUUCCUAUACAAAUGUUUCGAUACAAUGCAUUAAGCAUUCUAUUUUAAAACGGAUAAACGUGUUUUGAGCAAAUUUUCAAUUUUCUUUAUCAUUCAAGAAUUCUAAAAUAAGGCAAUAUCUAAUAUUUGGGGAAUUCGGAAAAUUGUGCUCAAUCGUACUGAGUAUGAUUUUUUCGGUGAACUAAAUAUUUGGAUAACCUUUUUAAAAUUUUAGUAUACGAGUUUUUCGAAAGUCAAAAAUCAAAUUCGUUUUAAAAGUAUAAGGGAUCGUAUCCAAUCGUGCUGGGUAUGAUACUGCAUAUCUUUGAAACGAGAGAAUUUCGACUACUAAUUUAAACUAUUCGAAUAUUUUAAAAAGAAUCAUACUUUGGAAAAUCUUUUCUUUAAAAACCCUUUUAGCAUAAGGAUAGCAUCAAAUCAAUUUCGUACCAAUUUUUGGGUGUAAUGAGGGUGCUAACCCUUCCUCAUGUGUAACCGACUCCCGAACCCACUUUUUGAUUUUUCAUAGAAUAAAACGUUUUAGUAGGUGGCCCAAUCACACCUAAAUCAAGAGAUUGGUGGCGACUCCACAUUUUUGUUUUUCAAAAUUCGAUCCCCAUUGUUUUCAAAAUAAAAAAGGGUUUCGACAAGCCCCAUUUUCGUUUUCGUUUUCAUUUUCAAAAUAAAAAGUUGACCGUUUUUUCAAAAAAAAAGGUUUCGACAUUGUUAAUUAGCUUUAUAAUUUUUUAGUAUCUUAAUACAAUACAUUUGGUUUAAAAAAGUAAUUAAAUGCUUGAUACUCUGAAUGCUUUUAACAUUAGAAAAAUAUAGAAAAGGUUGUUACAAGUAAAAAAAAAAAUCAAUAAUUUGAUUUACAAAUUAUUUAAAUUCAAUGAUCCGAACAUGAAUAAAUUGAAGAUUAAAUUGAAAUGAAUCCAUUCUAAAAUCAUUUAAACUCAAAAUAGUUUAUUUUUUAAAACUAGAAAUUAUCUUAAUCAAACUUGCUUUGAUUCUUCUAAGUGUGAGUUCUAAAUGUUAGUUAAUUUCGAUAUAUUUAAUUAUAUGUUUUAAGUGAAAAAUUUUCAAUUAGUGAAAACUUACUGCUCUAACAAACCUUUAUCUCUUCCAUAGGUAUAAUUUAAUCUUUCUUUUUUCUCCUUUUUGAUGUUACUUUUAUGCAAUUCCAUCUUACUAUUAUGUAAUCAAAAUAAAGGUAAUAAUAGUUUUCAUUUGAAAAAUUACAAUCUUAGAGUCAUCCUCAAGCAUCUCAAAAUUGUUAGAAGUAGUAGAGUAAAUUAAGCAAUCAUUUUAUUGGCUGUAUUACACCACAAAUACAAUUCAUUUACAUUUAUAGUUUCAAAGAAUCUUCAAACUCCUAAUUCUAAUUUUAUUCCAAAUUUUCUCUAAGGGCAAAUUCCAACUCUACCAUCUUCAUUGCAAUGGUGCCACCUUUCAGAGAAUAAUUUAGUUAGAUAAAUCCCUUCCUCAAUAUGCGAUUUGAGUUCCUUAUAGUUCUCUCUUUAUAUAAGAAUAGUUUGGGUGGAACAAAUCUAAAAUGCAUUGGAAAUUGAAGUUCUUUUUUUGAAUAAUUAUUUUCAUGGUAAAAUACCAAAGAAUUUUAAAAAAGAAAAAAAAAUAUAUUUACAACAAGAAAUAGAUACUCCAAGAGAGGUUAAUUUCUUCCAAAGAUAGAGUUGGUAAAAAAUAGGGGGAGGUAAAAUAAUGCAAAAUUAUAAUCUACUGGACUUCUAUACUGAAUUUGAUCUAUCAUGAUUUUAUUACCACAGUUCAAAAAUUCUCAAAUUAUGAUUUUUUUUAGUAAAUUAUAUAAAUAUUCAUUCUACUAAGUCGUCUAAUUUUAUAAAAUUAUAAAAUGAUUAUUUAAUUUAUCUUUUUUAUUUUUUAAAAUUCAAAAUUGUUAAACACUUACUGUUGGCUGAUGUGACUGUUAACUUUAUGAUUUUAUAAUUUUAACAAUUAUUUUUAAUACAUAUAAUUUCCAUGUGGUAUAAUUAUAAAAAGAAAAGUUACCCCAGACCCAAAUAAAGAAAACCCAAAUAACCAAAUCAAAAGAAUAAAGUUUCUAACAAGUGAUAGUUGUCUUCAAUUGAAUCCUAAUUGCCACUUUGAAUUUGGUUAAUACAUCGAAAAGCUGAUUUCUUUUUUUAAUGCGAUAUUGAAAAUGGUCCAUUUGCUUAGGUUUCCAUUUAAUGUUGUGCUUUUGAUUUGGCAGCAUGUAUGAAAAAUGUCACGUCCUAUGAGUUUUUAUUAUUUAAAGAUUUCUACAACAUAUAUAUUUCUUAGAGCUAAUAAACUAAAUUAGUUUAAGCAUGUGAUAUUAUGAUUAUUGAAAUAAAAUAUAUUUUACUUGAAUUUAUUUAUUUACUUUUUAAAGUAAAAAUUUGAUUUUAAAUAUAAAAUAAUUAUGGUAUACCUCCAACUUUGUAAAAAAAAAAAAAAAAGUCAUCUAAUAACCACGUACUAACAUCAACAAACACGACUUCUCCCCACAACAAAGCAAUGCCCGCUAACGUGGAAUGGCACUACACAUGAUAGCAACAAAUUCCAAGCACCCUAUAUUGAGAAGGUAGCUAUUAGUGAUAUGAGCGUCUUCGUUAGUUUUUACAUCUUUUAAAGUUUUGAAAUGUUUUUAUCUUUUGUUGUUUUUGAAAAACUGACAUUAUCUUAAUCAGUAUAAAUAGGGCCACUUAUCAAUGAAUUUUGUGUGCCUUUUAUCAUUGAUAUCGACAACUUCUUUCGUCUCUAAAAAUCUCCUCAACUUGAGCUCAUACAACUCUCCCACCCCACUCCAUUUCAAUUACACGAAUUUAUCUCUAGUCUCAUUUAAAUUAUUAUUUUUUAUGUGGUAUAUUAUGGUUGGAGCCCAGUAAAGUUGAAAUAGUUAUAUUGUAUAAUAAUUAUCUUUCUGGUUCCAUACUUUUUCCAAGUUUACAGUAGGCUCAUCUUCACACAGUUUUAAUGCCCACACUCUUCCCAUGUUUGGCUUUGGAAAUAGUUAUAUUGUAUAAAAAUUAUCUUGGGUUUCGCUUGCUAAUAUAAGAGAGCUAAUUAGAUUAGGAGUAUCUAAUCCUCCUCUUCAACUAUGAAAUGUGAUGUCUUCUCUACUUUAGUGCUUCUGGAUGUCUCAGUUGUUUUAUUUUUUGUGAUCUCUUGUGGUGAUUUCUGGUUCAGGAUUUAUAACUUUGAGGGUUUUUCCAUAAGACUAUCAAAUUGAAAGAAAUUUACAUGUUUAAAAAAGUAGAAAAGAAAAAAAACAGACGCCUAUAGUGUUCAACAAAGAAAUAGUAUCUGCUAAACUUUAACCUAUUUAAUUGUGCUUCAAGUGAGUGGAAACUUGAUUUCUCUUAUUGAAAUCGGACUAUGAAUUUAUAUUAUUGAAUAUAUUAUUAGUAAUUAAACAAUUUAGCGUUUGUGUUGAUUGGUUGGUUAAUAAGAAAAGGUUGAAUUCAGAGAAAAGUGGAUGCUUCUAAAUCAAUCAAUUCUUGUACCAAGUUUCAUAUAUGAUAUAUAGGUAUAAUUGCCGGUGUGGAUUUGAUUAAUAUAUCUAGAGAAUAUAAUUAAUGAUGCGGCUGAACUCUUUGCAAUGGAGACUCCACUUAUUCAUUAUUUAUGAUGAAAAUAAAGACUCUCUUGACUUGGUCUUUGGUGUCAAUGCCAUUACAGACUCCACUUAUUUAUUAUUUAUGAUGAAAAUAAAGACUCUCUCGACUUGGACUUUGGUGUCAAUGCCAAUACAGAUUCCACUUAUUUAUUAUUUAUGAUGAAAACGAUAGAUGUGGAAGUUGCACUAAUCAAUGGCGAGCUGAAAAAUCAUCUCAUUUUUAGUUGAAUCCUGCAAUAUUGGUCCUCGCAUGCAGUAUUAAAACAAGUCUAUCUUGUGGAAAGUUUGGUUUGAUUUGUCUGAAGAGGACGAAUUUUCAAAUAUGUUGGAAAAAGUGGCCAUUCUUUGAAAUCAUGUUAGAAAGAAGUUGGGAGCAACCGUGAAGAAGAAGUUGAGAGGAUCUCCAUCAAACACGUUUCAAUCAACCAAAAUUAGGGCCUUCUUACUUGUCUAUACAUUAAGAAAACUCUUUUAAUCAAAGAAUACUCAGCUGUCAUCUAUGAAUCUGUUGAGUUUUUAUUAUUGAAAUAUUAUUCCUUGAUUGAGAAAAAAAAAAGCUGCUAGAUAUAUAUUUUAUAGAUAUAUAUAUAUCUAUGGAAAAUAUGUUGGGGUGAUUUGAUUAAAAAAUACAAGUUUAAGGGUUAAAAAAGACGAAAAAUUAAAUGAAAGGCUAAAAUGAUUUUUUUUUAAGUUAGAGGACCAAAUAAGUCAUUAUACCAAAAAUUAUUUACCAUUUAAAAAAGGAUAAAGUGUAGGAAUGGUCACUAAACUAUUACCCACAUUUUAUUUUGGUCAUUAAACUUUUAAAAUUUUUAAUUUUGUUACUAAACUAUUCGAAAUCAAUUCUUUUUUUGCUGAAAGUUAAUUGACGGAAGUGUUAACGCAUGAUUUUUUAUUGGUUUAAUAACAAUUUAGCUCUCUAAUAUUUACAUAUUCUAUCAAUUUGAUCCUAAAAAUUUAUAUAAAAAUAUAAAUAAUUAAAAUAAAAAAUAAUAUUUCACUAAAAUUAAAAAGUGUUUGUAUGACUUAAUAUUUCACUAAUUCUAACAUAAUGGUUUUUAUUUAAUUUCUCAAUUUUUUUUUUUGAAAUUUUAAUUUCUCAAUUGUUAAUACCAUUUUCUUUACUUUUUUAACAUACCCAUCACCUACAAAGAGCUUCAUCGAUGAACAAAAUAAAAAAAUUAAAAAAGAUAAAAAAAUUAACCCUUAAAUUAAUGAAUGAAAAUUGAAAGUGAACAAAAAAUUUAUUUGAAAUUUUUUAAAACCAUUUGGAUUCAACCAAACACUAAAAAUUUCAAGCAUAGAACAUUCUUCUUCAACAAUUUAAUGAACGAAAAUUGAACAGUUUUUAAUUUCAAUCUCAGAUAAAAGCAAUAAAAAAUUGAACAAAAACCAAAAAUCUAUAUCUCAAAAUUAAUGAACACAAUUAAGUCUCAGUUUUAGUUUCUGGUCAUCAACCUCAAUAACUUAUAACCUUAAAUAAAAAAAACACUAAAAAUAAAACACUUUUAAAAAUUUAAAUCACUCGAUUCAACCAAAAUAAAAACAAACCCUUGAUAAAUAAUUCCAACAAAACUCAUUUUAUCUUUUAUCUAUCAAACCCUUUAUAAUAACCCAUCAAGCACCGGUAAAAAAAAGAGAUGAAAGGAUCCAGUGUUAUAUUGGUUCGUAGCAUUAUCAAUCGAUAUUUUUGGACCUUAAAUUUGAAAAAUUGGUCUCCGUCUUAGUUAAAAUAUGUCUUUGAAAUGUGAUUGACAUUAGUACUGAAAAUUUGUUUUUAUUUGGAACUGACAUGCUCCUCAGAUCACUCACUAACUUAGUAACACAACGGGGUUGCCUUGUUUCCUUAAUGUAUUUGUACAGCUAGCAUUCAAACGAAGUGUACAAUCCCGAUUCUGCCCGGGCCUGAAAAGCCCAAUACACCCAAUUUGCCUAGCCCAAAACCUAUUUUUACAAUCCUUAAACCCAACACCCAAAACCAGACUAAAUUAAAAUAAGCCCACUACCCAAUUACAGGCCCGAAAAUAAAAUAAACCCUAGCCCAUUCCCAACAUUUUCAGAAAACACAAAAAACCCCUAACCCCUAUUUCCUUUCGGCGCCGAACCUAGCCCCGAAACCCCUGUCAUCGCCACUGGUAUUCACUUGCUCCACCUGCUCCUGCAAAGAAAAGACAAGGAGUAAAUGCGAAAACAGUGAAGAAAACAGGGAAUGUUGUAAAAAUCAGCUAUAUAAAAGCCUAAGAGACCGAGAGCAAGGGGUUUUUUUUUCUUUUUUGGCAACAUAAAAAAAAGGUUGUAUUACACAGACAUUGAAAUACAAAACAGUAAUAAAAAAUUAGAUUGAAAGAAAAAGGUGAUUUUCCUUCACUUUUAUUCGAUUUUUCUUCUAAACUCGUAAACAAAAAAAAAGGGAUCUGAAUAUAUUAAUAAAGAAUAAUAGAAAGGGAAGGGGUACAUUCACCGGAGGCAUUUCGUCUGCCUCCGUCGAUCUUCCUCUCCGUUGUCAAGGCCCAGAACCUCUUGGGGUUUGAUUCGGGUUCGACUGCAUGACGGUUUUUAGAGAAACCCCCUUUUCCCUCUCCUUCCUCACUCUCCUCGCGAAGGCCGGAGAUUUCAUAUCCAAGAGGGCUCGAAAAUGGGCGUUUUAAGAUCACCACGGACGGUUACGCCGUUGUUGGCGUACGAUGACAAGCCCGACAGUCCUUAUGGCCGGAUUUUGAGGGCGAAAGAGAAUGGGAAGGCUGAGAGCAUUUAGGGUUUUAUUUUUAUUUUUUAUCUUUCUGAGGAAUGGUUAGAUGUUUAGGUCUUU
rnacentral:lncRNA from 1 species